rnacentral:lncRNA from 1 species
UUUUUACCACCUUAGAAAAAAUAUCAUUAAGAAAAUAAAAUUACUUUUCCCAACUAUAAUUGCACAUCGAAGAUCUGUGUACAUAUAUAUAAAAUUGAUGUGUAUUUGAUAUAUUUAAUAAUUGAAUUAGCCAUUGGAUAAUUAAUAAUUAAUAUUUUUUAAAUAUUAUAUAUUAUAAUUAAUAUAUAUAUCAUUCAUCAAUUAAUUUUAUUUAUAUAUAUUCAUAUAUUUUUUGAAAUAGGUAAACAAAUGUUUCAAAAGAAUGAUAAAAGUAAUUAUUUUACUUUGCAACUUCUGUUAAAAUUCUCGUUAAAAUAACUUUUAGUUUGCAACUUCUAUCAUAAUUCUAGUUAAAAGAAUCAGUCACAUGGAUUCUAUCGAUGGCAUGUAGAUUUAUUGAAUUAAUAUCAUUCUAUGAACUUAGUAACAUUUUUGUUAUUAGUAUACAAAUUAUAAGAUUUUAUAGAACAUAUUAGAACCAUAUCUUUAUUGAAUUUUUUAAAGCAAAAAAAAAAAAAAAAAAAAAAAAACAUAUCUGAUGUAUCGCAAACUACAAAAUUUAAAGAACGAAUAUCACAUACCGUUGAAUCAUACAUGAUUGCCGGUAGGUGACCUUCCAAAACAUGUUGAAUCUACGAUUAUCAUAAACUAGGCAUCAAAAAUAAAUAAAACAUCAAAUUUAAAAUACAGUGAUAUAUAUAUCAGAUAUAUUAUUGUUAUAAAAUAAUUUGGUAUAUAUUUUUAUAAUUUUUAUAAUAUACUAUUAUUUGGUAUAUAUUUAAUAUAUAUUUGAUAUAUGUUUGAUAUCCAUUUAAUAUUAUUGAUUUUCUAUAUAUAACUAGUAUUUAAAAUUAUUUUUUGAUAUCUUUUUGUACUUUUCCAUUUUAUAUAAUUUAUUAUAUUAUAUAUAUAUUUGGUAUAUAAUUAGUAUCUGAAACCGAUAUCUGAAAUUAUCUCUUUGGUAUCUAUUUCGGAUUUUUAGUAUCAAUUUCACAUAUUUUGAUAUCUAUUUAGUAUACUUUUAAUAUAUCUUUAAAAUAUUUAAUAUAUUAUCCCGUUAAUUUUCUGUCAGUUAUUCUCCUUUUAAUGACAAUUGAAAAAAGAAAAAAGAUAAGCGUCAACCCUUCUUGCGAAAUAGAUGAGAAUAUUACCUUCCAAUGCAUAAAUAAUUUUAAUACAACUCAAACCUAUUUAAAAAAAUUAACAGAAUUUGUUUCACUAGGAAGAUGCUUCAUUAGCUAAAUGCUAAAAUAUAAAUGCAGUACAGAGAAAGCAAACUUGGUUCUCUAAUGAUCAUCCAGUUCAUCUUGAUUCCUCUAAACAACAGCCUAUCAACCAUCCGGAGUCCUAUAUAUUUGUCCUGCUGCCACUAAUCCUCCAUACAAGCUGUCCUCAUUAAGUGCUACUAGCACCUCCCAUCUUUAAUUUUUAAAAUAUCCUCAUUUGCAUCAAGACAUGUCUAAGAUUCAAGCAUUUCUCAUUCACAAUAAUGAAGCCAUUAUAUGCAAAGGAUAUGCAUUUAAAUGUCUUGCUAUAAAACUAAUACUUAUUCCACAUACAAUGUUUCAAGUCCACCAAAUAUAUCUUAAGCAACCAGUGAUAGUUACCAACAAGAAUUUAUGAACUCCACACACUGCACAAAAUGCAAAAUCAAGUUUAUUGUAUCUGUUAAGAACACAUAAAACUUUAACAAUUCAACAAGACUCAUAUAAUUUAUAGAGCAAAAUGGGGAGGAGGGAAAAUUCUUAUUCUCUAAGAGCAUACUCUUCACAGUAAAUCCAAAAAGAGACAUGUAUAAUGUUAUGAGAUAGUAGCAAACUUAUUAAUACUAAACCAAAGUUAAUUUUAGUUAAAUUUGACAAAGACAUGCUCCCUGUGAACCACAAAUGAAUGGAAAAAGUAUACAGAUCAUUAUUUUCAUUGAAAUAUUAAACCAGAGGAGGCUAACUGAGAUCCAUUUUAAGUAUAUAUCUAUAAUUAAAUAAAUAAAAAACCAUAUUGAGAACACCCUGAAAAAAAUUGAAAAUCAAGAGAACUUUUUAUUUUCAAUUUCUUUAGAACAAGUGGGCACAUAAAUAGAUAAUUGAAUGAAGAUAAAGAGAAUGAAGGAAAGAGAUAUUUGCAGGUUGAGGAAAAGCAGAUAUGAAGAUGCCAUCUUCAAUCAUUGAGAAAUUAGCCAGUGGAAACUAAGAGCAUUUUCUUUGAGACACAUCCACCAUUGGGCUUUUCCUGUACAACCAACAUGUGUAAAUGCAAGAGCAUUUUGAUUCAUAGAAUCAGAUAUAGAUUGGGAUGUGAUAAAUCACAUAGUAGGGUUGAUCAACACCUAAUACUAUAAUCCUCAAAACAGCAUACCUGUAAACAAGUACAACAAUAAAAUUACUAGAGAUGGAUCCUCAAAUUCACUUUGAUGCUUAAGUUAGAAAUUAAGGAAAACAAGUUAUAGAUUUGUAAUUAUAAAAUGAAUGUAAUGUACCUCAAUUGUAGGUCAAAUUUUUUUUACAUAAUGCUAUAUUGGUCCUUAUUCGUAUGGGAGUAGGACUCCUUUCCUUGUUUGUAGAGUGUUAGUCUUUUAGUUAGAUUCUAUCUUUUUAUCCUAUUUGGAUUUGGUCUCUACGAUCUUGGAACAUUGCUAGAAGUUCCUCAUCUUUGACAGGAACCCUUAUUUUCUUAUGAAUUGAAUGGUGAGUUAUCAUUAAUCCACCUUGUUUAAAAAUCCUCAUCUUAGUUGGAUCAAGUAUGUUUUAUACAUAGUUAUCACUUAUCCCUUUCCUAGCAUAUACAGAAUAUUCAUGUUCGGCCUAACUUGGUGUCUUCGAAUUAAUGUUCGUAAAAUUUAAGAGAAAGAUUGUGUAGAAUGUGAAAUACUCCGAGCAAGAUAAGUAUUCGUGUCACAAUGUAUCUGACUUGCUCAAAUUAGCUUGGCAUUUUAAAUUUCUUAAAAUAGGAUACAUACCAUUCCAUUUUCUUUCUUCUACUCGUUCUUAAGCUUUUUAUCUAUUUUUAAGAAGCUUGAUUUUUCUUGGGUCAGUGUCUACCUUAAAUUAUCUCGUCUCAGAAUUAUUUUGCUCAUUCUAGAGCUAGGUUGCUUGGCUUAGAGAUUUCAUUGAAUUGCUUUCUUAGAGUUGAGUUGCUCGAUUUAGAGUUUUUCUCAUAGUUGCUUAGAUUAGAACUUUCCUCAUUUUUUCUUUUCUCAGAGCUUUAAGUUAUGUUGCUCAUCUUAGAGCUUUCCUUGCAGUUGCUUAGAUUUCCUCAUAGUUGCUCGAAUUAGAGCUUUCCUCAUUUUUGCUCAUCUCAGAGCUUUAAGUUAUGUUGCUCAUUUUAGAGCUUUCCUUAUAGUUGCUCGGAUUAGAGCUUUCCUCAUUUUUGCUCAUCUCAGAGUCUUUUCUUGUAAUUCCUCAAAUUAGAGCUUUAAGUUAUGUUACUCAUCUCAGAGCUUUCCUUAUAAUUGCUAGGAUUAGAGUUUUCCUUAUUUUUUCUCAUCUUAGAGCUUUCCUUAUUUUUGCACAUCUCAAAGCCUUCUUUGUAUUUGCUCGAAAUAGAGCUUUCCACAUAGUUUCUCGGAUUUGAGCUUUUUUCAUUUUUGCUCAUCUCAGAGCUUUAAGUUAUGUUACUUAUUUCAGACUUUUCUUGUAUGCUCAGCCUACUCUUUUUUGCUCAGUCUACUCUUUUCUGCUUGGCCUAUUGUCAUUAUGUCCUGCUCUUUUAGGUUGCUCAUCCUUGCUCUUAUAUUCUCUGUUGUCCACAUCUUUCUUCUUACAUGUUCGAUAAUCUUCGUCUAACCUUAUAAAGCUACAUGCUCUCUCCAUGAGUUCUUGAUAUGUAUCUGGUGGUUAGUGGGUGAGAGAGUCCUUAAAUUGAGUUAUGUUGGUGUUGUUUGUCAUUUGCAUCUAUUGUUGUGUCGUGAUUUAACCUCUUUACUUGAAUAACUUCUUUAUUGAACCUCUCGACAUAGUCUUUUAAGCUUUGUUUGUCUUCUUGAACACAAUUUUUGAGAUCACUAGACCUUUUCUUUAGAGGUAUGCUGGUAAUGAAGUGUGCUUGGAAUGCCAAAGCUAAUAGAUUGAAAUCUUGAAUAAACUCCUCAGCCAACCUCUAAUACCAUUUUUGAGCAGCAUCUUUCAGUGUGGUAGGAAAAACUCUAUAUAGAAUGUAAUCAGACAUAUCUUUCAGUCCCAUUUUAGUUUGAAAGUUUGAGAAGUGGCUCCCAAGAUCUCCUAGACAGUUGUGUGAGUCUAGUACAUACAUGCAUUUUGAAUUUUAUAGGGACCUUAGCAAUGAGGAUGUUCUUGGUUAGAGGGUUUCCAACUACGGAGAUAUCCUCCCUUAAAUGCUUUGUUCAUUUCAUCUGCUGAAAAGCCUCAUAAAUUCUCUUGUUCAUAUUAUCCUUGAAGGCUUGUCUCCACUGAUUAUUAUGGCUCCUUGAACUUAAGUUGGCCUUAUGAUCUCUUAUUAUUUGAUUUAUUCUAUUAUCUUGCUCUCCUAUAGGAUUGAUCACUUAUGGAGUUGCUCCUUCUUGGUGUUGGAUAAUGUUAUUCAAACUUAUGGUCCCUUGGUAAGAUGGAAACUAAUUUUGAUUAUUCGGCGCAACUAGUGCCUGUAGCUCAUUAUAGCUUGGCUCAACGGAUCUUGGUAAUUUUGUUGCAUUGCCUGGAUUUGGGAAUUAUAUUAAACUAUAAUAACCUAAGGAGAAAGGACUUGGAUGGGUUAAGAGGAGCCGGUGGGAUGAAUGUUUAUGGGUAUAUGGAGUUUGCAUAUAUGUGUGUGCUAGACUAAGGGGACUAGGAGAGAAAUAAGGGAAUUUCCAAAUCAGAGACUGCUUUGGUGGCCAAAGGAGGUAAGGAGACCACUAGAGGGUUAUCCAAGUAGGGUCAGAAAAAUUAAGAAAUCACAGUAGGUGGUGUAUAAAAUGGAUUUUGGCAGUGCUAGUAGUAUAUUUUGCCAAGUAGCGACAACCACAGGCGGUGAUAAGAUUAUUAGUGUAGAUAGAUUUAUAGUUUGAGAGGAACCUACAGGUUGAGAUGAGAUAAUGGACUGUGAAUUUUACUAUCAUAAAUAAACAUCAAGUAUCACUUAUCAAUCCCUCUAAUAAUCAUGUAAGCUCCAUUUGGUUUGGUAGAACCAAUAUUUUUAAAACUGGACCAGUGACUGAAUUGAUUAUAUAAUACCUUAAAUUUGUAAUGUAGAUAUGCUUCUAAUCCCGGAACCCAAUAGGCUCUGAUACCAAAUUAGAAACAAGAUCUAGGAAAUAGAAGGAAAUAAUAAGCAGUGAAGAUUUAGAUCUAAGUUCGUGGCGUUGUAACCAGAUUCACGCUUUAAGCAGCCUGUAGGAGCUUUAGAUGCUCUUGCAGAAUCUGUUUUCCAGCCUAUAAACUUAUAGAUCUGAAAAUAAAUUUGAACAGAAAGAAACAGCAAGUUUCUGAUGUGCAGGAUCCUCUUACGAGGCAAGCACAGAGCAUACGCUUGAUGAUGGGGAAAGAAGAAGAUGAUAGAUAAAGAAGAUAAACUUUGAAUUGCUUUAUUAAUAAUAACAGACUUUGAACAUAAACAUUUAAACAAUCUUUGAAAGCUUUAAAUAAACAUACAACUUUGUAAGACUUUGAAACAGAAGAAAAUAUAGACUUACAGGAGGAGUUACAAGAUUCUCUCUCUCUUACUCACUCUCUUUUACUCUAAUCUCUUCUGUGAGAUUUAGACUCAGGAAGAGCUUUCUUCUCUCUUCUAAAUUCUAAGUUCUAAAUUCUGAGGGAUGAAGAAGGAGGACUCCUCUAUAUAUAGAGGUCUUGGAGCUUUGGAUACUUGUCACGGGCUUUGGAUGCUUUGCUUAGUGGAGUAGAAAUGAUUCCACUUGUCUUUGGAGUCUUGUGGAGAUUCUUCACAUGCUUUGGAGUCUUUUGAUAAUGCCAACCGCCUUUUGAGAAAGUUGUCGGCCAUGCUUUGAAAGAAUCUUUUGCUUUUUUGACUUUUGUUUUUUCUUUUCUUUUCUUUUUCUUUUUCUUUUUCUUUUCUUUUUCUUUUUCUUUUUCUUUUUCUUUUCUUUUUCUUUUUCUUUUUCUUUUUCUGGGCUUUAGUGUGGGCUUUUUGGCCCAACACAAAUAACCUUGGGCUACCAUUUCUGGUUUUUAACCCAUGGGCUUUAAAAGAAGGAGAUAAUAUUUAUGAGAUUUUGAGUAUCCCAUAACAAUCGUCUCCCGCUGGAUCAUCCAAAUCGAAUGCAGCAGUACUAGCAUUGGAAGAGGAUGAUGAUGAGGCUUUGGAUUUGCCUUUAGAAGAAGCUGUUUCAGACAACUGUUUUAUAAGUUGUAGGAAAUCUUCUUCGGUUUGGGCUGCAGCAAGCUUUGGAAGGAGAAAAGACUCCUGUGCCAAGAACGUUGUUUGUUCUUUAGGAGGAGGCAAGAAGCUAUAUUUGGUCAAGAAGUUUUGAACGGCUUUUAGGGACAGUUUGUCUUGGUGGUUGAAUUUAUCCCACUAUUUUACUUUGAAUCGACGGAUAAGUGUAAUCUCACCAUCUGGAAGCAGAUUGAAGUGAAAGUACCAUACACAUACCCAGGGUAAAAAGAAAUUUGAACAGAAAAGGAGAAGCGGGGGAAAACGCUUUUCCAUGGAAUUUGGUUUGUAAUUUGCUUUGAAUAGGUUGAACAGGGGUAAGACUUCGGGAAUAAGAGUCUCAGGGGCAUUACCGUAGUAAUUCCACCACUGUUUAAACCAGUAAGGGAUUUUGGAGGUUUGGAUAUUGGUGUCGAAGUAGAAUAGCCAGGAGUGGCUUCUUCCUUCGUUUUGGAUAAGAAAAGUAUUGAACCAGGCUUGCUGGUAAUCCCAAUAGGAGAAAGAGGUGUUAAGAUUUGAAGGGUAGGUUCUUUUUAGAGAAGUAGGGAAGGAACGAAGAGAGUGUAAAUCCAUACCCCAAUCAGACGGGUGAAGGAUUAUUUGGAUUGUGCAUGUUGAAUAUGCAGGGUCUUUAUGGGCUUUGUCUUUUUUGAAGUGCUUGAAUUUGGCUGAACCAGUAACCUCAAGGAUUGACUGGUAAUAAGCUUGAGGCUUUGAAAUAUUCCAGGGUUUAAAAAACCAACCUGGAGGGAAAAUCUUUGAAACCAAUUUUGAGGGGCUUUCUGUGCAGAAUCCUUCCUCAAUGGUUAAAACAUUUUGAAAAAUAGGUUUUUCCAAAUACUCAUUUGAUUUAAAACGUUUUGAUUGUGUCAAAACAAUCUCCUGAGAGUUUGGCUUUGAAAGACUAUUUGAGUUUUGAGAUAGAUUUGGAGGGAAAAUCUCUAUCUCGGUAUUUUGAAAAGGGAUAGAUAAUAUACCUUUACCCUUUGUAGAGGAAGAGGACGACUUUGGAGUCGCUUCUGGCUUUGGAAUGAUUUGCUUUGUAGAUGGUUCAGACAGGGAUUGAACCAUUUGUCUUUUGUAUUCCUCUACUCUUUGAAUGAAUUCAGGGUCUUGCUGGGCAAGCCAUUCCUGAAUUUGUUUGGCUUGAUCGGCUUUGAAAGGAUCCAUCUGAGGUUGAAUUGGAUCCGGUUGAUUAAUUUCUUCUUGGACUAUCUCAGUCCAAGUCCUGAUGGGCUUUGAAGUUGAAGGGAGGACUUCCUUCACUGGGCUUUGAAUUUUGGUCGGUUUUGAAGAGGCCGUGGACUUUUCUUCUUUAGAUUUCGAUUUUCUUGGCAUUUUGUAUCACUCCUGUUUUUGUAAAAACUCUCUGGUUAGAAAGUCAGGAAUAGAAUUUGAUUCUCCACGAAUAAAUUCAAUUUCAAAAUCAAAAACAGAUAAGAUAGCUUGCCAACGGGCGAAAAUCUGUUUUGAAGCUAUAUUUUGGACAUCUUUUUGUAAAACUUCUUUUGCAGAUUUGCAAUCAAUCCUUAAAAGAAAUUUUUGAUUUAAAAGAUCGCUUUGAAAUUUAGAAAUACAGAGAACUAUCGAAAGGAUUUCCUUUUUUAUAGUAGAAUAAUUCUUUUGAGUAUCGUUCCAGUGAGCAGAAGUAAACUGGACAAUACAUUCUUUGGAAUUUUGGACUAGCUUAAGAAUCCCACCAUAACCUAACUCUGAUGCAUCCGUUUCUACAAUCUUAAAUGCAGAAGGAUCAGCUAGAUGCAGGCAAGGAAUUUCUAAAACUUGUUUUUUAAUGCUUUGGACUAUCUUUGUAUGUUGAUCAGACCAAUGAGGGGGGUUUUUCCUUAGCCUAUCAUGCAGGGGCUUUGCAAGACAGUUUAAAUUAGGAUAAAAAUCCAUAACAUAAUUUAAACUACCAAGAAAUCUUUGAAGUUGGGUUUUUUCCAAAAUUUUAUCUGGAAACUUUGAAGUGAAUGCAAGGGAUCUCUCAAUUGGAGUAAUUGUACCCCGAGAGAUGUAAUGACCAAGAAAUCUAAUUUUCGUUUGAAAAAGAGAUAUCUUAGACUUUGAAACCACUAAACCAUUUUUCUUAACAACAUAGAAAAACGUUUCUAGGUGUUUAAAAUGCUGUUCAAUGGAAUUUGAAAAGAUUAAAACAUCAUCUAUGUAGACAAUGCAGAACUUUGAAAAUGGAUUAAAAAUGUCAUUCAUGAUUUUCUGAAAUUCAGAAGGGGCAUUUUUUAAUCCAAAAGGCAUCACAUUCCACUCAUAUUGGCCGAAUGGGACUGUAAAUGCCGUUUUGUAACGAUCUUUUGGAUCAAUCUGGAUUUGCCAAAAUCCUGAUUUCAUGUCAAACUUUGAAAAGAUGAAUGCAGAAUGCAGUUUUUGUAAAAGAUCUUUCUUAUUUGGAAUAGGAUACCUAAUCCACUUAAGAGCUUUGUUCAAUGGUUUGUAGUUGAUCACUAGCCUAGGAGUUCCUCUUUCUAUCUCGCUAUUCUUAUUGACAUAGAAAGCUGCGCAAGACUAAGGUGAUCUAGACUUUGAAAUUAAACCUUUAGACUCAAGAUCUUUAAUCUCUAAUCUGCAAUGGCUUUCUAAGGACUCAUUCAUCUGAAUGGGUCUGGCUUUAGUAGGGAUUUGCUUAUCUGAAAAAUCGUUUUCAUAUGGCAAAUCUACCAUAUGUUGCUUUCGAUUCCAAAAAGCAUUUGGAAGAUCAGAACAGAGUUCAUUCUCAAUCUUCAUUUGAAAAUCAGAAAUUUUUCUUUGAAUAAAAUCAUUUUGCAGUUGAUCUAGGAUUCUCUUCAAACCCACAUUCAGACUGGACAGUUAGGUUUUCUCCUACCUUCCACUCAGGGGCUUUGUUCCUUACUGUGACAGGACUAAUACUCUUAUCUUUAAAAGGAUAUGAGUGACCAUGCUCUUUGCAAUAAAUUUGAAACCAAUCAAAAAAUUUGAUUUGGGCUUUGUUUUGAAUACAAAAUUGAUAGUAUUUUUCCUGAAUACUAUCUUUUUCUUUUAAAAAAUUCUUAAAAAACCAAAGUUUCUUAAGAUGGUUUUUCUUUGAAUAGAAAUCUUCAUGCAAGAGUUUUUUAUCAAUUUCAAACUCUUUUGAAAUCAUGUUGAUCUCUGCUUCAAGGUUUUGGGUAAUGGCUGAUGGUGAUGGUGAAGAUGGGGUAGAGGUUAUCUCUAUAUCUUCGUCAUCAUUCUUUGGAUCAGUGUAGACUGGUCUGGGGAUGUUGCUUUGGUAAUCAACAUUCUGGAGUGUUUUUGGAAUAUCAGAUGUUGAAAAUCUGGGUUGUGUUUGGGAUGGAAUUGGUUCUUUGUAAGGGGCAUAGAUAACAGAAGGAAUUUUGGAUACCCUUCCAAUAUCUAUGGUCGAGGUUGAAGAACCAUCAUCAGAAAAUCUAGAGGAAGUUGACUUUCUGUUGAAUGUGAUCUUUACCUUUCCAUCUGGAUAUUGGGCUAUGUGUUUGAGGUUUGUAUUUGGUUCUGUUUGCUUUGGAGAAGUAGGUUGGGUUGCACCUUCAAGGAUCCAUUCUUCUGGAAGUGUAAUGUCUUUCCAUUGAAUGGUCUUUGGAAUGGUUGUAUUUGAUUUGGAUAGAUCUGUUUGAAGGAACAGGGUUUCUCCUUUUGGUGAGUGAAGUUUGUGUUUGGAACCAAAGGCAGAAAUCAUAGCUUUGUAAUGAAUUUUGAAAAUUAAUGCUAUCGGAAUAGAUCCUUCAAGCAUUUUGUAAUUGUGAGUUUUGAUUUGAAGAACGAUGCUCUUUAAAACAUUUUUAUCGUUUAAAGAAAUCGUGAUAUUUGGAAAACAAUUGAAAGAAAUAGGUCCUUUAUUGAGACUCGACUCAACAGUACCUAACAGGGAAUCAUAGAAAUUUGUAAAUCUAGCAUCCCUAAGGACGGCUAAUAUGGAAGUAUCUAGACCUUCUCUGGUAAGGGGCUUAAUACCUACCUGGACUAGACCUAUGUGGAUAUACUUAUAAUCCUUUUCCAUAUGCUUUUGUAGGGUCUUUGGAUUUAAGAGAUAAAUCUCUUCAAAAGGUUUUGAAAUUUGGAUAUCUCUUUCUUCAGUCUUGAUUGUAAAAUCAGUCUUGAAGAGAGGGAACUUUGAAAACUCAUAAAUUUGUUUCUUUUGGACUUUGGGUAUUUCCCAAUCGUCUAUAUGCUUUGAAAAAUCUUCAAUAGUGAUUUCUUCACUAUUUACUAGACCUUUGUACCUCGAUGAUUCAGAGGCAGAAGAAUUUGAGAAAGAAGAAGAUUUACAGAAGAAAGGUUCUAAAUUCAUUUUAACCUAAACCAAAAUAACUUUCUAGACAAGCCUGGACCACAGCUCUCAGCUUUACUGCCCUGUCCGUCGGGUCUUACUACUGCGCAUAAAAUGAACAGAACUUGCCUAUAGGAAACCUGAUGCAGUCUAAAAUGAAUGUAAAAUCUUUGUAAUGUAGAUAUGCUUCUAAUCCCGGAACCCAAUAGGCUCUGAUACCAAAUUAGAAACAAGAUCUAGGAAAUAGAAGGAAAUAAUAAGCAGUGAAGAUUUAGAUCUAAGUUCGUGGCGUUGUAACCAGAUUCACGCUUUAAGCAGCCUGUAGGAGCUUUAGAUGCUCUUGCAGAAUCUGUUUUCCAGCCUAUAAACUUAUAGAUCUGAAAAUAAAUUUGAACAGAAAGAAACAACAAGUUUCUGAUGUGCAGGAUCCUCUUACGAGGCAAGCACAGAGCAUACGCUUGAUGAUGGGGAAAGAAGAAGAUGAUAGAUAAAGAAGAUAAACUUUGAAUUGCUUUAUUAAUAAUAACAGACUUUGAACAUAAACAUAUAAACAAUCUUUGAAAGCUUUAAAUAAACAUACAACUUUGUAAGACUUUGAAACAGAAGAAAAUAUAGACUUACAGGAGGAGUUACAAGAAUCUCUCUCUCUUACUCACUCUCUUUUACUCUAAUCUCUUCUGUGAGAUUUAGACUCAGGAAGAGCUUUCUUCUCUCUUCUAAAUUCUAAGUUCUAAAUUCUGCGGGAUGAAGAAGGAGGACUCCUCUAUAUAUAGAGGUCUUGGAGCUUUGGAUACUUGUCACGGGCUUUGGAUGCUUUGCUUAGUGGAGUAGAAAUGAUUCCACUUGUCUUUGGAGUCUUGUGGAGAUUCUUCACAUGCUUUGGAGUCUUUUGAUAAUGCCAACCGCCUUUUGAGAAAGUUGUCGGCCAUGCUUUGAAAGAAUCUUUUGCUUUUUUGACUUUUGUUUUUUCUUUUCUUUUCUUUUUCUUUUUCUUUUUCUUUUCUUUUCUUUUUCUUUUCUUUUCUUUUUCUUUUUCUUUUUCUUUUCUUUUUCUUUUUCUUUUUCUGGGCUUUAGUGUGGGCUUUUUGGCCCAACACAAAUAACCUUGGGCUACCAUUUCUGGUUUUUAACCCAUGGGCUUUAAAAGAAGGAGAUAAUAUUUAUGAGAUUUUGAGUAUCCCAUAACAAUCGUCUCCCGCUGGAUCAUCCAAAUCGAAUGCAGUAGUACUAGCACUGGAAGAGGAUGAUGAUGAGGCUUUGGAUUUGCCUUUAGAAGAAGCUGUUUCAGACAACUGUUUUAUAAGUUGUAGGAAAUCUUCUUCGGUUUGGGCUGCAGCAAGCUUUGGAAGGAGAAAAGACUUCUGUGCCAAGAACGUUGUUUGUUCUUUAGGAGGAGGCAAGAAGCUAUGUUUGGUCAAGAAGUUUUGAACGGCUUUUAGGGACAGUUUGUCUUGGUGGUUGAAUUUAUCCCACCAUUUUACUUUGAAUCGACGGAUAAGUGUAAUCUCACCAUCUGGAAGCAGAUUGAAGUGAAAGUUCCAUACACAUACCCAGGGUAAAAAGAAAUUGAACAGAGGGACUGUAAAUGCCGUUUUGUAACGAUCUUUUGGAUCAAUCUGGAUUUGCCAAAAUCCUGAUUUCAUGUCAAACUUUGAAAAGAUGAAUGCAGAAUGCAGUUUUUGUAAAAGAUCUUUCUUAUUUGGAAUAGGAUACCUAAUCCACUUAAGAGCUUUGUUCAAUGGUUUGUAGUUGAUCACUAGCCUAGGAGUUCCUCUUUCUAUCUCGCUAUUCUUAUUGACAUAGAAAGCUGCGCAAGACCAAGGUGAUCUAGACUUUGAAAUUAAACCUUUAGACUCAAGAUCUUUAAUCUCUAAUCUGCAAUGGCUUUCUAAGGACUCAUUCAUCUGAAUGGGUCUGGCUUUAGUAGGGAUUUGCUUAUCUGAAAAAUCGUUUUCAUAUGGCAAAUCUACCAUAUGUUGCUUUCGAUUCCAAAAAGCAUUUGGAAGAUCAGAACAGAGUUCAUUCUCAAUCUUCAUUUGAAAAUCAGAAAUUUUUCUUUGAAUAAAAUCAUUUUGCAGUUGAUCUAGGAUUCUCUUCAAACCCACAUCUUGUUGAAGAUGAGAAAGAUGGGUCUGUUUUCCUUUGAUCAAAGCAUUGAUUUCAAAAUUGUAAAUGGAAUGGGCUUUGAUAAGAUUCAAAUUUCUCUUUUUUGGUUUUUCUAGAAAAGGAAAAACAAUCUUUGAAUCUUUAGCUUUGAAAAUGAUUCCAGCAGUUGUUACUUUAAAGGGAGUUAUCAAAUUGAUAAACGGAGUCCCUAAGAUAACCGUUUGCUGAAGAUCCUUUGUAAGAAUAAAAACAUUCUUUAAAGCAAUGUUAUUAUUAAGAAUUGCGGCUUCAGUUUUACCAGCAAUCUUAAUCUUUGAAGAAUUGGCUGAAGUCAGCCUUUCUUUGGUUUCUUGGUGAAACCUUUUAGGAACCAGUUCGCAGUUGAUACAAUUGAGGUCUGCUCCUGUAUCAAACAAGGCGAUGGUUUCUAUCUGGAAAUCUCCAGGGAAAACAAGCUUUAUUUGAAUCAAAUAUUUUCUUGAAGUAAUUUCCUUUAAAACAUUGAUAAAGUUUUCAGGAACAUUUUCAGAAACUUCAAGGUUUUGAAAAUCAUUUUCCUCAUCAGAAUCAGAAUCACUAUUCUGCUUGAGGAUCAGGCUUUGAAGCAAAACAAAAUCAUUUUGUUGUUUUUCUUUCAACUCUUUGAGUUCUGUUUUGAUGGUUUUAAUCUCCUUCUGGAGUUCCUGAACAGUAGGAAGAGGGUUUUUCAACUUCUUUCCUUUGUCCAAAAUCAUAGUAAGAUCAUAAGUAUUCUUACUAGAUGAAGGAACCAGAGAUUCAAUUUUUAAAAUUUCUUUUAAAACUUGCUUUUGAAUAAGAGGAUCACUAAUAUGCUUUACAGCUUCAAGAAGAGCUUCUUGUUGCCUAGUGAGCAUAUUAAUGUUCUUUGAAGAGCUCUCUGAAUCUGUCUCAGAACAAUCAGUUGAGGUUUUGAUUUCAUCAAUUUGAAAUUCUUCCUCACUGUUUGAGAACUCUGAUUCAGAUGAAUCAACUAGAAGAGCAGAAAUCUUUUGCAAAACUUCUUCUUCUAUUUUUUUGAAUUACAGGGAAUCAUAGAUAAUCUGCAAUGGCUUUCUAAGGACUCAUUCAUUUGAAUGGGUCUGGCUUUAGUAGGGAUUUGCGUAUCUGAAAAAUCGUUUUCAUAUGGCAAAUCUACCAUAUGUUGCUUUCGAUUCCAAAAAGCAUUUGGAAGAUCAGAACAGAGUUCAUUCUCAAUCUUCAUUUGAAAAUCAGAAAUUUUUCUUUGAAUAAAAUCAUUUUGCAGUUGAUCUAGGAUUCUCUUCAAACAAAAAAGAUCUUCUUCAAAAGCUUCAUUCUGCUUUUAUUUUUUCAAAGUUUAAUAUGAAAUCAGGAUUUUGGCAAAUCCAGAUUCAUCCUAAAGACCGGUACAAAACUGCAUUUACAGUUACAUUUGGCCAGUACGAAUGGAAUGUAAUGCCCUUCGGAUUAAAAAAUGCUCCUUCUGAAUUUCAAAAAAUUAUGAAUGACAUUUUCAAUCCUUAUUCAAAGUUUUGCAUUGUCUAUAUCGACGAUGUGUUGAUAUUUUCAAAUUCUCUAGAGCAACAUUUCAAAAAUUUUGAGACAUUUUUCUAUGUUAAGAAAAAUGGUAUAGUAGUUUCAAAGUCCAAGAUAUCUUUAUUCCAAACAAAAAUUUGAUUUCUUGGACACUACAUCUCCCGGGGAACUAUCAUCCCAAUUGAAAGGUCUCUAGCCUUUACUUCAAAAUUUCUAAACAAAAUUUUGGAAAAAACUCAAUUGCAAAGGUUUCUUGGCAGUUUGAAUUAUGUCAUGGAUUUUUAUCCAAAUUUGAACUGUUUAGCAAAGCCCAUCCAUGAUAUAUUAAAGAAAAAUCCCCAUGUAUGGACUGAUGAGCAUACAAAGAUUGUCCAAAGCAUUAAAAAGCAAGUUUCUGAAAUUUCAUGCUUACACCUAGCUGAUCCAUCUGCAUUCAAAAUUGUUGAAACUGAUGCAUGAAAUUUAGGAUAUGGUGGAAUUCUUAAGCAAGUUCAGAAUAACAAAGAAUGCAUUGUCCAGUUUACUUCUGCACACUGGAAUGAUACACAAAAGAAUUAUUCAACUAUCAAAAAAGAAAUUCUUUCGAUAGUUUUGUGCAUUUCAAAAUUUCAAAGCAACCUUUUAAAUCAAAAAUUUCUUUUAAGAAUUGAUUGUAAAUCCGCCAAAGAAGUUUUACAAAAAGAUGUUCAAAAUAUAACUUUAAAACAAAUUUUUUCCAAAUGGCAAGCCAUUCUUUCUGUUUUUAAUUUUGAAAUCGAAUACAUAAGAGGAGAUUCGAAUUCAAUUCCAGACUUUCUAACCAGAAAGUUCCUUUAAAAACAGGAGUGAAAAUGCCAAGAAAAUCGAGAGCAAAAGACAAAGUGGAAAAGUCAACUAAAGUUGUUCAAAGCCCGAAAAAGGAGAUUUUACCCUCCUCUUCAAAGCCUAUCAAAACCUGGAUUGAAAUCAUCCAGGAAGAAAUAAAAGAAGACCCAGCCCAAAAGCAAUUUCAUAUUCAGGAGUGGCUUGCACAGCAAACUCCCGAAUUUUUAAAGAGGGUCGAAGAAUAUUCAAAGCAACUAGUCUAACUUUACCCCAAAGUCUCUCCAAAGACAUCCUCCUCUUCCAACAAAGGUAAAGGUAUACUUUCUAUCCCUUUUUCAAAACCUGAGAUAGCAAGUUUCCCUCAAAACCUAUCUCAGAGCUCUCAAAGUAUUUCAAAGCCUAACUCACAAGAAAUAGUUUUGUCGCAAACAAAACUUUUCAAAACCAAUGAGUAUGUAGAAAAAUAAAAUUUUCAAAGCAUUUUAACUAUUGAGGAAGGAUUCUGUACAGAAAGCCCUCAAAACUAGUUUUAAAAAUUUUCCCUCCAGGAUGGUAUUUUAAACCCUGGAAUAUUUCAAGGCCCCAAUCUUACUACCAGUCUAUCCUUAAGGUAACUGGUUCUGCAAAGUUCAAGCACUUCAAAAAGCACAAAGACCACAAAGACCCAGCAUAUUCCACAUGCACCAUCCAAAGAAUUCUCCACCCUUCAGAUUGGGGAAUGGAUUUACAUUCACCAAGAUUUUUUCCAACUUUCCUCCAAAGCUCCUACCCAUCAACCGUAAAUACUUCUUUCAACUAUUAGGAUUACCAACAAGCUUGGUUUAAUACGCUUUUUUUUACAAAACGAAGGACAAAGCCAUUCUUGGCUUUUCUACUUCGACACAAGCACAAUCCAAACUUCAAAAAUUCUAUAUUGGUUUAAACAAUAGUGGAAUUUUUAUGGCAAUGCUCCAGAGACCAUAAUUCUAAAAGUUCUACCUCUGUUUAAUCUAUUCAAAGCCCACUAUAAACCAAACAAAAUAGAAAGACGUUUUCCCCAUUUACUUUUAUUUUGUUUAAACUUCUUUCUCCCGUAGGUAUGUGUAUGGUAUUUCCAUUUCAACUAAGCAACAGAUGGAGAAAUCAUCCUUACCCGAAGAUUCAAAGUUAAAUGGUGGGAUAAAUUUAACCACCAAGAAAAAUUAUCACUAAAGAUGGUACAAAGUUUUCUUUCAAAGAAUAGCUUCUUGCCACCUCCGAAAGAACAUACCACUUUCCUGGCACAAAACUCUUUCAUUAUUCCAAAGCUAGCGGCGGCUCAAACAGAAGAAGAUUUCUUACAAUUGAUCAAACAGUUGUUAGAAACCGCCUCUUCAAAAGGAAAAUCUAAAGCUUCAUCUUCCUCUUCUAGCACCAGCUCAGCAGCAAUUGAUCUGGAUGGAGACUCGAACGAAGAUGACUGUCUUGGGAUAUUUAACCCCAUCAAAUAAUAUCUUUGUAAAGCCCUUGGGUUGAAAACCAGAAAUGGCAGCCCAAAAUAAUUUUGCAAUGGGCCAAAUGCCUAAUAAUAAUAAUAAUUAAAGAAAAAGUCAUUUUAAAAGAAAAGAAAGAAGACAAAAAACUCUACACCUUUACUUUUUUUAAAGUAAAAGAUUCCUCACUGUUGAAACGUGGCAGACAAUUUCUGUAAAAGUCAUGGAGCCUCUCACUCCAUUAUCAAAAGCAUCCAAAAGACGUGGAGCCCUUCACUCCAUUAUGAAGAGUAUCCAAAGCAACAAUUACAGAGCCUCGAGGCUGAAGACCUCUAUAAAUAGAGAAGUUUCCAAAGAAGAAGGCAGACUGAAAAAAUAAGAAGAAACUCUUAUAUUCUUCAAGUCAUACCAUUAGAAAUAUAGUAAGAAAAGAGAGAGUGAGAGUAAUAGUGAGAAACCACCUUCCUCUUUUAUUCAUCAACUCUUGUAAGUUAUAUUUCUUUUGUUUAAAUCUUUCAUUUUAAAGCUUCUAUUUCACAGUUUGUAUAUUUGUUCAUUCAACAAUAAACAAAGACUUGUUAUUUUAUUUUACUAUUUCUUUUAAGAUUUAACAAGUGUAUGCUCUGUGCUUGCCUUGUCUAAGGAUCCUGCACACCAGAAACUUGUUAGUCUAUAUAUAUAUAUAUAUAUAUAUAUAUAUAUAAUAAAACCAAAUAAUUGGUAUAUAGUGUAGAAAUUUUAAUAAAAAUUGGAUUUUAUAAUUUAUGUAUUAUUGAAAUUGUCAUCUUUAAGUAUGGUUAGUAUUAAAUUAUAAUAUUGUCUUGGAUAGUUAUACUUUUAUUUGAAUUUAUUUGAUUAAAUAAAAAAAGUAACUAUAUUAAAUUGAUAUUUGAGAUAUACAUACGCUUAAUGAUGAAAAUCUAAUAAUAUGAGGGGUCAUUAUGCAAAAACACUAGGAUUGGUAUUUUUGUAAAUAUUUAAGUCAAAGUAAUUUUAUUACUAAUGGUGAGAUCAAAAUGGUAACUUUAUAUUUUUUAUUGUUACAAUUUAAACUGAAUUCAUAUUCAAGAAGCUUGUAAUCAAUUCUUCACCAGUCUCUAUGACCACUAAAAUCUUGACUUGCAUGCGUACAAGGUAAUUACAGCAUAGGAUAGUGAAUCAACAUCUAUCCACAAGGAUAAAUCAAUUGAUAUUUGCUAAAACUUAUGUAAAAUAAAAAAAUUAAAUUGUAAAAAUUGGAUAUUGAAAUAAUAAAAGCAAUUAAAUUUCAAUAGUUAAAAACAAUAGAAAUCUAGAUUUCAUUCAAUGGCAAUCAUCAUAAAAGUUAAAUCAAAUUCUCAAUUCUUAAAUGCAACUGUUUUUAAGAAAUUCUAAUAUUCUAUAAAGCUAUUAGAUUGUGUUCAAUUAAGAUAUCAUUCAAGGGCAUAAUUAAAUCCAUUAAAUAACAAUUCAAAUAUCAUAGUCUAUUAGAUAUAUUUCUUUACCUAAAAUCAUUGUGUUUAGUAUCCUAAAUUUAGAUCUAUUCUUCUCCUUUAAGCCCAUCAUACAUGUCACGAUCCGAUAUAUGGAUCCAUGACCAACACUAGAGAAUGGGUAAGUAUAAAGCCACUGAGAUCAUAGCAAGCCUAACUAAUUUAUAGUUUAAAUAAAAUAUAUUUUUAUCCAAUAUGAUAAUAUUUCACUUACCAAUAAUCAUUCAUACAGUUACUAUAUAUAUUAUAUCAGUCCAUCAUUAUAAACAGUUAAUACAACAUUAGAGGUUUAACAUGCCAAAUCUUAAUAAUAGGUCUUAAGAUAAUUACUACGGAGUUCUAGAAAUUCAAAUAGUUAAGAAUACAACAAAAAGUAAUUAUGUCGAGCCCGAGAAAUGAGGAAGUCGGGCUGCAAAAAGAGAGGAACUGUAGAAAAUCUAUCUGCUACCUGAAAAAUUAAAUUGAGACUGUCAGUCUCGAGAGUGAGUUAAAAUCAUAUAUUUCAAAAAAAAUACAAUCGUCUAAAUAAAUAAAAUAGUUAAUUAAUAUAAAUAAUUAUAGAAUAAAUAAAAUGGGUGUCAUGUCAUAAUUCAGAAGAUUCAAUUUUUAUAUAUAUUGGACGAGAACAUCAACAGAACCCUAUACUUCAAUAUCAGCCAAUCGACUUUCUUAUUUCCAAUAAUACUAUCGCCUAUAGAGUCGAGCUCAACCAAGAUCCUUAAGAUCCAAUAUGGUCACUUAAAUUACCAAUAUAGUCGGUACCUAGAGAGCAAUGCUUAACCAGGGACUUUUCCUCCAGCAAAUCAAAAUUUUCAUAAGUCUAGAGAGCUAUGCUCGACCAGAGCACAUUACAAAAUUAUUUCUUUGCUACUUGUUCUAAGUAUUACUGUUGCACACAUGGUCCUCAUGUAACCAUCAAAUGGCAUUGUCCUACUGCUUUCUCAUCCCGAGUUACAUUAUAAUUAUAGCAUCAAUCAUAUUAAAAAGAACAUAAAUCACAUAUUGUCAUACAAUUAUUAAAAUACAAUAUUUGUAAUAAUAAUAAUAAAAGUGGUAAAAUAGUGGCGGCAACAAUAACAAUAACAAUAACAACAACAAUAAUAAUAAUAAUAAUAAUAAUAUUGAUAAAAAUGAUGGUGACAAUAAUGAAAAUAAAAUUAUUAUUUUUAAUAAUUAUUAAUUAAAAAUAUUACAUUUAGAUAGUAACAUGACACGUGCACCGUGGAUUAUAUGACUUUAAUUCACAGUUUUCUCGAAUUCUCCUAGUUGCUACUACGCUUCUGGUGGAGCUGACUGAACCGUCGAAUUAUCUAUUCAAGGAAAUAAUUCAAUUAAUAAAAUAUUUCAUAAUUAAUCCUAGGCCUAGACUCUUAGAAUUAGACUGCCUAAAAAUCUCGAUUGUCUCGACUUGAAAAUUUUACCAAAAAUUCGAUAAAACCUCCCCUAAUAUACGAAUGUUUACACUUAUAAAACGGGUGUAGAACCUGCUAAAAAUACUUAUAAUAAUUAUUAAAAAUUAACAGUAGUCAGGCCACCUAUAAUUGCAUUAUUUUUUCGACUCGUCACACAUCAGAACAAAAUAUUUAAUAAUAAAUUAACCGGCUUAAUUAUCAAUCACAAAUUGCUCACAAUAAUUCUCCAGUACUUAAUUUAAUUAUUUAUAGCCAAUCAUUAUUACAAUACGAAUAAUAAUUAAUCACACUAAUUAAUCCAUAAUAUUUAUAAUUCAACUAUCAAUUAAUUAAAUUAAAUUAAUUGUUUAUUUAUAAUUAACGAUUAAUAGAUUUAAUAUUUGCUAAUAAUUGUUAAAUAAUUUUUUGGGUCCAAAGUAGAUUACUCCAAGUCGAGAAUCUAAUAUUUUGUGCUUCCAAAAAACGCCAUGGUUAGAAAGUCGGUACACUUAAUGGUGUCGAAAGUCAGUACACUUAAUGGUGUCGAAAGUCGAAUCCGAAGAUGCCUACAUGAAGCAUGAGAUGCAUAGAGUCCAAAUACAUUAAAAUCGCAGCCUAAAUGCCGUUGGAAAGUGCUAAAUCGCGGUGGAGAAGAAUCUACUCUAAUGAGGCAUGUACCUUACUAUUGGUGGAGGAAAGAGGAUGAGAAAGGUUACUCUUGGGGUUCAAGGGGGCGGGGAAGCUGUUUCUAGGGUUGAUUUGGCCGGAAAACGCUGGUAAGUGGCUGGUUCCAUAGUGGGUGCGAGGAUGACGGAUUCUCCUCCACUUUUCUUCAGUUUUCGAUGAAAGGAUGGAAAAUGAGUUAGCAUCGGUGAAAGGAUGGAAGAGAUGAAGGAGUUUGGUGGCUGGGGUGAUGAUGCAGGCGGCAGAAAUGGCAGAAAUGGGGAGGGAGUUGGUGGUGGCAUCAAUGGAGAUGAGGAAGGAGAUGGGGGCCUUGGUGUAACUUCUCAAAACAAAAUAUAAAUGCUCCUAAGCCCCCCUUAAAAUGUAGACAUUGCUACAAUACUCUUAAAUUGGUUAUUUUAUUCUUUUCGUGAAUAUAUACAUAUAUAUAUAUAAUACUUAGUUAUAAUUAAAAUAAAUUUACAUUAGUUUUAGACUCAAUAAAAUAAUAAUAAUACAAAAUAGACAAUAUUUAAUAUGAAUUAGUUCCACCUUUUCUUUUAAGAAUAUAUGUACAAACUAAAGCUAAUUUAAAUAAAUUUUGAUUCACUUAUUUAAAAUUACAAAGCUAUAUUUAAAAUUACCAAAAUCAAUAUGAUAUAAUUAUUUGUGAUAAUACCAAACUAAAUGGUACUUAUAGUAACCGGUUAUUAAAAUGUCUUUUAAAUGCUCAAUUUAACUUUGAAAAUAUCUAUUUACUAAGAUUCUCCCAAAAAUAAAUGAAAUUAAAAUUUAAACAUUAUGGGGUCCUCCAUCUCCACCCCUAAAUAAAAUUCAUCCUCAAAUUUAAAAGAAACAAGGCUUAUUUCAAGACUGCAAUAAAAGAGGGUAGGAAUCGCUCAUCUUUUGCUCGAUCUCUCAGGCACAUUCCUCGGUAGAAUGAUUCCGCCACAGCACCUUCACCAUUGAUAGAACUUUAGAGUGAAGCUAGCGAACUUGAGUAUCCACAACCAUGACUGGCUACUAUUAAGUCAAAUCUUCCCUUACCUCCACAUACUGAGGUUGCACCAUGUGCGAAGGAUCUAAAAUAUACUUCCUCAAUAUAGAUAUAUGAAAUACGGGAUGCACAUGCGAGAAAUUCGGUAGUAAUUCCAACUUAUAGGUUGCUUCUCUAAUUCUGUCAAUAAUAUUGAAAGGUCUCACAUAAUAUGGGGCUAACUUGCCAUGCUUAUCAAACCGCAUCACACCUUGCAUAGGAGACACCAUCAGGAAAUGCAUACUCCCUAAUACUGAAUUUCACGUACUUUCGUUUUGGAUUCAUGUAGCUCUUAUGUCUACUAAAAGCUAUCUUCAGUCUUUCGCAGAUGAUAGAAAUCUUUUCAGAAGUAAUAUUAAACAACUCUACUUCUGUUAACUUCCGCUCACCAACUUCUUCCCAACAUACAGGAGAUCUGCAUUUUCUAUUAUAUAAUGCCUCACAAGGAGCCAUCUUAAUUCUCACAUAAUAACUGUUAUUAUAAGCAAACUCAAUCAAUGACAAGUACCAAUCUCACUGACCACCAAAGUCUAUAACACACAUUUGGAGCAUAUCCUCCAAGGUCUAAAAUUGUCCUUUCCGACCAUCAGUCUAGGGGUGGAAAGCUGUGAUAAAGUCUAAUUGGAUACCAAGCUCUUCUUGUAGCUUUUUUUAAAACCUUGAAGUGAAUUGUGGUCCUCUAUCAGACACUAUAGAGAUAGAAGCUCCAUGAAGAAUUACAAUCCUUUCUAGGUAUAUCCUUGCAUACUUAGCCACUAAAUAAUAGUCUUUACUGGUAGAAAGUGCGUUGACUUAGUCAACCGAUCCAUAAUUACCCAAAUAGAGUCAUACUCAGCCAAAGUCUUAAGCAAAUCUGACACAAAAUCCAUAGUAUUCCUUUUCUAUUUCCAUAACAACCUAACAGCUUCUGGUGCUCAAGCUUAACUUGUUGACACAUCAGACAUUUGAAAAUAGACUCUCAUGAAUCCUUCUUCAUCCCGUUCCACCAAUAGAUACCUUUCAAAUCAUGAUACAUCCUAUUACAACCAGGGUGGACACUGUAAGCUGUGUAGUGAGUUUCUUCUAAAAUCUCCUUCUUGAGAUUAUCUACAUUGGGAACACACAACCAAGUGCUAAUCCUGAGAGUGCCAUCAUCAUCUAUAACAAAAUCACUAGCUUAACCCUACUGCACUUCUUUCCAGAUUUUUCUUAAUUGUAGAUCCUGACUUUGAACUGACUUGAUUCUGUUAACAAGUAUGAACUGAACUCUGAAAUGUGCCAACAAUACUCUUGAUUCUAGUACCUCCAACUGCAACCCUAGAUUGUACAACUCAUGCAACUCUUUAGUCAGAGGUCUUUUCUUUAUGCUGAUAUGAGCAAGCUACCUAUUGACUUUCUACUUUACUUGGAUGGUAAAGAAUAGCACAAUCAUAAUCAUUUAGAAGCUCCAACCAUCUUCUUUGCCUCAGAUUCAACUCUUUUUGCUAGAAUAUAUAGUUUAAACUCUUGUGAUCCAUAUUUAUUUCGCAUGUCUCCUUGUAGAAACAGUGCCUCCAGAUCUUAAGAGCAAAAACUACUACUGCCAUUUUCGAAUCAUGAGUGGAAUAAUUUCGCUCAUGCCUCUUCAAUUGUAUAGAUGCAUAAGCCAUUACCUUGCCAUGUUGCAUCAAAACACAACCCAGUCCCACUUUAGAAGCAUCACAAUACAUAGUGAUAGGUUAGCACUAGAGCUGAGGUCAAAUAAUCCUUCAACCUCUAAAAGCUCCAUUAAUAAGCAUCAGUGCGAUAGAACUUGACAUUCUUCUGAGGUCAACCUAGUUAAAGGCGCCACUAUCCUUGAAAAAUCCUGCACAAAUCGGCGGUAGUAGCCUGCCAAACCCAAAAAGCUACGAAGCUCUGUCACUAUAGUUGGUCUCUGCCAAUCAGUUACUGCCUUUACUUUUGUAGAAUCUACUUGAAUACACUAUUUGUACACCACGUGUCUCAGAAAAGCUACACUUUCCAACCAAAACUUGCAUUUGCAGAAUUUAGCAGGUUCUCCCUUAAAGUCUGAAGUACCAUCCUCAAAUGGAACACAUGCUCUUCUUCACUUAUCAUCAAUAAAUAUGAUGAUAAAGCAAUCCAAGAACAACUUAAACAACUGAUUCAUUAGAUUCAUAAAGGCUACAAAAGCAUUAUUGAGUUUAAACGACAUUACAAAGAACUUAUACUGUGUAUAACACGUCCUAAAUGCCGUCUUAAGUAUAUCUUCCUCACGAAUCCUCAAUUGGCGAUACCCCGAUCACAGAUCAAUCUUGGAAAAGCAUGCAGCACACUAAAGCUGAUGGAAUAAAUCAUCAUUACGAGGAAGCGGAUAUUUAUUGCAAAUCGCCGCCUUAUUCAACUGUUAGUAAUCAAUACAGAGGCACAAGGUACCAUUCUUCUUCUUCAUAAACAAUACUGGAGCACCUCAUAAAGACAUAUUAGUUUUGAUAAAACUCUUAUUCAGAAGGUCCUGCAAUUGCUCCUUUAACUCUGCUGAUACCAUCUUAUAAGGUGGCAUAGAAAUGGGAACUAUACUUGGUACCACAUCGAUGCAGAACUCUAUUUCCCUAUCAGGUAGUAAUCCUAGCAACUCCUUUGGAAAAACAUCGGAAAACUCACAAACAAUAUGAAUAUCCUCAACUCUGCCUUUUUUUACCGAAGUGUCCUUGACCAAAGCUAGUAAUUUUACACAUGUAUUUGAGUUGAAUUUUAAUGACUUUUGAGUAAAUAGUUAGUAUUAAUUAGGAGUUUAUUUAAGUUAUAUCAUUAUUCUAGUAUUUUAUUUACUUUUGGUUUAUUUAGGAAUUUGUAUUUGAUUUUAAUAAUUUUUUUCCUUUUUUAUAGAAAAGAUGAGAAAAAGGACCCUAAACAAUCAUGAAAAGCUAUAUCAUGGUUAAAUGUGCCCGUGUUACACACUGAAAGAAGGAUCAGAAAGCAUGACUUGACACACAGUCAUGCCAAAAGCUAUGCCUACUUCUGGAUUUUGAAGAAUAUGACACACGAGCAUCCUCCAAAUAGUGUUUGUUUCUGCCCGAAUCGAAGAAGUUGUGAAAGUUCAACAUGGCUUUAAACACGGGCGUGCGAUAAGUCAUGUCCUAAGGCAGAGGCUGUGACAUGGUCACGUGCCAAGCCGUAUCGAAUAAAAUAGAGUUUUCUUUCAUAUGAAACUUAGAAAUUUAGAGCAGAAUAAGGUUUCUUUUAAGUCUUGGCUAUAAAAGAAGGGGGGGGGGGGGGGCAUAAAUAGCUAUUUUGGGGGAACAACCAUUACAGAUAAAAAAAUUUGAACACUCAUUCAAGGAGAUCAAGAAGAUUUGUGAAAGGAUUCAAGAGUUUGAACUAACUACUUCAUUUUCUUCUUUGAUUUCUUUAAUGAUGUUUAUGUGUUUUGCCGCAAUCAUGUUCAACUAAACUCUUCUUAGGGUUUAGAUUUGUGUAGCUAGUCUAUUACUUUUUUGGAUCUUUAUUUCCUUUCAAUGAAUUAAUAUUCACUCAAUUUUAUAAGUUGCUAAUUAUUCUUGUAUUUGAUUUUAGGCCUGAUAAAAUACAUGUUUUUGACAAGAAAAGUUGCAUAAUUUAUCAGCUUAUAGACUUGUAAACUUAGGAACCUUGAACAAGAAAAUAGAUGAAUUAUUUGGGGAGUAAUAAAUUGCUAACGAACUUAAUCAACCCUAGUUAAUUGACAUGACCAUGAAAAUAGGUUGUACUUGACUUUGAUAUUCUUAGAUGAGCUCGAAAGAAACUUUAAGCAGUUUGAGUGAUUUACCCUUGACUAAGGUUAAUGAAUUCAAUUGUGAAAAGAUCUUAUAAUCCGAGUAAUAGCUAGUGAAACAAAUCUGAGCUCUAAUUUUAAUUAUUAGAUUUAAAAAAAUAUUAUUAGCUUUAAAUUCUCUUUUCUUAUUAGUUAUUUAUUCAAUUACAAUUAUUCGAUUUUAUUAGAUUGUGAAAAUAUAAUUUGGGCUGAUACUUGGUAUUAAUCUCCUUGUGGAAAUAAUACUUAUAUUCACUCUUCACUACUUGUUGUGAUUCGUGAACUUGCGGAAUUUGCCUAAUAAUCCCUAACAUUCAUAGUGAAGCAUCUAUCUAGCCGUAAUAGUAGACAUGAGAUUUGAUGGUGUAGGCAUCUGAUUACCCUUGAAGUGAAACUUUGAGUCUCUUGGAAUUCUAAAAAUCAUAUGUUUUCCCAAACAAUCCAACGUGUCAUAAUGCAUAGCCAACCAAUCUAUUUCCAAAAUUACAUCAAAGUUUAGGGCGUGCAACAAAAUUAUAUCGGCAGUCAUAUCUCGAUCUUCAACUGACACUAGACAUGAUUGAAAAAUGAUGUCAGUCUCUAAAGCAUCACUUAACAACAUAGUCACAGACAUGGGAACCUGAAGCCUAAUUAGUUGAAUACGCAAUCUUAUUGCAAAGUUAGGAGAUAUAGAAGAACAAGUAGCCCAGGGUCUAACAAUUCUCUAGUAUCAAAAUAACAAACUGGAAUAAUACUUGACACCACAAUAUUGGAAACUCAGGCAUUCUGAUAUGUGAGAGUGAACACUCUAGUUUGUCCACGGCCUGACUUCUGUGAACCUGAUGCCUGGUUCUAAAUUCUACCCCUUGGCUUGCCUAGCCUUGCCUCCGAACCACGACCCUGCUGGUCGGCAAAUUAAGUUCUAACCUGGGAAUAACUAGGAGCUGCUGAAUAAGUUGGUCGGGCUAUACUAGUAGAUGAACCUUGAGAAAAAGCUAGCUUAUUGAAAUAUCGAAGGCAUGCUCGAGCCAUAUGACCCAUCUCACCACAUCUGAAACAAGCUUUAUUAGAUACUAGGCACGCUCCCUAAUAUGGCUUGCCACACAUUUGACAAGUACUGACUCUUGAACUUGAACUGUUGUAACAAAAAUUCUAUCUAUUGCCAUUAAAUCUUUGUCCUAGCCUUAAUCCUUGAUUAUACUUCCAAUUAUGCCUACCCAUAUGACUACGGGCAUGACGUUGUGAGCUUUGUGCACAACUUUUUUAAGAUAAAGUUUUUCAUAAAGAGUUGGACCUAUUAAAGGCCUACAUCCAUGUUAAAUCAGGAUUUCUUAAAGGUGGUUCUGAGAUGUUUCGGCUUCAAUGAGCAUUGGGUCCAGAUGAUUAUGUACUGUGUUUGAAAUGUAACUUUCUCAAUAAAUGUGAAUGGCUAGAAAUUGCAGUCUUUUAAUCCAUCUAGAGGUCAAGGAGACCCCAUAUCACCAUUUUUAUUCUUGUUAGUCACAAAUGUUCUUUCUCGAAGGUUGACUGUAGGGAUCUGUAAUGGUAAUCUUGAAGGGAUAAAGCUUAGACGAUCCAACCCUACUCUCUCCCAUAUGCUAUUCGCAUAUAUUAUCUUUAGCAAGGCAUCCUUUAAUGAAGCUUUACAACUGAAAGAGUAUUAGAUCAUUACAGCUUUCCUUCAGCAGGCAAUUAACUUCUCAAACUCAGCUGUGUAUUUCGGGAAGCAUAUUGUUGAUUCUGCUGCAAGAUCUUUCUAUGGUAUUUCUGAAGUUAAAAAAGCAGACAUUUUUCAUCCUUAUUUCGGAGUGGCUUACUAUUUACGGAAGCCUUAGGCAAGUUAUAAAAAUGAGGCCUUUUAAUGUUAAAUAUACAAAUUAAAUUCAAAUUACACUACUUUUGGCAUUUCUCAAUGCAAAACUACUAAUUAAAUUUUGUAUUUAGAUUUAGCCAAUAAAAUAUUUUUGAUAAAUAAGAUUGUUAAACUAAUUAAUUUAUAUAUUGAAACAUAAUCAUUCGUAAAUAAUUUUUUAAUUUUUUUAAUUUGUUUUCAACUUGUUUUAUAGAUGCAACUGUAAUAGAUAAAUAGUAUUCUAUAUGCAAUAAAGUAUUUUAGCAAAAAUUUAUUACAUUAAGUAUUAUAAUGAGAGUAUUAUUCCUUUUUGCUAUUUUUAAAAAAAUUUAAAUUCAAAAAUAAAUUAAAACCAUUAAUAUUAGAAUACAUGUGAUAUUUAAGAUCGAGAUAUUUUAUAUUAAAUUAUAAUUAUUAAGAGAUUCUUAUUUCUUAUUAGUAAUAAAAAAAAUUAAAUAUAUUACCAUACUUUGAAAAUAAUUCUUAUGAAAUGCUACUAUUUAGAAAAAAUAAACAUUAGAAUAUUUUCUUUUCUUUCAAAUUUUUUGACUUAAUUAGUAAUAAAUGAGAUAGUUAUUAGACUCUAGGUUUUAGAGGACAAAAAAAUAUAGAAUGAUGCUAUAAUUUAGGAAAGAAUAAAAUAAAAGAUAAUAAAUUUUAAUUUUUUAUUUUAGUUUUUAAGUUUAUAUACUUAUUUUUAGUUUUUUUUUUUCUACUUUGUAGGUUUUUUCAUUAAAUUACAUUCUAAAAUUUAAAUAUUUUUUAAUUUAACUUUAUUAAAAUACUUUUAUAGUAUAUAUGAACAUUUGUAAUUAUACUUUGUAGUAAAUCGACCAAUGCAUACUAAAAUUUACGACGCUUAGUCUAAGCAUGUUUACUCAAUUAAAAGAAUAUAAGUUUAUAUCCAUGAUAUGCACAUUUGAACCGAAAAUACUUUAAUUAUGUGUAUGGAUUUAAUUCAAAAAUUUAGCUAUUAAAUAUUAAAAUAAAAAAUUCAAAUAGCAUAUUUUUAAUUGUAAUUUGAAAUUCUGAGUUAAAAUCCUAAAUUCAUCAAAGAUUUUGUUUUAGAUUGUAUUGAUAGGUCCAUUAUAUAUAGAGGAUGUUUUAGUGCUUUAAUAAUAUAUUUUAUACAAUAUGGUGAGUUAUUUAAGUUUAAUUGUCUAUUUUCAUAUAAUAUUAGCCAAGAAAGAAAAAUAUGGAGAAAAAUAUUAAAAAUGAGAAAUAAGCUUAAUUGGACAUGUUCGUAUAAAGGCUCAGGAUUAAGACACAUGAACCUGCUAUUUGCUGUGCUAACCGAAUUAUAAAAUGACCAAGAUGGGCCUUUUAAUCAUUUUGUAUUAUUAUUAGGAUUUAUAUUAAGAGUUAUUUAUGUAAUAAUAUUUAGUGAAGAUAAUGAUAUGUAUAAUCUUAUCUAUCAUAUAGACUUAUAUUGAUAUACUUGUCUCGAGCGAGACUUAGUUAGAGGUGGACUCUUUUUAAUAUAAAUCUCUACAAAUCUAGUUCUAGAUGAGGAGGAGAGUUCUCUCCAUUCUGCUUUCUACAUCUGUCCACCACUAUUUUCAUAUAAUUCUUCCAUAAACACUUUAGUUUAGUUCUCGUUACUCUUUUUAAGAUUUAAGAAGUUUUUCAAGAAGAGGAAAGUGAGGAUCAAUUAUCUUUCUACUUGAAGAAAUUCUAGAUCUAAAGGGAGCUCUUACUUUAUUAUUUUAUGUCUUUCUAUUUAAUAUCAUGAUCAUUGGGUUAAAUAUGUUNNNNNNNNNNNNNNNNNNNNNNNNNNNNNNNNNNNNNNNNNNNNNNNNNNNNNNNNNNUAUAUUUAUAGUUUAGUAUAUGUAGUAACCAUCAUAUUAAUUUAAUGAUAAUAAUUUUAUAAAAAUAUUUAGAUUGAAUGUAUUAGAGACACCAUCUUUGCUUCAAUCUGUAUUGGUAGAAGAAACUUUGGUUGCAUCAUUAGUUUGAGUAGCUCAAGAAAAAAACACAUCACUAUCUCAUUCAUUAGAUCUUGGCUUAAAGUAAAAAAAGAAGAUUACUAAAUAAUUGGCUAGACUAAAUACUAUUUUCAUUAUAUAGUUUUAAAUCAUAAGCAUUUGCAUUGUAUAUUCAGUUAUUAUUUGGUUACUUUUAUUUAUGAAUAUUAUUCUCUCAAAAUACUGGUUUAUAGUGUUUAGAAUUACUUUUAUAAUUUUAUGUUGAUAAUUAGUCUUUAUAAUAAGUGGUCUCAUAGUUCUUUGAUAGAUCGACCUCAGGGUGAAUUUACCGCUUUACUAUAAGAACGGUUCGUGCACUUGCGAGUAUUAACUUAGACACAUCAAGUUUUUAGCGUCGUUGCUAGGAAACUCUGUCCAAAUUUUAUUAUAUUGAUUGAUUAUCAAAAGUGUCUUUUAUUUUUUUAUUUUGUAUUUUGUGUUUUUUUGCAUUUUUAUUUUAUUUUUCAAUUUUAUUAUUUUAAGUUUUUAAAUCUGAAAUUUUCUUUUGUUUUGUAUAUGAAGAAGAAAAACUAAAUCAAGUAACUCAUCAACUCAAGAGAUUGAAAAGGAAUCAAAAGAAGAAAUUGAAAUCAUGGCAACCCCACUAAGAAAAGUAGGAGCUGAAAAGCAAAUGGCUAUAAAAGAUUAUGCACGACCUAUAAUUGGUAAUAUUACUUCAUGCAUAGUUCUAAGUGAUGCAUCUAUGAAUUAUGAACUAAACAAACAUUCAUUUUAACAUGCUUCCUUCAUUUUAUGGUACGUCUAAUGAAGAUGCAUUAACAUUCAUUAUAGAAUUUUAUGCUAUAGUUUAUACUUUCCAUUAUCUAGACUUAAUGAGGAUCAAUUGAGAAUGAGGUGUUUCUCUUAUUUAUUGAAAGAUAGAGCAAAGGCUUGGUUAUUGCAUCCUAAUUUUUUGAGAACUUGAGGUGAAGUUUAUCAAAAGUUUAUGAGUAGGUUUUACUCACAUCAAAAGACCAAAGAAUUAAGAGCUGAAUUUCUAUUUUUUAUCAAAAGAAUACUAAGUCCUUUCAUGAAGUAUGAGAUCACUUUAAAUCACUUCUAUUGCAAUGCCCACACCAUAGAUAUCCACUUUCAAUAACUAACCAACUAUUUUAGGAUGGGUUGAUACAAUAAUAUUAAUGUGUGGUUGAUAAUGCAGCUAGGGGUGUUAUGUUAAAAAGGAUAGCUGACGAGGUUUAUGACAUCUUUAGGAUGUUAGGAGCCAAUUCUCAACAAAAGAGUGUGAUGAUAAAAAGAGUAGGAGUAAAUGAAGUAGUAGCUAGUAGUGAGAUGGUCAUGCAAUUGGCUGAAUUGAAUAAGCAAGUUAAGAUGCUUGCUUCAAUAAAAUCGCACCAACCAAUGAAGUAUGUGGUAUUUGUGGUAUUUAUGGUCAUAGUGUUAAUGUUUGUUCAUCUUUUAAUAAUUAUAAAGAAAAUAUGCAUGACCAAGUAAAUUUAAUAUAUUCUUACCAACCCAUGCACCCUAUGAAUGACCCUUAUUUCAACACAUAUAACUCAAAUUGGAGAAAACAUCAAAAUUUUUCUUGGAGAUACAAUGAUCAAAACCCACCACAAUUAUUUAGAAACCAAAUCAACCUCAUUAUCAAGACUAAUAUUCUCAAUUCCAAAGAAACUUCAAUCCUUUCUUUUAAGAUCAAGAAUAAUUUUUUUUUUUAAUCUAAUGAGUAAAGAAAGCCAAGUUUAGAAGAAACACUUCAAUCAUUUAUGAUGGCUUCUCAUGAUAGGAUGGAAAAGAAUGAGAAAAAGACAAAUUAUAUUGGGGCUUCAAUGAAAUGUUAAGAAAAGCAAAUGUGACAAAUUAUUGAAGUUUUUCAAUAGCUCAAGAAAGAGAAAUUAUCAAGUCAACCUGAACAAGCCAAUUAUGUUACUACUAUUAGAAAAUGUGAGGUUAUUGAUAAUAAGAUUGAUAUGAAAACUGAAAAAGAUUCUUCUUAUGCAGGUAUAUUUAAAAAUUAUGGAUUAGUGGAAGUAAAAUUUAAUGAAGAGAGCAUGGAAAAGGAAGAAAAAGUAGCGCCUAAUCUUAGGCUUGAGAAGAAAGAAAAGGAAGCAUUUUUUGGAUCUGAAUUUCAUAAGGCAGCUCAGCCUUAGAGGCCACCUAUUCCUUUUUCCAACCGACUAAAAGAGAACAAAUAAUUUUUUAAAAAUAUUGAGAUUCUUUCUAAAGUUAACACUAAUUUACUUUUGUUAAAUGUUAUUAGGAAUAAGCCAGCUUAUGCAAAGUUAUAUAAAGAGUUGAAUAUCAACAAAAUGCGAUAUAUGAACAAUAAAAAAAGUAAAAGUAGCAAGUGCAGUGCUUCAACAUCAGUUGCCCCUUAAAAUGAAGGAUCUUGGUAGCUUCACCAUUGAUAUUACAUUAGGUGAUAAAAAGGUUAUAAAAACCAUAUUAGAUUUGGGAGUGAGCAUCAACUUGAUGCCUUAUUCAAUUUAUGAACAACUUGGUUUGGGAGAGUUGAAGCCAACCACCAUAUCUUUGCAAAUUGUAGAUAAAUCAAUAAAAUAUCCUAGAGGUAUAAUGGAAGACUUGCUAGUUCAAGUAGGUAAGUUAAUAAUUUCUGUUGAUUUUAUAGUAUUUGAUAUGGAAGAUACACGCAAAGUUGCACGGGCCCAUAGGAGGAUCAAUGGUAGCACAGAUGGGCCUGCAAGCAGCACAGAUGCUGGAGCACCAGCAAUCAAUGGGGGCGCAGAAGGCCUGCAGUGUAGGCAGACGCGACAUCAGCUUCACGAUGCAGUCCGCAUGGCUCGGAAAAUAUCACGGGGCGUUGAAAGUGUAAAAAUUUUGAGCUUUUAGUUAUUUUUGGAUGAAAAUUAAAAUAAUUAAAUCCAAAAAAAAAUAGGAAUUAAUUAUAAUGAAAAAUAGAGUUAUUUUUAAGUUAAAACACUCUCUUUAUAAAUUAAAUACAUAUCCAUUUCCUCAACAUAAACAAUUAUAUCAUUGAUUUAGGGUUUUAUUUUAGAUUUUAUUCUAGGAUUUAUAUUUAUUAAUUUUAGGACCUAGCUUUUAAUUAUCUUAAGCUCUAAUUUUUCUAGUUCAUUUAGGAUAGUUUAUUAUUUUCAAUUCUUUAUUUCUUUUAUAAUUAUCAAUGAUGUGUGUUUAAGUGUGCUUCUAAGGUUAGAUGGUGGAGAUUGGAAUUCAAGUUCAUGACUUACUAUGCAUUGCAAAACUCCAAAGGAGUGUUUUAUCUUUUUCCUCCUUUCUUGUUAUUUUUAUAUAUGCAAUGACAUUAAGGACAAUGCCAAAUUUAUGUAUGGGGGAAGAAAAUAGAAUAUUUCUUCAAUUAUACUUUAUAUGCCAUGAGAAUUAGCAACUUUGGUUAAUCUUUUGCAAAAUUAUAAAUUUUUUUACUCAACUUUUUAUUAUUUUUCUUUAUAAGAGUCAAUAAAAGAAUGCUAUUAUGUCAAGAUUUUUGAACUCUUGAAUUAAUAUUUAACAUAUAUAUGUGAACUCAUAAGUUUAUUUGCACUUAAAUGAUCAAGUGUUCUUUUACAUAUGGACAUGAUUAGUAGUUUGGCAAAUUUGAGAUGGGUAUAAUGAGAAGUGUAUGAUUUAGAUUAUUAUUUCCUUGUUAUUAAAUGAGCAUGCCUAAGUUUGUGAGAUAUGAUAUGGGCAAGUAAAAGCUCCAACUCCGCUUAUUUUCGUCGCUUAGUAACCGAAAAUCUUCAUGACCAAAUGUUGAUUUUUGCGUAAAAAGACAAUUAAAAUUAUGAGUAUAUAAAGCAUCUUGAUGUUGUUUUAUUGAGUAACCAGGUGCAUUCAUCACCCAUGCUGUAUUUGCAUAAAAAUACAUAACAGCUCAAGAAAGAAGGAAAUACCCCAAGUAUCAAAAAUUAAAAUCCAAGAGGUGUAAAGAAAAGAAAAAAAAAAAGAGCUUGAAAAAAAAGUGAUAUAAAAAAUGUACAAAUGCUAUCGAUCUCUUAUUAUGAAUGAAGGUUUUUCCUUUUUGAUAGAGUUAUGAUAAUUUGAAUUAUUCAUCAUAGUUGUAUCCUUUAAAAAUGAGUUAGGCUAUUUAUAGUAAAACAUGUGUGAAAGAUUGAAUGUUUGAGUCUUUUGAUUAACAAUGAUUGAGUUUACAUUUUUAAACAAAAUUAUUAUGCUUUAAGUGUUCUUGGGUUGAUAUGAUCUUUGCAUUAGUGAGAUUUUUUUAAAUAAUAUCUUGAAGUUGAGUAUGAAUGUUCUUCAUUAUUUUUGCAAAGGUUAAUUCCUAAGUUGUUAUUUACUUGAGACAAGUAAAGGUUUAAGUGUGGGGGUAUUUGAUAGGUCCAAAUUAUAUAUAUAUAUAUAUAUAUAUAUAUUUAUGAUGUUUUAGUGCUUUAAUAGUAUAUUUUAUAUACAAUAUGUUGAAAAUAUGUGUUUUUACCUCACUUAAGCUUAAUUGUCUAUUUUCAGGUAAUAUUAGCCAAUAGAGAAUACUCAAAAAGGAGUUUAAUUGAAUAUGUUCGCGUAAAGGCCCAAGAUUAAGAUACAUGGACCUGCUAUUUGUUGUGCUAGCCGAAUUAUACCAGGCCCAAGGGGGCAAUUUUAGUCAUUUUAUAUUAUUAUUAGAAUUUAUAUUAAGAGUUAUUUAUAGGAUAAUAUUUGGUGGAUAUAAGGAUAUUUAUAAUCUUAUCAAUCAAAUAGACUUAUAUUGGUAUAUUUAUCUUUAGAAAAACUUACUUAGAGGAUGACUCUUUUUUAUAUAUAUCUCUGCAAACCUAAUUCUAGAGAAGGAUAAGAGUUUUCUCCUAUAUGCUUUAUGCAUCUAUCCACCACUAUUUUCUCUAUAAUUCUUCCAUAAACACUUUAGUUUAGUUUUUAUUACUCUUUUUAGGAUUUAAAGAGCUUAUCAAGAAGUGGAAAGUGAGGAUCAAUCAUCUUCCUACUUGAAGAAAUUAUGGAUCUAGAGGGAGCUUUUACUUUAUUGUUUUAUGUUUUUCUAUUUAAUACCAUGAUCAUUGGGUUAAAUAUAUUAUGCUAGUUUUUAUGAGUGCUUAGUUUAGCUUUUCUACUUAUAUAUGAAGCUUGUUAUUUAUUUAUUUAAUUAGUGAUUUCUUUAGUUUCAUAUCUUUAUUAAUUUCAGUUAUUAUUGUUAGUUAACCAUCAAAUUAAUUUAGUGAUAAUAAUUUUUAUAAAAAUAUUUAUGUUGAAUGUAUUAGAGACACCAUCUUUGCUUCAAUCUAUGUUGGUAGAAGAAACUUUAGUUGUAUUAUUAGUUUGAGUGGCUAAAGGAAAAGACACAUCAUCAUCUCAUUCAUUAGAUUUUAGCUUAAAGUAAAACAUGGAGAUUACUAAGUAAGUGGCUAGGCUAAAUACUAUUUUCAUCAUAUAGUUUUAAAUCAUAAGCAUUUUGCAUUGCAUAUUUAAUUAUUAUUUGGUUACUUUUAUUUAUGAAUAUUAUUCUCUAAAAAUACUAGUUUAAAGUGUUUAGAUUUACUUUUAUUGUUUUAUGUUGAUAAUUAGUCUUUAUAAUAAGCUGUCUCAUAGUUCUUUGAGAUAUCGACCUCGGGAUGAAUUUACCGCUUUACUAUAAGAACGGUUCGUACACUUGCGAGUACUAAUUUAGACACAUCACACAUGAACUUAAACAUUUUUGAAUAAACUAUUUUUGGUUCUUUACAAUUAGUGUGAAGAGUGGCAGAAAUAAAAUUAUCUCAACUAAUUGAUUGUCAAUUAGAAUUCUUUGAUUUCUUAGCUAUGAUAAUGUAGUUUUGCUAAACUCGAGAAUGCCAAAUAUUGAAUUUACGAAGAAGAUGAGCAUUUAAGAAACAUAUAGCAAAUACAUAAAAAGAAAUUAAAACCUAAAAACAGAACACUUCAUAGAAAAAUAUUUUUUUUCUUCUUCAUUUUGGUUUGCUUUUUCAUGCACAUACACAAACUUAACAUUUUAUGCUCUUUAUAUAGAGCCAAACCAAUAACACACGUCAUACUGUAGCUAUCUAACAAGUAUGGUUCACUGUUAUUUUUGACUCUUUUUAACUUGUUUUCUUUUUUAAAAAAACAAGGAGUUCCACUCCUUGUCGAUAAAUUAUAAAAAAAUAUCUUAAUAAAUCUCAACCAAGUUUUAUAUUCCAACAUCAAAUAUGAGGAAAACUAAUAUGUUAAGUGUAAUGAGAAUUGCACUCACUAAUUAUAAUUGGAGUUAGCAACAUCUAGUAUUUUAGUCUAGUAAUAAAUUAAGACUACUUUAUAAGUAGACGCUAGAAUUGAGAUUUCACGAGCUCAAAAAAGAAAAUGAAUUGGAAAUAGCCAAAAAACCUUAUUAAUAAGAACAUAAGAUUGAGUUGGAGGAUUUUAUUUCUUUAAAUCCUAAGGAUUGGAUGGCGAGAAAUCUGGAUAGACAGUUUAAUCCUAAGGAUUGUCAGAUCAAAUGAAAUCUUCUAUUUGGAAUGGUAACUUCGCAUCUUUGGUAUUAGCACAAUAUGUUUGUCUUUUAGGAUCAUACAAAAAAUAUUCAAGACCCUCUCCAAAUGAUUAGGAGAAGCUAUGGAGAGAUUGUUGAUUCAAAUGUGAGCAAGUAGCCCCGCUAGUACUAAAACUAAGCCUUCUGUUUUCAAUUGGUACCAAAGGUUUAAUUUUUUUUCUUUUUACUACUAUAAUAUUAAUUUUUGUUACAAAGCAAGGUAUCCAUUAGGGAUCUGACUAAUUUUUGCUUAGCUCGAAGAUGGAGCUCCACGUUACAAGCUAUGUAGUUAGACAUGUCACUCAUUAGUCAAUCUUUCAAUCCACAUAAGCAUUGGAUCCCUAAAAUAGAUUCCAACAAUUAAAUUCCCUAAAAUUGAUUUUAUUACACAUUCUUUUACCUCACAAACGUUACCCUAGAUUGAAAAAGUUCAACUAUUGACAAAGCUCAUAGAAGACGAAAAACUUGGUAAUGCUUGCAAUGUCCUUAACAUUGAAGAGUUUACAUUUGGAGGAGAGGUAUCACGUUGUGGAUAUGGAAUCCCAUCAAAGCUUUACGUGUCAAGGACUAAGGAAUCCUGGUCGAAAAUUCUGAGAUGCGCUCAUCAGAUAAUUAAUGAUUUAGUUUUUGCUUCCUUUCUCUAUGGUUAGUGAUGAGUAAUCAAUAUGGAAGAAACUUGAGUAUUAGUGAUGAGUGAUCUUUGUGUUUGUUUAUGCAAGGAGGACACUAUGAGUGUGUAAAUCCCUCAAUCCGUUACUAUAAUUCUUCAUAUGAUGCUUCCAAAAUAUUUGUUUCUCAUCAACUACCAGCCCCAGUUCCCAUGCCAUUCCACUAAUUUUUUUAAUUCAGAAAUCUUCUCAAAGGAACAAAAGUCAAUCCAACCCGCAUCACUAAGUCUAACUUUUCUACUAUUGUCUAUUGUAAAAGUAUGCCACUAUAUGUAUCGAUCAUCAACUACACAAAAAGCAAAUAAAAAAAAAAAUUCACAUCACAUAAAAUAAUCACAAAAGCCUAAUCAAUUCUAACAAUCACAGAAACCUAAUCAAUUUUAUAAAGUGCAGUAAAAAUCCUUUUUCAAGUCUAAUAAUUAAAACCCUAAUUCAUAUACAACAAAACCUAAUCAAUCAAAACCACAUUGCAAAAAUUGAGUCACACAAGUAUCAAACAAACAUAAGAACUUCUAUUUCAUAUCCAAAUGUCAAGUUAAAUCGAAAAAAAUUAGCUUGCUUCAAAACUUACUGUACUGGGGGUGUUUUUCACCUUUGUUACUCAAACACCAAUUGUGUGUCAUUCUCCUUGCUUCCUUCACCAAUGAAAAGCUUACUAAUUUCCUUUAACCAUGACAAGAAUGUGGAGGUUAAAGAUGUGGAGGUUUAAGAAGAUACUUUAUUUUUGUAAAAGAGAGCUUUUGUAAAACGAUAGUAGCUGAGGGUGAAAAACUUUGAUAUCUAACUUAGCUAGGUUAAAUAAGCUAAAAGCAAUAAUUAAUGAUAUGAGACCAGGAGCUUAUGGAUAAAGUGAAGUAUGACUGAAUAAUUUACAGCUUAUGACGUAGAGCUCCGCCGUCCAGCUAAGCAAAAGUUGGCCGGAUCCUCGAUAGGUACCUUGCUCUAUAAUGAAAAUUAAUAGUAUGGUACAAAAAGAAAAAAAAAUUAAAAUUUUGAUACUAACUGAAAACAUAGGACAUAAUUUUGGUAUCAACGUAACAUAAUUUUGGUACCAGCGGGCUAUUCACCCAUUCAAAUGCUAAAUGUAGCUGGCUGCUGCAUGGUGAGCCAGCUUCCAUUGAGAAUUAUAUUUUGAAGCCUCCAACUGCUAGGAAGGUGAAACUUAAACACAGAUGGUGCAUGCGUGGAGUUGGUGAGGAGAGCUUCAGCUGGGGGCUUGCUGCAAGACAGUAGUGGUGGUNNNAUAGAUGCAGAUGUGGGGUGUGCUAUUAGGCUGGAAUCAUGGAUACAGUCAGUGUGGUGAGAUAGAGUCGUCUCUGCUGUGACUACAUAUGCCAAAGACGAGAGGCUCAUGGUCUGCUAGAGUUCAUGAUCUCUUGUCGAGAGAUUGGGAAGUGAGCUGCCCGCAGAUUAGACGGGAAGCAAACGAGUUGCCAACUGGUUAGCUAAAGCUGCUUUGGAUGCCGAUCAAGGGUUCCAGAUUCUGCAGUAUCCCCUGUGGGUUUCAUAAAAUUGUUAGCUGCUGACUUAUGCAGUGGGGUUUCUUCCCACAUCUCUGUUUACCUUUGUUUGAUAUAAAGCUGAUUAUUUGAUACAGUUUGUACCGGUUGAUUGAUUGAUUAGCUGAUCGGUGAUCCCUCCUUUUGUCUUUCUAGCUUGUGUUUUAUGUUAUGUUAGGUUUCUUGUUUUCAUAGGCUUACUAUUAACUUGGUCAAUCCAAAAUAAUUCUUGGACCUCACAUAAUUUCUGAUCCUCAGAAGAAAUGUGCUAUCGUAAGAGUUAAAAUUAUGUAUAAACAUUUGACCCACCAGUAUUUUGACCAUGGGUACUCCUAUUUCAUAUGAUAAAGUAUUAAAUAGUAACAUCCCCAUUUAAAUCUUGCAUCUGCCAAUGAUUUACAUUAGAGUAAAUGAAGGAAAAGAAAAAGGGUACUCUUUCUCAGUAGAACUUUCAAUUCAACAAUCAAGUUCCUAAAAAAUGAGUCAAUAAAAAUUGUCAUGUAUCAAUCAUUACCUGAUAAGAAAAGGAAAACUUUUAUAUUUAUAUAUAAAGGCAUACAAAACAUCUUUGUAUGAUACAAAAUGCACUACAACUAGUGAGCAUUCUUCUAAUUUAACAUCUUUCUAUCUGCCUAACAUUUCUGUAUCUCUAUCAAAAAGAAAAAUUAUCAGUAUAUGAAAAAACGUGAAUAAUUGUAGUUUCUCAAGGCAAGAACCAUUUAGAAAACUCAUUUACCAAUAGAACACUUCCUACUGCUUUUCUUCCCUAAGCAGGUGAACUUGCCUGCUCAUCUGUGGUGGGGCUGGGGCUCGCUUGACGCUUGUUAUCACUGCUCUUCCUCUUAAGCAUCUCCUUAAUCUCGGCUUCUUUCUUAUCUACAAAAUCAAGCAAAUCUUUGAAGCUAGUUGAGCGCAGGGAACGUCUAGGCCUUGCUGGCUCAAUCUCCUCCACCUCCCUCUCUUCAACUUCUUCUGGAGAAAAUCUGCGGAACUGACCAAACACCCUACAGAAGAACAAAGUAAGGGCAAUGCAGCAUGCAAGGCCACAGAUGAGGAACAGACCCCAGAAGCUGCUCAGGGAGAGCCGGUCUGCAUCAACUUGGCCGAUUUGCAUAGAGCACUCUGUGCGUGUCAGCCAUUUGUUAUGAAUUUUCUGGAGAUCGCCAUUUUCCGAGAGUUGGAGAAUGGCAGUUGACAAGUCAAUUGCAAGGGGCGAAUCCCUCUGAAAUGCCUGUAACCAGAAAGGCUGAAUGUGAGAACAUUAUUGGAAACAAUCUGUAAACCUAGCUAAUUUUAACACAAAUUUUGAUAUUGCAAGAAAUUAAUGGUCUGCUAAGUAAUCAAUGAUUAAACAGAAAUUUAACUUUGUCUGUCAUUUGAUUAAAACUGCAAGCAAGAUCCGAUCAUCAAAUCUUUGACAUGAACAAGCAACAGAUCUAAAAAUCUUAGCAUACAAGCAAAAAGAAAAAAAGUAAAAAAAUCAAAUUCUACAAAAGGUGGAACUGCUUUACUAUUUUAUUCAUCAUUAAACGCAUCGCAACAAUAUUAUGCACAGGACAUAGUUUUCUCAGGUAACUUGGGUGUAGAAAUGAAAGAUGAUUUAGAAUAAUAAGCGGUUGUCAUUUUUGAGCUAUAACAACAGAUAAAGAUCCAUCUCCACAGGGAUGAUAAUGAUUACAAGUGUUCUAACACUGUGCUAGUGUGCUAAGUACAGAAUGUGAAUAUCAAAUGCCUACUGACAUUGCAACUAUUGUAGCAUAGUUUCUAGUCAAAUAAAUUGAAAAAACAAGGAUAAGGCAUGCAUGAGAAAUGCAACAACAUUUCUUCGUUCUCCCAUUUUUGGAGGCAGGGAAACAUGGAACACAACAGCUCAAAGAGUUACUUAAGAGUUAAAGAAAAACCAUAACUUAGAAUUCUAUACCACUAUUCUCAGUUUCACAUAGUCUGCCCCAUUAUCUUUAAUUUUCGAGAUAGUUGCUUAUUUCUAUUGUAUAACCAUUGAGACCAUCAUAAUCUGAUAAUUUUCUCUUGUAAAGAUAGUAUCGAGUAUGCUCCAUCCUAUAUGUUGCAUAAUUUCAAUGCCUAUGUGGCUAUCAUAGCCAGUCAAAUUUACCAUAUUUAAAUGGAAAAUACUCACUAGAAUGACAACUUUAAAGUUGAUACUCACAAAUCCCCAUCCGCUUUUCGUGAACUCCUGCCCAACUGUUCUGAAUGCACAGUUCGUGUUGGACAAGAAGAGCUCAACAUAAGGAAGCUCAUCAACAAUGGCAGCCACCCCACCACCUUUUGGUCCGCGUUGAAGAGCAGUAAGAUAAUGUUCUUGGUUUCUCAAUAUUACAAGUCUAGAUUGGGCAAUGUUGAGCUCAUCAACCAGGUAGUUCAAUGCAAAUGAUCCCUCUUGGACUCCAAUAGGUUCAGUACUUGAGAUCAAGCUGUCAAUCCCUUCAAUCCGUGAUGUUAACUGCUGCACUGUCAGGAUAGAUGUCAGACUGGCUGUAUAGCUUGAAUUGAUGAUCAACACUACAAAUAGCCAUAUGAGAAGCACAAAACGUCCCAAGGCGCUCACAGUGUUCUCUCCUACAUUAUGUCCAAAUAGCAGAAGGUGUUGAGAGCUUCCACAAGAAAUAUUAUAUGAUGAAGUAAAGAAAGCAUAGCAGAUAAAGCAUAAUUCACAUACUGUGGGAGAAGAACAUUGUUGAGAAACUAAACCUGCAAGAUUAGAACUAUUGUCAGUUAGAAGCAAAGAAAUAACUGAAAGAUGAGUAGAAAAGGCCAGUGUAUUGCCUAGAACAAGGGUAAUUAACACAUGGUUCACAGCAGCUCAGUAGGAUCCUAAACUAGAGAGCCACCUAACUACGUUGCAACUAAAGUUACUGGAACUUAGACAUUACAUUCAUACUGGUCUCUACAGGCUUUUUCUAAACUAUUAUCUGAUGACAUGCUGAAAUAAGAUGAUCAAUAAAAUAAGCAUAGCAGAUGACAAUGAGUUUUUUUUCCCGCUAUACAACUGAAAGAACAAUUCACCAAGUAAUAUUGAAUACACAAAAUAACCAAAAGGUGUCCAUGAUUUUCUUUAAAAUAAAGUUAAUUUGGCUUGUCACUCCCAAUGUAUUACCAGGAGAUUUUGAGGCAGCUAAGCAACAAUCAAGCAUAAUGCCAGGAGAACUGAAAUGAGAAAUGUGAUCUUUACUCAAAUAUGAGGAAUCUUGACUAGUUCAACAGCGUACUAACCAGAAAAUUGUUAUAAGUUGUUGCCUUGGUGGACCACGGAAUUCAUGAUUGAUCCGGUGCUCAAGAAUCCAGACAACAGCACCCACAAAAAGAAAGAAGGCAGCUGUGACACCCCACAUGGAUACAGUAAAUGGUUUAAGGAAAGCCCAAGGCCUGGACUUUUGUUCCUUGACAGGUGCAACUACAACCAGUCCUGAUUCCAUGUAAGGCUGUGUGAAAUCCACGAUUCUUGUUCUAUUUGUAAUGAUUGUAACAUCACCCACAACUGCAUCAUACUUCUGCAAAAGGAAGAGAAUAAAGGCUUAGUACUAGAAUGUGAACAUCAGAGCAGUAAUCUGAGCCUGUAAACAAACAAAAGUUGCCAACCACCCAGUAAACAUACAAAAUCAAAGCCAGAUACUCACAUCUUGAGCAACUGCAUUGAUAAGUUCAUUGUAGACAGGGUUAUCCUUGCCAUUUCCAUAUAACAUAUAUGCGCGUGGGACAGGAUAAGGCAGCAAGUUUAUUGCAGCCUCAAACACAUCAAUGCAAUAUCCUCUAACCCCUGGAGGGUUUUUGUCUUUAGCCACAAAUUCUUUAUAACUUACUCGAUUUGGUACUGCAAUGCGCAGUGGCUUCCCAUUGUUUGGGAAUACCCAUCCUCGAGGAAUUUUCGUACUUUCACCUGGCCAUAUUACGGUGUAAAGAUGUUGGUUACUGUUAGAAUUAUUGGGAGGCUUCUCAUAUAAGGUCUCUGGAGAAACAAUUGAAAGGCCAGAGUAAUUUGACCAAUAGCCAAUCCUGCGGGAUCCUGUCCCACCAAUAUUAAGAACAUCAUAUGCUGGGUGAACUAAAUUCUUAUCAUCAUCAAAUUGAAUUUGACCAGUGAGACCUGUGAAGUUCAUCCUAAGAAUUGUCUGGAGAUACUGUUGACCUCCAUUAAAAAUUCUGAGCGACUCCAAAUGCAAUUUGCUUCCAUUUGUAUGAUGCAACUUUGGGUCAUUAGAGAAAGAUACAUUUCCACCUUCAUUGAGAAAAGCAUCAAGAGCUCGAGCAGCUAACCAUACUGAAUCAUAAGCAUAGAGCGCGUAAGAAUUAAACCCAGCAGGUCCUGUGCUCUCUUUAUUCUUUAGGCUGUUCCACCUGGACAUGAACCUUUUCUUCUGAUCAGUAUCAGGUGUGUAAUGACGAAGAGCAACAACCCCUUGUAAGAGAUUCAUCAUGUCAAUGUCAACUGGUUCUACUGAAUCUAGAAGAGAAGGAAGCCAAUCUGUAGCAAUCCAAACAUAGCCCUUGCUCAUCAUCCCAAGACUCUGGGCAACCGAAAAAAUUUGCAGACCAGAAUCAGGAUUCACAUGCACAACAUAAACCCGAGAUUCCAUUAGAUUUACUCCAACUAACAAGUCAUUGAUUGCACUUUUGGGUGCUCCAGGGGUAAAGGCAGCUUUGUAAGAGAUCUUGCAACGUUUCUUUACCAGAGCAUCACCCAAUACAGAUAUGCCAUUUCUGCCGUAAUCAUCAUCUACAAAGAUAGCAAUUACCUCCCUCCAAUCAAAAUAUGAGACCAGAUCAGCAACUGCAAACAUUUGGUAAUAGUCACUUUGGGUAGAGCGGAGGAAAUACGGGUACUGUAGUGCAGAAAGAGAAGGAUCUGUUGCUCCAAAUGACAAAAGUGGCACAUGAAGUUCAUUUACAACAUGUGAGAUGACAUGAGCUAUUCCAGAAGACUGGGGGCCAAUUGCAACAACCACAUCAUCUUCCAUCAGCUUCAAAGCUACAUAACAAAGAACUUUCCAUCAAAAUCUUUAUCUUUACAGUCUAUCAGAGGGUAAGAGGCAGCAAUGUAGAUUGUGCACAUCAACCCACAGUAUUACUUUUGUAUUUUGGGGUCCAUUAUAGAGAUCCUCAAUUUGACACAGAUUUCUAGAUAAUAUGCUAUAAACGCUUGAAUAGUCCCAACUCCGAAAUUGAAAGUAGAUGAGUCUACCAUCAGGAAUGGAUUCAGUAUACUUCAUUUUGAGAUUAACAGUAUUUUUACUAGAAACAUCAGAACAAGUAAGAGACUUUUGGCAGGCAUAGAAAUCAUACACUAAAUUGAAACUGCAAUAAUUAUUCAAAUCAAACUAACUGCCUGCAUAUAUUACUCUAUUCCGAAAUUCCUAAUAAGAAGUUAUACGAUAAAAUGCUAAACAAUGAUAUUAGCAAUAAUAAUGCAAUUCGAUGAUGGAGCUACAGUAGCCAAUGGACAGUCUGCUGUCGACAUCAUAGUUUGUGCAAUAUGCUACGGUUAGGAACACAAUCCUGGAAUGCUAAAAAUCAAUGAAGAAAUUGGAACUAGAUACUGUAACCUAAAUAGCAAUAGCAGGAUUCUAAACAUAAAGAAAGUAGAAGUAGAAUCUCAAAUACAAAGAAUCUCUUCAAAAAUCAAACUAAAACUAAAUGAAAUAGAUAAAUUCAAAUAUGAUCAAAUUGAAGUAUCUGAGUUUCAUAAAAGUACCUUCUAUGGUUCCAAUAAAUCCACUGCAAUUGGUGUCUUGUACAAUGAGGUUCAAUUUUGUCCCGGGAAGAAUACUGGAAUCAGAAUUUACAUCACCCACUGCAGCUGCAAUUGCUGGCUUAGCUGCUCUUCCAAUUACAGAAUUAAUAGUAAAUAGAGCUCCUAUAUUGACAACACUUGGCCUAGAAGAAGAAACAGUAACACUAGCAUUUCCAACCUUACACAAAACUUCCAUGGGGAUAAAAGCACUACUGACAAUCAAUAGCAACUGUAUCCUAGCCAUGAUUUGUCUGUUGGUAGACCUUGUAUUCAAUGAUACAAUCAUGGCUAGGAAAAGCUUGCAGUUCUACUAUUGACUCCUUAAUUCACAUCCACAUUCCUUCAACAUGAGCACCUGCCUAUACCAACAACAGAAACUUGAAUAUAAACAUGAACAUGAAUACCAUAAACUUGUUGGUACCCGAAAAGAAAAUUCAUAAUUGUAAAAUAGAUUCUCUACAAUAAACUACAAUUCCUAAAACAAAAGACUGCUAAUGACACCUAAAACCCAGUGCUAUGCUACCCACUAAAACAAAUAAAGUAUUGAAAGAGCACUAAUUUUAAAAAUAGGGUAUAUGUAUACAAAACCCCAGAUACUCUCUUUAUCAUGAUUAGAUAAUAAUAAUAAUAUAGGAUACUAACUAAAUAAAAGAUUAGUUCUUUUAACCCACAUGCAAUUAUAAACAAAUGAAACAAGAAACUUAAAAAAAAUUAAAAAAUUGUACGGUCAAGUUCAUAUUUAGUGAAAGGAGUAGUAAUGAAAGCUUAACUUCAUUACCAAAUAUGGCAUAUGUGCACAGUUCAUGGAGUCUGUUAUAUACACAUAUGAACUCUUGAACUGAAGAGUACCCAACACUAAACACAAACACUUCACAUCCAUUAAAGAUAGAAAAGAAAGACAGAAGAGCCAUAAAAGCUCAAAAUAGUCUUCUGAGCUCAAGCAAAGAAUCAUUCUCUUUCUUUUCUUAUCUCCAUUCGAUUUUAUUCUUGUGUUUUUUAUUUAUUCAUUUUUAUCUUUUCAUUGCAAAUCCAACUAUUCUGGACGGUAGUCGUUCCGUUGCAUCUUUCUUACCAUGAAUUGAGUUGAACUUCGAAUGAUUAUAAUUAUUCUUCAUAACAAAUUUAAAAAGUAUAUUAUAUAUUAAAAUUUUAAUAAAAAAAUUAAUAAUAUUAGAAUCAAAUUAAAUAUUUGAAUUCUUUGUAAUACAAUUUCUAAUAUGUUUACUAGUAAUUAAUAUUAAUUAUUAGUUGAAAAUAAAAUUAUAUUUAAUUUAGUGUCCUUAAAGUUGAAAUUAUUUAAUUAAGAAUUAUUAGAUUAAUUAAUAUAUAAUUUUAAUUCUCUAUAUAUAAAUAUUUUAAUUCUAAUUUUAUAAUAUAGUUAGUACAUCAAUUAAUAAAUAUUAAUUUUAAAUAUUAUAUAAUUUUAAAAUAUCAAAAAUAUUUAAAAUAUAAAAAUAUUUUAAUUAUAUUUUUAAAUAAAAUAAAUAAUAAGAUUAAUUUAAAUAAUUUGUUAAAUUAUUUAAUUAAUUUAUCUGAAAUUAUUAUUUAUAAUUAAAAUAAUAACACUUAGUCCUACAAUAUAAACAAUGAGUUCAUAUUAAAAGAUAAUAAAACAAAAAAAUCAAACACUAGUAUUAUAUUUAUUUAUUAAAAUCAUAUUUUAUAUUAAAAUUAUUAAAUACGUAUCAAAAGAUUUUAGAAAUUAUAAUUUUAAUAUAUAAUAAUCUUACAAUUAAAAAAGAUUCCAAAUUAAAUCAUGAUUUAUCAGAUUUAUAUUCAAACCAUUGAAUGCCUUGUAAUAUAAGAAUGCGAAGUGGCUAAAAGGGUCGACGGUCGUCAGAAUUUUAACACUAAUAGGAUAGGACCCAUUAUUAUCAAUUUGUUAAUUUAAUAUACAAGUUUUGAUUAAUAAUAAUUAAUUACAUUUCAACUUUGGAGAAAUUAAUAUAAAAUAAUGUUCGUUUGUAAGAUGUCGACGUCAGAUGUGUAAGGAGUUAGUGUGGGUAAUGACCUUUUUGGCCGGUACCAGUGCCGGUCUGAUGAGAAAUUAAAAGUAAUAAUAUCAAGUGGGGUCCUGUCUUCAAGUGUGUGAAACAUGUGGACACUGCUUACGCUGCAUACACAUACACAUCCAUAAAAAGGAAAUCACCACGUGCAUGCAGCUCCUUCAUAUUAUAUUCAAAUGGAAUAAUGCAAAUAUGGCACUUUGUAUUUUCAUUUCUUUUGGAAUAAGUUUUUGUAGUUUUAUUUUCAUUAAAUUUUUAAGUCAUUUUUUAAGAAACGUAUAAAUAUGUUUACUUCAAUAUUCAAAAGAUAUUAUUUGGUUUCUGUAUUUUUUAAUUUUACCUAUCAGAUUUUUAUAUUUUAAUUUUUAACUAAUUUUUUUUUUAAAUUAACACAUUAAAAUUAUUUAAAAUUAAUUUAAAAAUGGUUCAAUAAUUUAGUAGUUUGACUUAAUUAUGUACUUUAUUUAAGAAUAAAGAAUAAAUAUUUCUUUUUGAGUUAUAUAUUAAUUAAAAAUUAUGUAGAUUUAUUUAUAAUAAAUAUUCAAACUCAUAUAUAAAAAUUAUAAAAACUUAUUUUAUAAUAAAUAUUUAUUAAUUUUUCUUAAUUUUUUAUUAUUUGUUAGAAUUUUUUUAUUCAUCUUUUUAUAAAUAGUUUAUACCUUUCUUCGUAUUAGUUCAUUUCAAAUUUUUAUUAAUUAAACAUCAUAUUUUAAUUAAUAUAAUUAAUUAAUUAUAAAAAUUGAGUACUAAGAAUCUAAAAUUUAUUUCUAUACACAUUAAUAGCGCGUGUAAUACGCUCCUAAUUACUGUUAGAAAAGGAUUUAAAUUUUAUAAAAGUAAAAGUAUAAAGACUCAAUAUCACCGAAUAAAAGUAUAAGAACCUAAUUCAGAAAAAAAAAAAAAAAAAAAAAAGAGGCCGAAUAUGGUUUUAUUUUUAUUUAUAUUGAAAACUUCACCCCAAAUAUUUGCUAAACCCAUUGAAUAUCACCUAAAAGAAAUUUUGAUAAUUCAAAUUGGACACACUAUUUUUUUUAAAUUUACUUUCUUGAACUCAAAAUAGCAAAGUAUGACACAUAUUUAUGCAUUUAUAUUAAAUAAAAUAUUUUUAUAAAAAUUUGAUCUUUCUCAUUUUAAAAUUAAAUUUAUAAAAUUUUAAAUUCAAAUAUUCGAAUUGAAUUAAACUUAGAGUUGGGCGAACAACUUGAACCAAAAAUAAAUCUAGCCUACAAUGUAAAUAGUCAACCUAUUGGAGAAUUUAAAUCUAUAGUCAAGCUUAACCAUAUUUAUAAAAUAAAUAAGUCUACAUAAAAUGAAAAGUGAAAUAAGGAUCAUUCUUCUAUUUCUUUCUAUAGUAAUACUCAUUGUUUAAAAUUUAAUUUGUAUUAAAAUUGAGAAUUUUAUCAUAUAAUCACUGUAGCUAUGGUUUAUCUAGCAACUAAGGUUCCUAGGUUUUUUAGGAUUUCUUCUGCUUGAGGCCUUCUCAUUUUCUUUCUCUUUAUUGCCUUUUUUUUUCUUACUCUUGUAAAUUCUAGGGCUUCUUUCAGUAAGGUCGCAUUUUAGUUUGCACUAGGGUUAACAUAGUCUAAGAAUUGGAAGACUUACUGAAUAAGUUUAAAUUAGUUGAGGAGGUGGAGAGUAGGUUAUUUAGAAAAUGGCUCUAGUAGUUUAAGUGGUGUGUUCUUUUAUGGUGGGUAGAGUUUUACUAUUAUUAUGAAAAAUGUAUUGAUACGGACUUGGCACCCAAUAAAGGGAUUAUUGAUUAAGGAGACUAAUAAGUGUGCUUUUUACUUGUCACUUUAACUUUAAAGUUAAUCAAAAGGUUAUUGUCAAUAUUAGACCUCAGCAAUUUUUACAAGCAUUUAAAGGUACUUAAGAAAAUUUAGGAGACAAUCAACCUUCUAGGUUAAUUCUCAAUGAGGCUGCUUUUUGAGUAAGGGUCUAUAAUUUUCCUUUGAACCACUGAACUGAUGAAUCUAUUUGUGAAGUCAAUUGGAAGGGUGAUAGAAUUAAAGACAACACAACAAUCUUUGAAUCCAUAUGCUAAGGUUACGAUGAUAGUUGAUUUGAAGAGGCCUUCGGUUCGAGGAACUUGUGUUAUCAAUGAGAGGAAGGAACGUGUUUAGGUGUACUUUCAUUAUUAAAGAUUAUCAGAUUCUUUCUAUGUUUAUGGUUGGUUGUAUCAUGGGUUGAAGGAUUCUGAAAAGAAUAAUGAGAAGAGAAUUAAGGAAGGAUGGCCUUCUGAUCCUAUUGUGUGUGCUUCUCCGGCAUGUAAUAGGAUUUUUUUUAAGGAGGCAUUACUAGUGCUUUAUUGGCAUUUAACCAUAGACAAUAAGGUGAUCCAGCAAUUAGAGCUCAACCCACAUUACAAUUCAAUAAUGAUAGUUUAGGGUUAAAAAAUUUUGAGAACGAAAGAUGAGCAAAGUGUGAGUAGGGAGGAGAAAUUAAAUAAUAUAGACCUACAAAUAAAGUUAAUGGAGGACCAAAAUGGCGUGUAAGUGUAUAAUGUAAGCAUUGCAAUAAAACUAAUAAUAUCAUGAUUGUUUGACAUGAGAGUGGUGUUUUAAUUCAAGGUUGGUCCAAAAGUUAGGAGAGUAUGGUGGUUGUAAUAGAAUAUCGUUACCAUAUAAGAAAUAAUGUCGUGCAGGGUCUAGUUUCACUCUACAUGAAUAUGAUAUGGCAUUUAAUAUUCCCCUUUAGUAUCAAGCAUUCUUGUCUCUUUUCAUUCAAGUUGGUUUGAAUGAAAUAUAAGGACUAGUAUUCAUAAUAAUGGUUAUGGGUGUAAGAAAAAGAAAGAUAUGAGAAAUGAACAUUAUCCUUGGAACCAAGAAGGGCGGAGUUGAAUUGGUGACUUCAAAUCUCGGAAAAUAAAUGAAGUGUAAGUUUUAGAGUCACACAAGAAAUUGAAUAAGGAUAGAGAGUAAGAGUUAAGAAGAUUGAGAUAAGGGAUUUAUAAUAGUUCGAGAACAAUUCUCCCUAUGUCUAGUCUUCAAGAUCACACUUGAGUAUUUCACUAUAAUCAACAAUUGAUUACAAUCCUUAGGUUUUACAAGCUCACCCAACUACUUGAUUUUUUAACAGUUAGGUUUUACAAGCUCACCCAACUACUUGAUUUUUUAACAGGCUAACACCGAACCUUUUCUCUUAGUGUAUCAUUCCUUUACUAAGUCCCUUUACCCUUUUAUUUUAAUAAAAACUCAACAACCAAUGCCUUAUAUUUUUAAUAUCUAGGCUUACACAUAAACCUUCACAAGAGCAUACAAGCUCUUGCAACCUUUAUAAGGUUGAUUACACACAAAAAAAAUAGUAAGGAAAAGAUGUGAAAUGAAUAGCAAUGAAUAUGACACUUUUCAAGAUUGUUCGCUAAACAUAAAUGUUUCUUAGAGGUAGGUUUUAUACCCUCUAACAACCAAAUAGAUGUUAUAAAUAGGUACAUAUCCAAAUCUUUACUUCUAGCUCUAGAUAGUGCAUUAAAUGCACUGUUAGAGCAUAGUCACAGUCGCUACACCUAAAUUGCAGUCGCGACUGGCUUUUCACGAUCGUAAAACUUAAAGUAGCAACAACUAUAGUCCACGUGGCACUCUGUGAUUUGCCAUGUCAAAUUUAAUCGCUGGCAGUUUUCUUUAAGGUUUAUGCAAAUCGCAUUUGUAAAACCCGAGGUGCAGGCGUGAUACCUACUACCUUCUCAAAAUUGAGCUUUGUAGAUGUGAUCCAGUUGCUCGCGGUCGAAAAAUCUACUGCCCUCUGAAAUCUCCUUUCCACAAGCGCUUUUCUUUGCUCGCAAUCCCGAUAUUCUCAUUUACUUCAACGGUCAAGUUAAUUAAGAAAGUCGUGUUUGCGACAUGCUUAUGGCAGUUGCGAUUUAUAAGGCAAUUUUGGUAACUUGUGUUAAUUAAGCCUCAAUAAUGAACCUUUACAAAUAACAUUUAAAGUCAAGGUUAAAUGCACUUGAUUUUAAUUGUCAAGGUUAGAAUCAAGAGUGCCUUAAGUCAUGAAAGAACUUAGGCUAACAAUCUCCCCCUUUUUUAUUUUGACAAUUAAGGUUGAGUUUGAGAGAUAAAAUAAUAAGAUAAAAGAAAUGAAAUAAGAAGAGUUUAUCUCUCCCCUAUAAAGAAAUGAAAUAAGAAGAGUUUCUCUCCUCCUAUAUCUUUUCAAAAGACUCCUCCUUUUUUUAUGAAGUUUUUGAACCUAACUCCCCUUUGAGUUACUUAUGCUUCUCUCUCCUUUGUCUUAAAGAUAUUGUAUUUAGCUCUCCCCCUUUUCAUUUUAUUAUGUGUCAUUUUUAAUGUUCUCUCCAGUUUAUCUCUCUAUUGAUAAUGUAACUUAACUUUAUUUUUAUUUCAAUUCUUUUUCUAAAUUAUUUAUCUUUUUCUAUCUCAAUUCUCUUAAUCCCCUUUAGCAAAAUCAAAAACAAAAUAAGUAGAGCAGAAGAUAAAGCAUAACUAGCAUAACAAAUGAUAGAGUUACAUAUGACAAAAGCCAUUAUUAUUAAUAAUGAGCAAAAACUCAAUCAUUUUUGUCUCAUGAUGGAAUGAAUGCACCAUUAUAAAAAAAUAAGAGCAAUAAAACAAGUAAAUACAUCAAUAUAUAUACCAUGUUUUAAGAAUCAAAAGAGUCUCCAUCUAUCAUGCCAAGUUCCCUCUUAAUGAAAUUUAGUAUUUCUUCAUUUAGGGGUUUGGUAAAGAUGUUAGCAAGUUGGUUAUUGGUGUCAAUAAAUUCUAAUACCACAUCACUAUUUUGCACAUGGUCUCUCAAGAAAUGAUGCUUAAUGUCUAUGUACUUACUUAGAAUGUUGAAUAGGAUUGUUAGAGAGAUUUAUAGCACUAGUGUUGUUAAAUUUAAUAGGAUUGUGAUCAACCUCUCUCCUCUAAUCUCUUAGUUUUUGCUUCAUCCAUAGGAUUUGAGUGCAACAACACCUCAUCACCAUAUAUUUGGCUUCCACGGUGGAGAGAGCAAUUGAAAUUUGUUUCUUGCUAAACCAAGAGACUAAACAUUUAACUAGAAGAUGACAAUGUCCGGAAGUGCUCUUCUUAUCUAAAAGACUUCCUGCAUAAUCAGCAUAUGAAAAGCCAAUUAUGUCAAAAGACGAAUUUCUAGGAUACUAAAGUCCUAAAUGCAAUGUGCCAUACAAGUAUUUCAAAAUUCUUAUAACUGCAUUUAAGUAAGACUCUUUAAGACUUGAUUGAAAUAUAGCACAAAUAAAAAUACUAUACAUGAUAUUGGGUCUAAAGGCAGUCAAAUAUAAAAGAAGUCUGAUCAUACCUCUAUAAAUAUUUUCAUUCACCUUCUCAUCUUUGUCCAAUUUUAUUGAGACAUUCAUAUGUGUUUUUGCUACUUUGCACCCAUCCAUCUCAAAUUUCUUUAAAAGCUCCUUUGUAAACUUAGAUUGAUGGAUGAAUAUUCCUUAAUUGCUUUGUUUAAUUUGAAGAUCAAUGAAGAAUCUGAGCUCUCCCAUCAUGCUUGUUUAAAUUUCUCAGUCAUACACUUAGCAAAAUCCUCACAAAGCAAUUCAUUAGUAGCACCAAAGAUAAUGUCAUCAACAUAAAUUUGCACAAUGAGAGUUUCAUGUUUGUGCUUCUUUAUAAACAAAGUAGUGUCAACUUUUUCUUUGAAAAAAUUAUUUUCUAUCAAAAAGAAACUAAGCCUUUCAUAUCAAGCUCUACGAGCUUAUUUAAACCAUAUAAGGCUUUAGUUAACUUACAAUAUGAUUUAGAGACUUAUGAUUUUCAAACUCUAGAGCCUAUUCAACAUACAUUUCCUCCUUGAUAAAACCAUUUAGAAUCACAUUCUUCACAUCUAUUUGAAUUAAUUUGAAAUUCAUGUGACAUGCAUGAGCUAAAAGAAUUCUAAUGGCUUCUAAUUUAGUAACCAAAGCAAGGUCUCAUCAUAGUCAAUCAUUCCUCUUGGUUAUAACCUUUUACGACCAAUCUAGCUUUGUUUAUAGUAAUUAAGCCUUGCUCAUCUCAUUUGUUUCUAAAUACCUAUUUGCAUCCAAUAAUUUGGUGGUCUUUAGGUCUAGGAACAAGUUCUCACACUUUGUUUCUCUCAAAUUGGUUGAGCUCAUCUUGCAUAACAAUCACCCAACUCCCAUAACUUCGAGUCUCAUCAAUAGUCCUUGGCUCAAAACUAGAAACAAAGGCUAGAAUAUUCAUUACCACAAGUUUAGAAUGAGUACUUACACCAUUUGAUAGAUCUCCAAUAAUUUGAAUAGGAGGAUGUUCCUUCUUAAAAUUCAAUUUCUUGGAAAGAUUUUAUGAACUCUCCAUAGUUUGACUUUUUGAGUUGCAUCAUGGUUAGGUUGGAUUUUCUGAGUAGCCUUAUGGAUUCUUCAAUUCCUUUUGAUGGGUCAUCAAGAUUGAUAUUUAGUUCCUCAAAUGUACCUACAAGAUCAUUCACACAAAUACUUUUUCCAAGAUCAAGCUUGCUUGAUUCAUCAAAUACAACGUUUAUAGACUCUUUAACUACUAAAGUACGUUUGUUAAAGGCUCAAUAAGCUUUGCUUGAUGUGGAAUAGCCAAGAAAGAUUUCUAUAUCGGUUUUGGAGUCAAAUUUACUAAGAUUUUUCUUGGUGUUUAAAAUAUAGCAUUUGCAUCUAAAUACUUUAAAAUAUGAAACCUUAGGCUUUCUUUCAUUCCAAAGCUCAUAAGAUGUUUUAUUUACUAAAGGUCUUCUGAAAACUCUAUUUGCAACAUAAUAACUAGUGUUAAUGGCUUCCACCCAAAAGUAAGAAGGAAGUUUAUUUACAUUGAGCAUUGUUCUAGCUAUUUUCACUAGUGUUCUAUUUUUUCUCUCACAUUUCAUUUUGUUAUGAUGUCCUAAGAGAUGAAAAAUUGUAAGAAAUGCCCUUGUUUUGCAAAGUGUUUCAAAGAAAUCAUUUUCAAAUAUUUUUUUGUGAUCACUCUACCAUUUUUCAUUUUGAAUACGUUUUGUAAAACUUUGGAAAACAUUGAAAGGUUCAUUCUUAUAAGCAAGAAAAUUAACUUAAGUAAAUCUAGAGUAGUCAUCAACGAUAAUAAAUGCAUAUGAAUUUCCACCCAAGCUAGUUACUCUAGUUGGUCCAAACAAAUCCAUAUAUUGUAGUUGGAUUGAUCUAGAGGUACUUAUAAUGUUCCUUUAUUUGAAUGAUGAUAGAUAUUGUUUCUCCAUUUAAUAUGGUUCACAAGGUUUACCUUAGAAAGUCAUUCAUUAGUUCCUCCUUGGCUAACUUUUGUACAAGAUCCAUACUUGUAUCUGCAAGUUUUUUAUGCCAUAGCCAAGAUUUAUUACUAAUAGAGACAAAACACUUGAAAGAUGGUUAAUAAUCUUGUGUAUGUCAAUUGAGUUAGUAUCGUCACUUCUUUCUCCCAUGAAUACUAUUUUAUCAACCACUAGAGUGUUGACAUAGCAUCUAUUGAAGUCAAAAGUGACUUUAUUACCUUUGUCACAUAAUUGACUUACACUUAAUAAACUGUGUCUUAAACCAUCAACUAGGAAAACAUUAUUUACAAUGGAUUGUCCAUUCUUACCAAUAGAACCAAUACCAAUUAUUUUACUAUUGACAUCAUUACCAAAUAUGACUUUGCCUCUAACUUUUGAUAUUAACAAAGAGGCUCUUGUUUUCUGUUAUGUGCCUUAAACAUCCACUCUCAACAUGCCAAAGAUUUGUGCUUGUGGGCUUAAGACACACCUACAAGAAAAAGUCAAUUCACUUGGUUUUAGGCACCUAAACAAGAUUGGAUUCUUAGGAGUUAACUUUGAAAGUGUCAUCAUGAAGAGGUGCAUCUUCCUUAUUUGCAUUUAACAUAGAUAUGUCCAACUUUCAUGCAAUAGUGGAAAGCAACCUUUGAAUUAGGAGGAGUGUGAGGUCAUUUACCAUUUUUGCUUGAGGCUUGGACCUCAAAGUAUUCACUUUGUUAUUGCACAUGCAUAAGCAAGAUUUUUAUUGACUUUUGAUUGCUUAUACAUGUAUGCAUGUUUUGUUCCUUUAGGCUUAGUCUUUAAAAAUUAUGAUGCCAUUCCUUUAUUCUUUUAAAUAGGAGGCUUGGUAUGUUCUUUGGCCUUUGAAGUUCCUUUAGGAGUUCUUUUAACUUUCAAAGAUUGAGUGGCCUUUACGAAUGUUAUUGUGUGAGAUGUUGGAGAUGUGGAUAAGAAAGCUCGAUUAAAUCCAAGUCCAUGUCUCAUAAAAGGUAGCUUUUAAGAUACAACUAAUGUAUCAAGAGACUUAUUCCCUUUGUGAAAUUUGAAAAUUGAAUUCUUAAGCUCCUCAACUUUGUUUUUCAAUAAAUUAUUCUCUCUAAAAAGCUUUUCUUUAAAAACUUCAUCCAAUGAUUUUCUUAAGUCCUUGUUGAAUGUUUUAAGACUUGUAAUUUCUUUUUUUGAAAUCUCAAGAUGUUUUUCUAAAUUGGAACCUUUAUAUUUAUAAAAAUUUAAUUUUGAUAACAUGUUUUUGUAAUAGCUCAUCCUGAUCAUCCAAUACAUCAUCAACAAAAGAACGAGCAGAUGAAUAAGAAGACGAUGAAUUAAAAGAAUGAAAAGUAGAGCUUAUCUCAUGUGUGUACUCCAUGUUGGCCAUGAAAUAAAAGUUGGCCUUUUCAUCUUAAUCAUUUUCCACGUUGGAGGUUGAGGAUGAAUCACUCCAAGUAGCCUUCUAGUCAUUUUUAUUUUCUUUGUCUCCUUACUUUCUCUUUAAGUAUUUAGGACAAUUUGGUUUCAAGUGUCCUUGCUUUCCACAUUCAUAGCAAGUAACAUCAUCCUUUUUGUCCUUGCUUGGUCUUAGCUUAGACAAAGAUUUCUUGUUUAUAAAAAGCUUGUUGCUCCUUUUUCUUUUGGCCUCUAGAAUCCUCUUGACAUGUUUGGUGAUUACGGCCACAUCAUUGCUUUCAUUUUGAGCUUUUUCUUGGUCUUUAUUAUUACUUGGAUAUCAUUUGCAUCUUGAGCUCUUGUGCUAAUCUUAAGUGUUAGAGCCUUCUUCUUCCCACCAUCUCUAUCAAACUCAUCCUUGACUAGAGACAUCUCAUAGGUUAUAAGUUUACCUAUGACAACAUAUGUUGGAGUCUUCUCAAGGUCUUCAUUUGCUUCUUUUAUGCUAGCCACUCUAGCACCAUACUUAUCCAAAGGAAGACUCUUAAGAAUUUUAUUAUUAAUAUCCACAAGCUCAUAAUGCCUUAUUGAUAAUGUUUAGUAGUCUAUUUGUCAUGUCAGUGAUAGAAUUACUUGGCUUCAUCUUGAACAUUUCAUAUUUUUGUGAUGUAUAUUUGGAUCUUUCUUGACUUAACUUGUUUUGUGCCUUCAUGAUAGUUCUCCAAGAUAGUCCAAAUCUAAUGAGUCGUAGUGUAAUGUUGGACUAUCCAACACUCUUUCUAGAUAGACAACUCACAAGCAUGGGCAUAACUUGUUUAAUUUUGUGGUUUUGUUUCUUGUGAGCAUCAAUCCAUUCUUCUCUAGAAAGAACCCUUUCUUUCACCAUUUCUCAUCUCAGUGGGAGCCUUCCAUUCAUUCACUAUAUAAUCUCACACCUCAAUUUCAUAUGAAUCUAAAUAGAUUUCCGUUCGAAUUUUUAAAAAGUAUAAUAAGAUCCAUCAAAGUAUGGCUUGAGAUGUUGAGCUCCUUCAUUGGUUGCCAUUGAUUUUUACACUCGCAAUGAAGCUUGAAAAUAAAUGAUUAAGCUCUUAUACGACUCGUUGUCCCUUAGAACCAAGAAGGAAGGAUUGAAUUGGUGACUCCAAAUCGCAAAAAAAUAGAUGAAGUGCAAGUUUUAGAGUCAUACAAGGAAUCAAACAAGUAAAGGAUAAAGAGUAAGGGUUAAGAAGAUUGAGACAAGACAUUUAUAGUGGUUUGGCAACAAUCCUCUCUACGUCAACUCCUUAAGAUCAUACUUGAGUAUUUUACUAUAAUCAACACUUGAUUAAACCUUUGAAUUUUACAAGCUCACCUAACAACUUGGUGUUUUAAUAGGCUAACACCGAACCUCUUCCCUUAGUGUGUCAAUCCCUCACUAAGUCCCUUUACCCUUGAGUUUUAAUGGGAACUCAAUAUCCAAUUUCUUGUAUUUUUAUUAAUACCUAGGCUCACACACAAAAUUUCACAACAACAUACAAGCUCUUUCUACCUUUACAAGGUUGACUAUAUAAAAAAUUAAUAAGGAAAAGAUGUGAAAUGAAUAGCAAUGAAUUUGACACUUUUGAAGUUGUUGAUCAUUCAUAACUAUCUCUUAGAGGGGGUGUUUAUACCCUCUAACAACCAAAUAGACAUUACAAAUAGGUACAUAGCCAAAUCUUUGCUUCUAGCUCAAGAUAGUGCAUUGAAUACACUGUCAAAGUCGCUACACCUUAAUCUUGGUCACAACUGACUUUUUGGGGUCGCAAAACUUAAAAUGGCAACUGCUAUAAUCCACGUGGCACUCCAUGAUUUGCUAUAUUAGAAGGAACCAUUUGUAUUUUUCUUUGAGGUUUAUGCAAAUCGCGUUUAUGAAACUUAAGGUGUAGGCGUGAUACCUACUGCCUUCUCAAAAUUGAGCUUUGUAGGCGCGACCCAAUUGCUCUUGAUCGCGAAACCAAUACCCUCUAAAAUCUUAUUUUUGCAGUUGUUAUCCUUUGCUUACAAUUGCGAUAUGCUCAUUUACUCUAAUAGUCAAGUAGAUUAUGCAAUUAUGUUUGAGACAUGCUUGUGGCGAUCAUAAUUUAUAAGGCAAUUUUGGUAACUUGAGUUGAUUAGACCCAACAAUGAACCUUUAUAAAGAACACUUAAAACCAAGGUUAAAUGCACUCAAUUUUAAUUGCCAAGGUCAAAAUCAAAGGUGCCUUGAGUCAUUAAAGGACUUAGGCUAACAAGGAAAAAUAGUAAAAAGAUAAAAAUAAGAAGAAUGAGGAAAGUAGAUCGAGGAUAUAUAAAGAUUGGUGGUGAUUAUGCUUUAACAAGAAUAGAUAGGAAAGGGUAUUAGAUUAUAAUAUUAAUGUUUCUUCUUUUCUUGAGGAUUUGAUCGAUCAGAAUCGUGCUAAGGAUGCAAUUGAUGGAGUAACAAUGAGUUACUUAAGCUGGAAUGUCUAAGGACUAAGGUAAUCCCUAAAAGUUUUGCUCCUUGAUUAAAAUAGUUAGAGCACAUUGCUCGAGUAUUAUAUUCUUAGUGGAAAUAAGGCUCACACAAUUAAGUUUUGCUUCUAUUUAUAAUUCUUAUAUGGUUGAUAGUAAUGGUCGUUUAGGUGUGCUUAAGUUGAUGUGUAAAGAUAUAUUGAGCUUGAGACUAAAUCGCAUUUGGAGCACUUUAUUAAUUUUAGUUAGUGAUCCAAUUAAUGGGUUGAAUUAGUGGAAAGGAACUAGGUUUAUGGUUAGCCAAAAUUAAAGAUAAGUGAAAAUCGUCAAAAUUACUUGAUGAGAUGCUCUAAAGUAUUAUAUGCCUUAGGUUUGUUGUAGUGACUUCAAUAAAAUAAUACAACCUAAUGAAAAGGAAGGUAGGAGGCCAAACCAAUAAUGACAUAUGAUGAUAUUUAUUGAGGUGAUUGAGAAGCAUAACUUGGUUAAUUUGGGCUUCAUGGGUUUUUAAUUCACAUGGGAUAAUGGUCGAGCAUCAUGUCAUGAAACAAGGUAGUGGCUGCUCUCUGAUAAGUUCCCCUCGCGUUCUUUAUUCCAAAAGGCAUAACCUUGUAGCAAUAUGUCCCUCACUCGGUGAUGAACAAUGUCUUCAGCUUGUCCACUAUUGCCAUCAUAAUUUGAUUAUAUCCAGAGAACCCGUUCAUAAAGGAGUACAUUACGUUUGAAGCAGCGCUAUCGACUAUCACAUUUAUGUGAGGUAGAGGAAAGGCGUCCUUCGAGCAUGCUUUGUUCAAGUCCCAAUAGUCCAUACACAUUCGAACCUUACCAUCCUUCUUCAGGACUAGAACAAUGUUCGCCAACCAUUCAGGGUAGUUAACCAUAUCGAGAAAAUUGGCUUUAACCUGCUUAGCAACCUCCUUUGAUAUCUUCUCUCCCCAUUCUAACCUUAGUAUUCUCAUCUUCUGUUUAACCAGCUUGAUGUGCGAAUGAGUUAGGAUAUAGUGCUUUGUUGUUUUCCUGUCUAGACCUGGCAUGUCGUCGUAUGACUAAGCAAAUACUUCCUUUCUUUUUUCUAUUAUUUUUUUAAUUUUCUCUUUUCCUCAAGCGUUAUAUUGUGAGUUAUCAAACAUUUCGUAGAAUUGCAUCUGUGCCUAAAUUAAAUGAAUCAAUUUGUAUAGAAUUAAUGUUAAACAUGCACAUGUCAUGAUUAUCAAAAUGCACACUACCAUUAGGAAAAUAAUCAUAUAAGUAAGCAAAGUCAUUCAUAUCAUUAUUCUUAAAAAGAAAAAGAAACAUCAUCCUCAUAAAUGUCAGACGUUAUUACAUCAUUGUCAUAAAAUACAUCAAUGAUAUUAUUUUCAAUUAGAGCAGGUAGAAUCUCUUAACUUAUCUUUUCGACUGAGUGGCAGGCUUUUCCAGCUUCAACUCUUCCAUCUUGGUGGUGACCUUCUCACGGACUUCCUUGAUACUCAAUUUGAUCAUCCUCUCGAUGAUCAAGUUCUUGAAAAUCUCGAACCUAGGUACCUUAGUCUCAACUACAAGAACAGGUUCAGGUUCGCCAGAUAGGGCUUGAAAUCAUGGAAAAAAAAUGCCUUUUAGAGUCUUGCCCCCCGGUUUGCCCUCAUUUUCUUCCUUAGAAUACCCCAAACAUUACCGAGUGUUCUGACCUUUGAAGUUCAAUAGCUCCGCAACACCCUACUGAUUCUUCUCCAACCCAUUCCAUGCAUGAAGUUCCUUUUUUUGAACAUGCUAGCUACUUUAGGAUCCAUGCAGUCCUUAUAAAGAAUAACAACUUGGAAUCUAGUAGGGGCAUCCACUUCUUUGAUAGCUUCCUAGAUUGCUAAGAUCACCUUACCACCUUCGACAUAGAUGGUGACUAUCUCGUCUUCGUGAAAGAAUUUUACCUUUUGAAGUAUAGUAGAAGGGACUGCUCUUAUGGCAUGGAACCAUGGCCUUCCCAAUGAUAGUGCAAAAGUCACUGGGAUGUCCAGGACAGUGAACUCCACCAAGGAUUCAAUUGGACCCGUCUUCACCAGUGCUGAAAAUGUCCCUUCUACAUCCCUUUUAGUCUCGUCAUAGGCCCUUAUGACCAUGUCUGAUGGUUUUUGGUCCUUUGCAGUUAUCCUAGUUUAGGGAGUAUGUAAGAUGGACAUACAUUGAUGGUUGACCCGUCAUCAACCAUCACAUAUGUGGUUCUUUUUCCUUUCACCUCUACUACUUUGUAGAGGGCCUUAUUGUGCUCCCUUUCCUUAAGCGGUAGGUCCUCAUCUGAGAAGGUGAUCAUCCUGGUAGUCUUGUCAAUUACUGAUGUGAGCUAAACAUGACUAACAAUCUACAAGCAAGUGCACCUAUCAUAUGUAAUCUAGCUAUGGCAAGUAUCAAUGUUGUAUUCCAUAGGAACUGAGAAGCUACUGCUACUAUGUUAUUCCUAUUAUCUAACCGUUCAAAAGAAGGUGAAGAUCAUUAACUAAAAUGAUUAAGAAUGCAAAUGAAAACUAAAUUUUAAUAAAGAGAAUGAAAGCUUGAAAAAGACAAUGAAAUGAGUUAACCCAAUUGGGGAUCUCUUUAGCUAGCCGGCUUAAAGCAAUAAUUUAUGAAUUGAUUACUUAAGAAUUGCGGUCUGUGGAUAAUUUCUUAAAUGAAUUAACCUCUCUCUCGAGUUAACGAAUUUCUAAUCCUAAAGAUAUAAAGUUGGAAUCUCUUCUUAAUAAUUGAUAUUAGAAUAGCAUUAAUCUUUAAAUUACCACUAAUAAGAAUGUCUAGUUCUUAUUCUAGUAAGUUAUUACACUUAUCUCUAAGAUGCACAUCACUUAAUCAUACAAGCAGUUCUCCAAACUCAAUUGAAUUUUUCAAUUACAAAGGAGCUCUCAAAUUGAUUCAACAAUGAAGAAGAAACAAUAGAUUUUAUUAUACUUGAAUGAAAGCUACAAUCUUAAGUCAACAAUUCAAUCAAUUAAGCAUAAAACAAGCCUAGCAUAGCUAAAGAUCACCCCCAAUAGGUUUAAUAAGAUUAGUUACACAUGUUCAUGAUUAAAAUAAUACAAGAAUCAAAUACAAAAUAAACAAGAAUCAAAAAGAACAUAUACCCCCUUUUCAUAAAUGGUGGAAAUACUAUCCCCUCUUGAAUAACUCUGAAUCCAAUCUCUAUGGCUCAAGAUCUCCUUCUUAUUUCCUUUGAAUCUUCAAUCCAAUCCUCAAGAAUAGCUAUCUAGAUGAAGUUGAAGUGGAAUUCAUCUCCUUUUCUUUUAAAUCAAGCUUCGGGAUCCAACACAACUUGGAUUUGGUCCGUGCUGAUCAGCACUGCUUGGAUCCAUCCCGUGUUGGGCUAAAAUUGUACAUCUAGCCCUCUUUCAGCACGACUUGGAUUUGGGCCGUGAUGCUUAGCACGGGCAAUGCUCCUAGGCCAUGUUACUCUCGGGAACCAUAUUUCUCGCCAUGGGUAAGGAAUUUCAGCACGCCCUCUGACCCUAAUCGUGCUUCUCAGCACGGGUGUAUUGGCAAGUAUGUUGAACAAUCUAACGCGCUCGAUUCGUCCGUUUCUUCCCGAUUUUAGUCUGAUUUCUCUCUAAAUUUGAUAAUGUACCUAGAAAAACAUUGAGAUACAAAGGAAACUAAAAUAGGGUGAUUAAUACAAAAACACAUAAUUUACCGUAAAACAACUUAAAAUCAAGCAUGCGAAUAUGUGUAAUAUCAAGGAUAUCAAUUACCGUUUUGAUCAUCUCCUCAAUAGUAGUUAUUGUGUUGACACUUAUACCAAAUAAGGCUUGGAUCAGAGCCUUUCUGCGGUCUGAUGAAUGUAUCAGUAGUUCCUAGAAAUGAGCUGUCUUUUUCUUCUUCCUACACCAUUCUAGCAACACGACAUCUCCAUCUUCAGGUGCUUGCUUCUCUUGUUUUAGCUCUUGUACCUCGGCUUCCUUACCCUUACCCGCUGGCUCAGUCUCGCAGUCGGUGUCUGUCUAGAUGUCCUUGGCCUCGGCAUCUUGAACCUCACUCUCAAACCAGAUGUCGNNNNNNNNNNNNNNNNNNNNNNNNNNNNNNNNNNNNNNNNNNNNNNNNNNNNNNNNNNNNNNNNNNNNNNNNNNNNNNNNNNNNNNNNNNNNNNNNNNNNNNNNNNNNNNNNNNNNNNNNNNNNNNNNNNNNNNNNNNNNNNNNNNNNNNNNNNNNNNNNNNNNNNNNNNNNNNNNNNNNNNNNNNNNNNNNNNNNNNNNNNNNNNNNNNNNNNNNNNNNNNNNNNNNNNNNNNNNNNNNNNNNNNNNNNNNNNNNNNNNNNNNNNNNNNNNNNNNNNNNNNNNNNNNNNNNNNNNNNNNNNNNNNNNNNNNNNNNNNNNNNNNNNNNNNNNNNNNNNNNNNNNNNNNNNNNNNUAGUGCUGGGUUAAUAUGGGUUAGUGAGCUUUCUGGCAUCGAUGAGAUCUUGGAUUUCAUGCUUUGGUCAGAUGCAGUUAUUGGAGUGGUGGCCAAGUGCUUGGUGGAAUUUGCAGUAAGUGUUAGGCUUGUAUCCAAGUGUGUUUGGGUUCAAUGGGUUCUUUAGGGUGAUAGGUUGGAGCAUGCAAUUUUGAAGCAGUCUCUCAAGAUCUUAGAGAGCAGUUGCUUGAAGUUAGAAAACUUCCUCGGUUGCUGCAUAACAUUCACAUCCAGGGUUCAUCAUCUGUGACCUUUCAACACAUCUAGGAAGAACAUUUCAGACCACCAUGCGAAUCUGAUCCUUUUCAGAGGGCUUGUUCUUCAUCAGGCUAGCCUUAUUCCUCCAUCUAGUUAAGAAAUCAAAAGACUCAUUUGGCUUCUGCUUAGUUGAUUCGAGAUCCCUGAUUGACACUUCCAAAUGAGUAUUGUAGUCGUACUGCUUAACAAAGGAAUUGCAGAAAUCACGCCACUCAGCUUUGGCGAAUUUCUUCAGACUUAUGUACCAGUUGACCGCGGGCCCUUCUAGUGACAGCACAAAUAGCUUAACAAUUUGUGUCCUACUUAGCUGAGUAGUUCCCAUGUUCAUCACAAACUGCUUUGGAUGAACUUUCGAGUCACUACUCCCGUUAAACUUGUUCAUCUCAAGCAUCCUAAACUUUGUAAGCAGCUUGUCUUUCCUUGUCAAAACCAGCUCUUCGAAAUCAUAGGUUGGGUCCAAACCUUUGAUUCCAGCAUACCUUACAUCUUAUCAAGUUGGGCACUCAGUCAACUCAUAGCUUUGUUGGUGGCAAGAGAAGUCUCCAUCUUAGCCUAGUCAAGCAUGAAUUUAUUGAAUCCCAAAAGUUUUGGGGCACUCCCCUCCUAGCUGGGUCCUCAACAUUAGCACUGGCAUUAGACGCAGUAGUAGUAGUAGCAGCAAUCUUAAUGGCAACCACAGCCCGGUCAAUAGUAACAGGAGGGUUAGCCGGUACAACCGGAGCAAUAGUGAGGCUUAGUCUGCAGCCAUCCCAGCUAGGAGUUGUUGAAGUUCCUCCCGAAUCACACUCCUCAAGUCUUUGAUUACAACAUUCUUAAGGGUCUCGACGUCCUAUUCAUUAGCUCUUUCGUUGGUCAUCUCUUUUUAGCAUCUCGGUCUUUCUAGAUGCUCUAACACAGUUCUGAUUCUUAGAGAAAUGGACUAUGUCUAACCUUUCAUUAUCUUAUCUCUUCCAACCCAUGGGAGAGUGUAUAUGGCUGAGAAAAAGGUUAAUAUGAUGCAUGUAAUGUAUGGGAUGUAUUAUGUGCUAUGCAUAUGAACAAAAGAGAAAAGGUUAACAUACAAAGUAAUAUACAAUUCAUCCUUCUAACCUUAUUACUCCCGCACACGGUUCUUAAUGAGUCUUUUUUCCCUAGGAUUUUUGGCUUGGGCUUUCCAUCAAUAGGGGAUAAUAGGUCCGACGAGCAUGCCAUAAGCUCUCAAAGCGGAUUAAAAUAAAUAAGGUGAUGUUUCUUAGUGUAAUAAUAAAAGUCUGCAUAUUUUAGGCCUAGAGACUAGUUCGCAUUUGGCCAAGGUUUCAAUGCUUGGGCUUAAAACACUUACAAGGAAGAACAUCUCACAUAGCAAGCAACAGGGUUCCUAGGGGAGAUUUAUUACGGUCAUUGCCAUGAGUUGAGUCUUGGGUAAGAAUAAAAGGCUCCCACAAGCAAAAGGUAUCCUUUCUUGGCUAGUCUCCCCACUCAAGGGUCCAUGCGACAAAGAAAAUACACUAUUUACUUGUGAGUGAUGGUAGCCAGUGUUGCAAUUCUAAAAUUCGAGUGGAACCAAAGAACCGCUAGUCGACACCAUUAGGGCUAUAAGGACCAAUGUGUAUAGUGUGUGAAAGUGUAAUGAUACAAGAAUAAUUUAUUAAAUAAUAAAAUUAAUGCCAAACAUACACUGAAAUCAACUUCUCUUAUCUCUAGUGGAGUUACCACUAUAGGCGGCGGUUUCCGGAGCACACCCAAGUGUCUUUAACGACUAUGGCAUUGUAAGGCUUUUCAACCUAAUCAGGAACACACUAACUAGUCACUAAGACUAGCAGAGAGAUGGGAGUCGCCACUCGGGUGAUCAUUGUGACACUUUUACUAAUGAGUGGUAUUUCUCAAAUUUCAUAAAGAAGCUUACACUAUAGAGUCCACAGAUGGAUCCGGAAGCCUAUCAGACUACCAGAUUCAUGUUGGAUCAGCUUUUAACCCUAAGUCUAUGUGGCCCAUUUUUAUUAAUCAAUCAUAUAAUUAUAUAUUUACUUAACAUACAAUAAAUAAAAAUAAAUGAAAUAAAGCAGAAAGAAAAUUCCUAAUUAUUACAAUCUGCCUACAACUACGAUUGUGAAAAGAAAAAGACCUAAAACUAUAUAGAGGUUAGGAAUACAUCAAAAUAUGUCAAAAAUAUAUUAAACUUAGAGUCUAUCUUGAACAACUGGCCGAAUAUACAUGAGGAGUCGAUCAGCUCAAUGUAAAGCAAUUGGCUCUUCAUUGAACUGAUAAGCUCUAGGGUCCUUAGGCAAGUUAUCAUUGAGUGUCCUUCGAUCACCAACACAAUCUCGCAUUCUUAGAGCCGAUUUUCACAUAUAUAGAUGUUAAUAAUUAAUUAGAAUGAGAUAAAAUAGAUUAAAAAAAUAUAAAAAUAAAAGUUAUAGAAGCAAAUCAAAACCAUAAAUCACUAAAAUCCUAAAUCUCAUAAACUAAUAGAAAACAAUCAAAACAAAAGAAUCAUGUUUGAAUAGGUUCAAUUACUUAAUCAUAAUAACAAAUAGAUCUAAAUAUUAACUCUAUAGUAUGUUUCUAAUCAAAUCUAAAAUUAUGCUUGUCAAACAUCAAAUCUCAAAAAAGUCCCAAGUUCUUAUUAUCAUAUUCAAACCUAAUCUAAUCAUAUUUAUCAUAAGAUCAAAAUUCUAAUCAUGUUUCUAAGAAUAGAUAAUAUAAAAAACACAAGAAGAAAUGCAAGAAUUGAUUUCUAUGAUGAAUGUGGAUGUAUGGUAGAACGAACCCUCAGGUUGUCACCUUGAAUGUUGGAUCUGUGAGUCUCGGGCAAUAAGAAUGCAGUCGAAUCAAAAAAUAGCUUUGUGAAAUCUUCUAUCAAUUGAAAAAUUGUUUCUAAAAUGCUAUUUCUUAACUGACUUAUUUCCUAAAAUGUCUCUUUCUUUAAUGGCUUCUACUCUAUAACGAUAGCUAAGAUUAAUGAUGCUUUUCUUUUUUAUUUUCUCUCUGUUCUUUCUUUCUCGAUAUUUUCUCUAUAUCGAUUUAACUUACAGUUGAAUUUUAGUUCUUGAUUCCUCCUUGAAACCUUAAACACCUCGUUCUAUUUAUAGAGAUGGGGUUUCAAAAGAAACUCUAGAGAAAGCAUAGGUUUUUAGGAAAUAUUGAUAAAUAUCCAAUUUAUUUAUUUAAAAUUAAAAUAAUUAUCGAUAAAAUUAUAAUCAUCGCUAAGAAAACCUUAUAGAAUUUGUAAUUGAUUGUAAAAUUGUCUGAAAAUACAACGUCAGAGUGUCAAAAUCCAAUCAGUUCUAUGAAGAGCCGAUUGGCUCUAUAGAGGAAGUUUUACAAUUUGUUAUUUAGUUCCUGAUUUUAUAAAAAAAUCAUCGUUUUAACACUCAAAUUUAGUUUUUCUUGGCAAUUAGGUCCAAAUUCAUUUUAAAAAGAUAAUUCCAGCUGGAUUAACCUCGACCUUAGCCUAGGAUUCAUUUUUCCUUCACCUUCCGAGACCCGAGAAGGCAAUAACUUUCAUCAUAGGGUUUUUCCUUUUCCCCUCGAUAUCUAGAUCCGGAAAAGGGGUGCUAACAAUAAUCCUCGUUCUUCUUCUUAUUAAAACACUGGAUCCUUAAGGUCGACAUUCCCAUUUCGACUAGUAUUAUAACUUUUGCUCCAUAUGCCAAUUUAAAGGACGUCUCUCUAAUAGCUGUUCUAGGUGUGGUUAUGUAUGGCCAAAGAAUACUAUGAAGCUCAUCAACCCAUCUACCUUUUCUUUUAUCUUAUCUUCUUUUUCUACCCUUGGAGGAUUGGUUGAUUUGUGACCUUCGUUAGCCUAUUGGACUGGGGACGAGCAAUAGAGGUAAACCUUAGGUUGAUUUUUAUAUGAGUAUAGAAUCUUUUGAACUCCUUAUUAUCAAACUGCUUCCUAUUUUCAGUCACAACGGUAUAAGGAAUGUCAUAUUUGCAAAUGAUUUCUCUCUAGAAGAAGUUAAUUAUUAUUUUUUAUGAUGGUUGCCACAACUUCCACCUCAACCCACUUUGUGAAGUGGUCAAUGGCUACAAAUAGGAACUUCUUUUGACAUGCUGCCGUCACGAAAGGCCUAAUUAUGUCCAUGCCCCAUGCUGCGAAAGGCCAGGGACUGGUGAUCAAAAACUAUAGUUAUAUAUGUAGAUGAGAUACAAUAUGAUGCUCUUGACACUUGGUGCAAGUUUGUAUGAGCGUAAUUCCUGUAAAUUUUAAAUUCUAGUUUCACUAAUUCUAAGGGGAAAAUUGGUAAAUUAAUAUUUAUAUGAAUAAAUGAGUGCUAUCUAAUUUAACAUUUCUAAAUAAUUAUAUUAUAUUGAUUUGUGAUUUUAGAUAAUUAAAUUGUAAUUUUAUUAAUUUUAUCAAGUAAUUUAUUUUGAUUAAUCAUCAUAUUAUAUAUAUAUAUAUAUAUAUAUAUAUAUAUAUAUAUAUAUAUAUAUAUAUGUAAGUGUAAAUAUUUAAAUUUAAGGGAGCUUUGGUACUAUAAAUUAAGAGAAGGGAUUGUAAUGAAAAUUUACAAAAAAAAAGGAAGGAAAAAGAAUUAAAAAAAUAAAAACAAUUAGUUGGAUCAUGUAUAGCCCCUCCCCCUCCCCUUUUCUCUUUUUUCUUUUCCUUUUCUCUUCUUCUCCGACACACACAAUGUUCCCCCUCCCAUUACCAUUGCAGCCACCAGCCUCUACCAUUUCUCCUACUCCUUCCGCCUAUGCCACUAUCAAUCCCACCCCUCACCGGAAAACACUCUAGAAGGAUGCAAAAAAGCUGCAACUCGCUGCCACUGCUAGAAUGAUGUCUUGCCAGCCCCAUUUCGUGAUUAUGACUUUAAAAAUAGACUCUCCACCAUUAGAAACCUUAGGAUAGCCCUCUUUUCCUCCUUUUCCGUCGCCAAAAAGGGUGUUCAAAAUUCAGCGAAGCCAAACCUCUCGGGCCUCGAUCCGGUGAGAUUUUGGCAAAAGCAAUUGCAUAUUCAAACUCUACAUUAGUCAUGCUUCAUGUAGGCACCUUCCAAUUCAAAUUAUGACACCGUUGAUGGUACCGGCUUUCAGAUUCUGGUGUUUUUCGGCCCGUAGAAAUUUGGGCUUUUAGCUCAGUAUAAUUUAUUUAGACCCAAAAAUUAUUGAAAAUUUUUUAAAAGAUAUUUGGUACAUUAAUUGUUAGUUAUAAAUAAUUAAUUAAAUUAUUUAAUUAAUUAUUUGCUUAAUUGUAAAAAUAUUGUGGAUUUAUUUUAGUGGUUAAUUAUUAUUUGGUUUGAUGAAAGUUGUAGCUGUGAGUAAUUAAAUUAAGAUGCGAGAAAUUAUAUGUGCGAUUGGAUCAUAAAUUAAUUGUGAACUGGGUUGUGUUACAGAGUCGAAAAAAAUUAUGCAGUUAUGAGUGACUCGACUCCUGUUAAAUAAUUGGACAAUAUUAUAAGUGUUUUCUUAGUAGGUUCUGGACCCAUUUUACGGGGGAUAAAUGUUCGUAUUUUAGGGGAGGUUCUGCCAAAUUUUCGGGUAGAAUUUUAGAGUCGAAAUUCUUAGACAGUUAAUUCUAAGAGUCUAGGCCUAAGGUUGUUUACUAAAUAUUUUACUUUUAUUGAUUGUGUUAUUUCCGUGAAUAGAUACCCUGUCGAUUCAGCCUGCUCCAACCGAGGUAUAGGAGUAGAGCAAGGGGAUCGUCAGAACAGUGAGUUAAGGUUGUAUAUCCUCUGCAUGUGUCCUGCCAAUUUUUAUGUAGCAUUUUUGACUAAUAAUUAUCACAAAUAUUUUUAGUAUUAUUAUCAUAUUAAUAUAUUUUUGCUAUUAUAGAUAUUGCUUGAAAUUUUUUAUUAUUUAUUAUUAUGUAUUCAAUUAAUUGAUUUAUAGAUUUAAAUUAUUUAUCUAAUUAAUUAAAUUUAGGUCUGCAUUACAUGUUCUAUUCAAUUUUAUUUAAUAAGUUAUUGAACAAUGGUAAGAUUGCUUGCUAUUUAUGUCAUUUUCAUAUAAUCACAUGCCACCUGAUAGAUUGCAUUAGGACCGUGUGCACACCAGUAUAAAUCAAAGAUAGGUAAUAAGGGAAUAUAUUUUAUGAUAUGCCUUGGUUGAGUAUAACUUUCUAGACUAUGAAAAUUUGAUUGCCGGAGGAAAGAUCCCUGGUAAAGCAUUACUUUUUAGAUGCCGGCUAUACUGGAAAUUAAGUGACCAAGCUAGAUUUAAGGACCCUGGUUUAGCUUCGCUUUCUAGACGCUAGUCUUAUUGGAAUAAAAGAGCCGAAAGGCUAAUAAUAUUGAGAUUAGGGUUCUGCUGAAGUACUAGUAUCGUAUGUGUUAAAAUUGCAUAUUUGUAAAUUAUGAUAUGAUACAUAAUUAUUAUUCUGUGAUGUUUUAUAUUAUUUAAUUUUAUAUAUAUAUAUAUAUAUAUGGCUGCUUAAAUUUAGAUAUAUGAUUUUAACUCACUUUAGAGACUGACAGUCUCAAUUUUAAUUUUUCAGGUCACAUCUAAGUUCUCCGUCAUCUUUCUCUUGACAGUUCGACUUUCUCCUCCUUCAAGCCUAUUGUAAUUAAUUUCUUUCUUUGUAUUUUGAACUAUUUAAAAAUCUAGACUCUCUGCAAUAAUUGUUCCAAAGCUUAAAUAUUUUAUUUUGGUCUGUUAAAACUGUGGAAAAAUAUUAAGCGAUCAUGCUGAUGGAUUAAUUUAAUUGUGUUGUGAUUAUAUGAAUGAAUGUUGGUAAAUAAAUUGUUGAUAUAUUCGACUAGUAUUUAUAUAUGUGGGUACUAUUUGAGUUAUUGAUUAGUCAGGCUUGCUACAGGUUUUGGUGGCCUUAAGCCUACCCAUUCCCUAGCACCGGUCACAGUCCCACAGAUAGGGUCGUGAUAAUGAACUUCUAUCCUCAAAGGAUGGCUUUUCUAGCUAUGGUGCUAGAUGCUUCAUGAGCACCACAAAUCCCUUCAUAGAUCUCUCUAAGGACAUAAUCUGCUUUUUUCAUCGAGAUACAUCUAGACCAAGGAUGAGAUAUUAACUUUCUAUAAAAGAUACCCUCUUGAAAGAGUACAUGGCUAAGAUUUUCACUAUCUUAGUUGCAAAAUUCUCAUCUUCUGGUAACUUUUCUUCUUCAAGGUACUGGAUGAUCUCUUUCAUCCAUAGGUCGUACUCUUCGAUGACUAAUACCUCUUCUUUCGCUAUGUUGGGCUGUUCAAGUAUGUAGAACAAAAUCUUAUUACUUGGCUCCCAUUGCGAGGCAAGCUUAGCUAGAUAAUCUACUUCUUUGUUUUUAUCUCAUGGGACCUGGAUAAUACUCCAUUGGUCUCUACCAUCCUCAAUUCUCUAUAACAUAGCUUUUGCCUGACUUAUAUACUUGGCGAGAUCAAGAUCUUUAACUUCAAAGAUCUCCAUUAUUUUAUUGACCACUAGCUGUGAAUCACUGAUGAUAUUCAAAUGUUUGGCUCGCAUUAUUACUGCCAUCUUUAGACCUAUAAGUAAUGCUUCAUACUCGACAAUAUUAUUAGAAGCUUUAAACUUAAUUUUUACCAAGCUUUUAAGCUGAAUAUUGUUUAGUCCCUCAAGAUGUAUGCAUGCUCCUGCCCUAUCAACAUUAGAUGCUCCAUCAACAUGCAAUAACCCUUUGACAAGAUCUUCAUCAACUUUUUCUAUAAUUUCAGGCAUGCUCAUCUCUAUCACGAAGUCAGCUAAUACUUGUGCUUUCAUAGCCUUUUUGGGCUCAUACCGAACAUCAAAAGCCCCCACCUGAAUCGACCAAUGGAUAAGUCACCAAAAUGUCUCUAGCCACUACAGUACCUUUCUCAAUGGUUGGUUCAUUCUGACUAUUAUUGUGUGUUCUUAGAAAUACUAUAUGAGCUUAAUAAUAAUGGUGAUGACAGCUAAAGACAACUUUUCUAUCAUAGGAUACCGAGUUUUUGCCCCUUUCAAGACCUUACUCGUAUAGUAGAUAGGCUUCUGCUCGCCAUGUUCCUCCUUAACAAGGACGAGGCAAUGGUUUCCUCAGUCACUGCUAGAUAUAAAUACAAAUUUUCCCCACUCAAAGUUCUGCUAAGUAAGGGUGGUGAAAUUAGAAGCUUCUUCAUCUCCUCGAAAGCCCUUUGACAUUCUUUUAUCCAUUCAAAGUUUUUAACAUUCUUAAAAGUCUUGAAGAACGACAGACAUCUUUUAGCUGAGCAAGGGAUGAACCGACCAAUAGCUAUUAUUUAGACAUUUAACUUUUGCACCUCCUUGAUGCUACUUGGUGGACUCAUCUUUAUGAUUGCCUUGAUAUUUCUUAGGGUUAGCCGUUAUCCCUUUCUACAAGAUCAUGAAUCCUAAGAACAUCCUAGCUUUAACACCAAAGGCAUACUUAUCAGGGUUUAAUUUGAGUUGGUACUUCUCUAUGAUGUUGAGUGCUUCCUUAAAAUCUCUAGCAUAAUCCUCAGCCUUAGCUGACUUGAUGAUCAUAUCAUCCAUAUAUACCUCCACAGUUUUGCCGCUCUGAUAUUUGAACAUAGUGUUUACCAAACUUUGGUACGUUGCUCCAGCAUUAUUUAGACCAAAAGGCAUUAUUGUAUAACAAAAGGUACCUAUAUCCGUGACAAAAGAAGUCUUCUCUUCGUCAGAAUUAAACAUCUUAAUCUAAUGAACCCCUGAGCAGUAUUGACAAAGUUUUAUACUACAUAAUUACUUAUUGAAUCCACUAACUGGUCAAUGUUGGAAAUGGGAUAACUAUCUUUUGGACAAGCCUUAUUUAAAUAUGUACAAUCUACACAUAUUCGCCAUCCCCUAUUUGGCUUCUUAACCAAAACCACAUUCGCUACCUAAUUAGGAUACGUUACUAGCCUGAUGAACCUAGCUUUUAGCAGCUUGUUGACUUCUUUAGCUAUGGUGAUUUACUUUUUAGGAGCAAAGCUUCUCUUCUUUUGCUUGACCGACUUAAAACUAGGAUUGACAUUUAACUAAUGGGAGAUUAUACAUGGAUCAAUCCUAACUGUUUCAGAAGGUGAGCUAGCAAAUAUGUGCAUUUUCUCAGUAAGCAUCUGUUAUAUACUUUGGAUCACUUGACCAGACAAUUCGAUGCUGACCUAAACUACCUUCUUUAGAUCCCCGCUAAAGAUAACUUUUUUAACUCUCCCAUUACCUCUACUUUUGCUGAACCUUCCAUUGUUGGAUGCAUCAAAGCUUCUACAAGGAGUGCUUGUCAUGUCCUCUUCAAUAAGGUAAGAUAGCAUUCUCUCGCCAUCUUCUAGUUACUGAGCAUAGUUAUAACCCCUCUAGAAAUUAGAAUCUUCAGCUUUAGAUAGUUGAUGUUCAUGGCUGCCUUUAUUUCCACAGCAUAGGUCGUCCGAAAAUUACAUUGUAUGCAAAUGGAAUAUCAAUUACCAUGAAGGAGGUUUGCCACUUCUUGGUCAGUCCCUUAAUUCUAUAUGCUUUCCUAGUUUUUCCCUAAGUUAUACCGUUAGCUUAGUUAUCCCGAAAGGUUGUACUGGUUGGCUACCUAAAUUGAGUAAUUGAGUCGUGCACAGCUUCAAAUUCAUCACUCCCCUACUGAUGGCCUCGUAGCACUAUAGAGCUAUGAUAUUGAUCGCAUUUUUAUGAUCCAUAAAUAGCCUCCUUACCUAGUAGUUCUCAAUGAAUCCUGAGACUACUAAGGCAUCUUAGUGAGGCAUUUCAAUUUCUUCUCUAUCCUUCUCUGAGAAAACUAUAUCUAAAAGUUUCUCAUUCUCGGUCAUCAUAACUGUGACACCUGUAAAGGAUGUCAGACAUACAUUGUAUGCAAAGACUGAUACAUAACAUAUUUCUUAACUACUAACUUUUAACUCACAAAUUAAUAUGUAUAACAAAAACUAUUUAUAUGAGUCAUACAUAUCACAUACCAAAAAGCUCACAACAUCAAAUAGUACACUUUUCUUUUAUACACAUAGAAUGCUCCAGAUUUAUACAUGAUAAUGAAAUCCACUAGACAUGUCACGUCCAAGAAAGAAAAACUGAGGGCGACCUCCUGCUGACCUACUUGACAUAAUGCUAGUGCGAUAGAUGUAAAUGUUUCGUCAAAACUAAUUAUAAUUCUUCUAAUCCUAAAAAAGAAAUAAUGCAGAGGAGUGAGCCUGCAACUCAGCAAAAGAAUAACAUAACUUCCAAUGAAAAAUAACACAAUCAAACGUGUAGUAUUAUCAAACAUCAAACUAUUCGAUAUUUAAUUAUGACUUUAUAGUGUUUACAUAAACCUUGUCAUAGCAUUUUCUUUAGGACAACAAUGAACUUGUGAAUUAUAUUUAAUUCCAUAAUAAUAUAUAUAUUUUUAUUUUCAUGGAUCCCCAUACGCACACAGCCAACUAUAAUCUUAUGGGGAAUUCCAUAUCGCACACAGCCUUGCCUCAUUCACAAGUAGUAUUGCGUCCUUACAAUCAUCUGACCAUAAUUCUUAUAUAUAUAUAUAUAUAUAUAUAUAUAUAUAUAUAUAUAUAUAUAUAUAUAUAUCAUUUAAAUAACUAACAUCUCCAUAAUAUAUAAGAAACCAUAAUAAUACCUAUGAUAUACCAAAAACAUACCAUAUUCCAACAUGGCAGAUUUAAUAGUAUGCAUUCACAAAUACACCAAACAUUCCACAUUAGGAAUUCCAAAGCCAUAUUCUCCAGAUCAGUAAUAUUAUAAGUCUAGAUUAAUUUAAAACUGAUUUUAUAUCAAAUGGAUGUGUAUAGAAAGAGAAACAUCAAAAACAUUCUACCAUGGUCAAGCUGUCAAUAAAAUUAAGCAACAGAAAGUAUGAUCCAGAUUGGCCAUCAAAACAGCAAAAUCAAGCUUCCUCUAUUUCUAUAAUAUUUGUAAAUUACAUUUCAAAUUUUCUAUAGCAAUAAGUAGCACUCCAUUUGGAGUUAUAAAACUCCAGAUAUGGCUAAAUCAAAUAUAUUAUUCACAUUAUAACAGGACACUCGAAUUCACCAUUCAACAUUCAUAUAGAACAUUAAGUUAUUCACUUGCCUUUGUUGCUCCCUUCCCUUUGCUUGAGCUUGGGUGUCACCCUCAUUCCAAAUUAGUUUAGCUGAAAUAGAUCAUAAUUCACUUAUUUUUAAAUACCCAAAGUUAAUAGAAUUUCAUAUAGCAUGAUAACGUCACUAAACUCUCUACAUAUGUGUGGCUGCCAACUAUGACAGAAUUAAUAGAGUGAAUUUAAAAAUCCACCAAAACUUCUAUACAAUAAAUUUCAUAAUGAAACUUUUCAUAUCACUAACCUUAUGUCUCUAAUAUAAUUUAAAACUGAUUUUGUUUCAAUUGGAGGUGUAUAGAGAAAUAUUCGUAUAAAACAAUCCACCUUACUCACACCAAAGAUGGAAACUGAACAAUAAAAUGUAUUCUCUUAUUAUACUAACAUAGAGUCUGAUUCAGAUCGAGCUAAAGAAAUAAAAGCUUUAGAUGACCCUUUAAAAUUUCUAUAUUAUUAAAGAACACUCAAUUUAAAGCUUUCUAGCUUAAGAUAUGAUCAAAAAAAUAAGACUGAAAAAUUAGAUCUUUAGAACUCGAAUUCUAUGUCUUCUAAACCCUAACUCAAUUUAACAAAAUAUUAAAAUUACUUACCAAAUAAACCUCUAAAGCCUUUGUAGAUGAAGAUUAAGAUCAAAAAUGGAUUUUAAACCUCCAAAUUCCACUUGAAAAUUCAGUUUCCUUUUUUUUGAAGAAGAAGAAGAAGAAAGAAAGAAGAAGAAGAAGAAGGAAGAAGAACUACUACCUUUUCUUUCUUCUUCCCCUUUUCUAUCACAUUAAUAUUUUUUUUUUAGGUUCAAUUAACCCCUUAAUUUUUUUCCAUUAAUCAACUCAAUCCUUUAACUUUCUAAUUCUUAUUAUGGACUUAAUUGUAACAUAUAUAAUAUUCNNNNNNNNNNNNNNNNNNNNNNNNNNNNNNNNNNNNNNNNNNNNNNNNNNNNNNNNNNNNNNNNNNNNNNNNNNNNNNNNNNNNNNNNNNNNNNNNNNNNNNNNNNNNNNNNNNNNNNNNNNNNNNNNNNNNNNNNNNNNNNNNNNNNNNNNNNNNNNNNNNNNNNNNNNNNNNNNNNNNNNNNNNNNNNNNNNNNNNNNNNNNNNNNNNNNNNNNNNNNNNNNNNNNNNNNNNNNNNNNNNCUGAUCUCUAUCUCUUGAUCCUUUGGAGACCUUAUAACUUAUGUCCUUAUUGAACUGACCUUCUUUUCUAACAAUAAACCUCUUAAGGUGCUCUCUCUCAAUCAGCCUGUCAAUAUUUCUCUUAAGGCGAAUGCAAUCCUCUGUAUCAUGACCAUGAUCAUUAUGGAACUUAUAAUAUUUGUUUUUAUUCUUGCAAUCUGCGGUUUGCUUGGAUACUGGAUCUCACCUUUAUUCUUUUGAACCCACAUCAAGAUGUCGGUUCUUAAUGUGUUCAGAGGAACGUCUUUAGUAUUAUUGCUCCUAGAAUCAAUCUUCCUCAUAUCAUCCCUAUACCCUUGCUUAGGCUGAUCAGACUUACCUUUUGACCGAUUAUCAUGGUUGGUCCUUCUUGUAACUUGGUAAUCUUCGUCUAACCUGAUGAAACUGUAAGCUCGAUCCAUGAGCUCAGCGUAUGACUCUAGCAGGUCAAUGGUUAAUGAUUCCUUGAACGUGUUCAUGCAAGUAUUGUCAAUCAUUGCAUCUAUAGUUGUAUCCUAGUUGAGCUUUUCUACUUGGACAACUUCUAUGUUCAACCUUUCCAUAAAAUCUUUCAAGAUUUCAUCACGCCUUUGAAUAUACUUUUUUAGAUCAUUGGACCUCAUCUUUAGAGGUAUGCUAGUGAGGAACUGAGCUUUAAAUAAUUCAACAAGAGUAGCAAAGUUAUAUAUAGAGCCAUCUGGCAAGCUCUGAUACCACUUAUGUGCACUUUUCUUUAGGGUUGUUAGGAAAAUUCUACACCUGAUUGGAUAUGACACAUUAUGUAAUCCUAUGUUAAUGUUAAAAUUAUUAACAUGAUCUAGUGGAUUCCCUGAACUAUCAUAGAAAUCUAAAGGUGGCAAUCUUAGCUUCUUAGGGAAGUGCUCUGCUGGGAUGCUCGGACAUAGGGGAUUACCCUUAAAUAGAACCUCAUCUCUCAUUAUUCUUCCUAUACGAUACUUUUUCAGAGAUCAUUUACUUUCUUAUUGAUGGUCUACUCAAGACAUGCAGAAUCAUGAGUUUGAGAAUCAGAACUCUCCACCUCAAUUUUUCUAGCUCGAUUAUUACUUUUACGAGACCUAUUAUCCUUUAUUUGAUUAUUUUUUAUCCACAAGAUUUAUAUGGUCGGUGGUGGACUGAUAUCAAUGCUACACUCUAUCAUUGUAGGAGCUCGGUUGGUGUUUAUUGGCAUAGUUUGCCUUACAAGUGUUUAAGCUAGAACAUUCUCAUAAUACUUCUUCACCCACCUAUUGAUUAUACAUAGUAACAACAUCCUUUGGCGAGGCUUGCUAAAGAUGUUGAGGGAGAUCUAGUGGUAGAGCUCGGCUAUGAGGUGUAAUGGGCGACGAGAAGAAUGGGGACUGAGAUAUAGGCGCUUGAGGUUUCUGCCCCAUCUCCCUUUGCCAAGUAACUAAAAUCUCUCCACAGGGAUAGACCUCUCUAGGUAUAAUUUCCACUGAAGAUCUCCUCAGGUAUGAAAUUAAUAUUGGAAAGAUUUCUUCUCUAGGGCUGGAAAGAUGGUGUGAUCAUUCCUGUAGGACUUGAGGAUCGAUGAUCGACUUGUGGGGGCAAUUAGAGGUCUAGUAGGUGUAUCACUGAUUCCAACUCCAGUCCUUGGUGGGAGAACAUCAUCUUUUUGAUCUUGACCAGAUGUUAUUUAGCUUGAUGAGAUAGGAAAAUAAAGUUUUUUGCGCAAAGUUUUUCCAUAGACAGAGCCAAUUGAUAACUCGGUCAACUAGAUGAGCUAUCAAUAAGAUAUUGAAAGGUUGACCCGAUCUCUGGAGUACCUAUAAAAAUGGUUAAAAGGCGUCGAAUGGGGUUGUCCGACCACUUACUUUGAUAAUUAAAUUAAUAAUUUAUGAAAGGAUGGCUUAAAGUAUAAUGAGUGUGUAAAAUAAUAUAUUGUAGCUUUUUAUAUAGACGUUGAAGAUCUNNNAGUUCGACUAUGACACGGUCUCUUAGACUUUAACCAUUUACAGUUUAAACUCAAACCUCAUUGAGAUAAAAUAAAUGUGAAUCAAAUGAACAAACAAAAAUUAAGAACUAAUAUAUAAAAUGGAAUUUAUAAUUUACAUUUAUAUUUAAAUGAAAAAUUUAUUUCUUAUGCUACUUUUCAAUUGUUUUCUGGUAACUGAAGAAGCUUGCAUUUUCGUUAUGAGAUUUGUCAAUGGUUGAAUUACAUAUAUAUAUAUAUAUAUAUAGUGGUAAGAAUUUAGAUAGGCUUUUAAUUUGUGCACUUACUGAUUGUUUAGCUCGUCAUAUUCUUAGUUUGGAUGUAGCUAUGUAGUGGUUUGCACAUCAUGUUUGUUGUUUAUCUUCUUUAGCUAAGGAUGUGAGCAUUAUAGAUUCUCUUAAUUUUUUGAUUCUUGUUUAUUGUUAUUUCUUUUUAAUAAAGUAUUUUGGGAUGCCCAUUGUGUUGGUCCGAAUAACUUGUUAUCCUAGCUGAAAUGCUCAGAUAACUAAGAUGUUUGGGUGCAUUUUUAAAGUGCCUUUCAAGUAAAUUCAUGUUUAAAAAAUAGAAAAAGAGGAAUAAUCUUUUACUAGAUUAGAGUUAGACUCAUAUUUGGUGUACUUGCAAUUUCUAGUUGCUUUGCAAUCAAAUGCGCCCUUAGAAAGAUUAUAUAUAUUAUUAAAUUCUUUUUUCUAUAUUGGUUGAAUUCUUUAAAUAGAUUUAUGAUAGGCCAAAAUUAUAUAUGGUUAUUUAGGAUAUUUUAGAGUAUUUAUGAUAUAUUUUCUAUACAUAAUAUAGUGAAAAUAUGUAUUUUUACUUCACUUAAGCUUUACUGUAUAUUUUCAAGUAAUAUUAGCUAAGAGAGAAAAAUAUGAAGAAAAAUACUAAAAGAUGAGAUUAAAUAGGACUGCUGCUGUUGAAGACCAAUAUUAAGAUGCAUAAACUGCUAUUUGUAAGGCUUAGCGGAAAAUCAUUAUUCAUUUAGGGGCAAUGUAGUCACUUUAUUUAAUUAUUAGGAUUUGAGUUAGAUUUAUUUUGGGAUAAUAUUUGGUAAAAAUAAGAAUAUCUAUAGUUCUAUCUAUUAGAUAGACUUAUAUUGUUAUACUUAUCUUUAGGAAAACUUAUAUUGGUGGAUGACUCUACUCUGUAUAUAUCUUUAUAAAUUUAAUUCUAAAAAGAGGAGGAGAGGUCUCUCAUAUUUGCUCUCUGCUAUAUCUCCCGUUAGCAUAUGUGCACCACUCAUCUCUACAAUUCUCUAUAAUUCUACAUUAAACACUUAGUUUUAGUAUUCAUUGUUCUUUUAAAAUCUAAUAAGCUUUUUAAGAAGUGAAGAGUGGGGAUCAAUUAUUUUUUUACCUUCAAGAAAUUCUAGAUCUAGAGGGAGCUUUAAUUUUCAGUCUUAUUUUAUGUCUUUCUAUUUAAUACCGUGAUCAUUUGGUUAAAUAUGCUAGGCCGACUUUUAUAAGUAUUUAGUUUAGCCUUUUUACUUAUGUAUGAACCUUGUUAUUUUUUAUUAGUUUCAGUUAUUAUUAUUAAUUAACCAUCAUAUUAAUUUAAUAAUAGUAAUUGUUAUGAAAAUAGUUAGAUUGAAUGUAAUAGAACAUCAUCUUUGCUUCAAUCAAUGUUGGUANNNNNNNNNNNNNNNNNNNNNNNNNNNNNNNNNNNNNNNNNNNNNNNNNNNNNNNUUCAAUAGAUCUAGGCUUAAAGUAAAACAAGGGGGUUACUAAGUAAUUGGCUAGGCUAAAUACCAUUUUUAGCAUAUAGUUUUAAAUCAUAAGCAUUUGCAUUGCAUAUUUACUUUAUUAGUUUGUUGUAUUUCUUUUAUGAAUAUUAAUCUCUCAAAAUAUUAGUUUAGAGUGUUUAGAUUUACUUUUAGUGUUUUUGUGUUGAUAAUUAAUCUAUAUAAUAAAUGGCUCAUAGUUCCUUGAAAUAUCAAUCUCAUAGUGUUUUACCGCCAUUUACUAUAAGCAUGGUUCGUAUACUUCGACUACUAACUUAGACACAUCAAUUUAUGUUCAUAUUAUUGUAUCUAAAAAAUAGUUUUCCAAAAUCUUAUUAAGUUUAAGUUUAUAAUAAUUAAUAAAUAAGAAUUCAUAAAUUAGCUUUAGAUUUGUAUACAUAUUUUUUUAGUUUUUAUAUUUAAUAACCUAAUUGACGAUUUAUAAAUAUAAAUUUAUAAAUUAAAUUACUUUUAUUAUAUAUUCUAAGUUUGAUUAUAUUUUUCAUUUCUUAUUAAGUUUAGUGAGGCAACUUUGUAAAGUUUUUAAAAUAAUUAAGAAUUUAAUUAGUUAAGAUUUAAAAUAUAAGGACUUAUCUAAACUUUUUAAAAUUAUAAAAAUUAAAAGAUAUUCGUUACCUCAUGUUGAAAAGAUAAAAAUGCAAGACAUCAAUGUUCACAAAAAUAAAGGCUCUACGUAUACAAAUAAGAAUAAAGAAAAUAAAUAUCAUAAGGAAAAAUUGCAUUCUUUAUUUGGAUUUAAGAACUUGAUUACAAAUCAUAAUUCUUUUUAUGUUUUAAUAUUUAAAUUGAAUAUUUUAUUCCAAAAUUGUUACUUUUGUUAUUUAGAAAACAACAAAAGUAAGAAAUGAAAAUUUUCAGUUGUGAUAUAUAUAAUUAAGAUUUAAGAUUAUGAAAUAGCAAAACCGAUAUAUAUCUAAAGAUAAAUUUCAAUGAGUUCUUUUUAUAAUUAAUUUCUAGCAGCAUAAAAUAGGUAUCCAUAUAAUAUUAAAUUUUAAAGUGUCAUUUAUAAUAUAAACUUUGAUGAUAACCAAUCAGAUGAGGUUAAGGCCACACCUAUUUUUGUUAAGAUGACAUUAUAAAUAAAAAAUAGAUAUAUAUGCUCAUUAAUAAAAAUAUAUAAUAUGAUAGGUCCAUAAUAUAUAUAUAUAUAUAUAUAUAUAUGUAUAUAUUGCAGAAGAUGAUGAUGAUGAUAAUAAUAAGGGAGAUGAAGAUGUUGAAGAUGAAAAUAAUAAUAAUGAAAAAAAAAAAAGACAUUCUAAUAAUGAUUUAGAUUCUGAUAAUGAUGGUAAAGGACCUGAUAAACAUAAUAUCAUCUUGAAUGAAGAUACUGUUUGUGUUAAAAAUAUUGAGAAGAGUAGUAGUAUUGGUGAUAAGGGAGAUGGAAAGAAACUUGAAGGGGAAGGUGUUGUUAAUAUAUUAGAAAAACUAAAGUAGGUGAUGAUAAUAUUGAUGAUUAUUCUUAUUUUUAUUUUCAGGUAUUCUUUAUUAAUUAUUUUAUAUAAUUUUAUUGAUUUUUAUUAUAAUUUUUAUUUGUUAAUAUAUUGAUAUUUUAUUUUAUUUUAAUUUUUUAAAGUGUUAAUCAAGAAUUUAAUAGUCAAAAUUCUGAAAAUGGAAGAAUUCACUCUAGUUCAUCUUUCUUUUCUGAUAAUAUUGAUUCUAAAUUUCUUUUAGAAAUUGACAUUGUUGUUAAUGUUGUACUUUCGAUGAAGUCAACAAAAGUAUUUUUUUUAUAAAAGAUACUAAAUAUAUACUUACAAUAUUUUUUUCUCUAUUAGUCUUUCAUAUAAAAUGAUAUUAUUAUGAUAUCUAUAAUAUACCAAUUUUCCUUGUUGGUAAUUCAUAUGAAAUAAUAAUGUUAUGAUAUCUUUAAGUUAUUACAUUUAUUAUGUUUUUAAUUUUUUUUUUAUAGGCCGGUGAUAUGAAAGUUCUAAAUAUUCUUCCUAUUCAAACUAUUACUCAUGUUCAUCCAAAAAAUGAUAUUACGUCUAAUUUUUAUUUGCAAUCUUCAUUAUAAUGAUUUUGGUUCAUUUGGAGAAUUUGAUUUUUCUAAAACUGAAAAAAAAAAGUUGUGUAGGGAUUAAUCCUUUUGAAAUUAAUAUUAGAGAAGGUCCAAGUUUUUUAGGUUGAGAAGAUUUUGAUGUUUGAAUUGAUGAAGGAUUGAACAAGAGGAAUAAGUAAUAUUUCUUUUUAUAAUUAUAUUUUUUUAUUCUUUUAAGUUUUUUAAUUUUUGUGUUUAUUUCACUUUUUUAUUUGUUGUAGAAAGAAAUUUUAUGUUGGACAAGUAAUGUGUUUUGUCCUGGUUUUAACUUUAGUUGUAGUAUUAUUACUACAAAAAUAUAUGGUUUCAUCAAUUGUUUAAUUAUAGUGAGUUUCUUUUAGGAUUUGUAAGUUUUCUUAUUUAUCUUUAAUUUUUUAUAUUUUUUGUGUUGUUUAUUAUUUGCUAGAUAAAAAUAUAUUAAAAUGAUAUUUGACAAUAUACUAUUUUUUAUUUUUUUCUUAUAAUUAGUUAUUUUAUAUUUUUCAGCAUAUUGAUAUGAUACUCUACUAUUUGAGGAAGAAGAGGAACUACUGAGAACAUAUGAAAGUUAAUUUCACAACUGUUGAUAGUUUCAUCACAUUUCUUUGUUGUACAAUCUCUACAAGAAAAAGAAUAAAUGUAUAUCUGUUAUUUUUAUGAACCGUGUGGUAAUUAAUUAUAUAAAAGUUUUUUUUUUAUAUACUGUAAUACUAUACAAAUUGACCACGUGCUUUUUCUAUCAAUGUUAAAAUUGAGAGUCAUUGAAUUUUAGUACAAUUAACUUUAAGGAUAAGUGCAGUUAUGUGUAUAACUCUAGGAGGUACGAUCUUUAUGACAAGAGAGUAGUUGCAGUAGUUGAGCCAUAUUCUAUUUUGUUACCAUAAUUUUUUCAAUUCUAGAGCUUUUUGAUCUUCAAAACGAUAUUGAUACUGCUUUUCUGGUCCUUUUGAAGGAAAAUCUAUGACUGAUAAUUUCAUUGUUUUCAUAGUUGAUAAUUUACUUUGUCAAACUUCAAGGUAUGAUUGUGUAUUAGUUUUAUUAUUUAUUAUUUAUUUUAUUUUGUUCAUAUUUUUAUGAUUUUAAUUAGUUGAUCUUUUUUUUUUUAGUGAUUAUAGUAUUUUUAUUCUUGCUUUUGCUAAAUAUUUUGCAUUUGGUGUUGAUAAGUUUACUGUAAAAUUUAUUGUUGAUGAUCUUCGUAGCCAAUAUAUUGUUGCUCUGUACAAUUAUGCAAGGUUUAAAGAAUUAGUGGAGAAGUUAGUGAGAUAGAGGAUCGUGAAAGAUCUACAAAGAAAAAAUAUUUAAAGUCAAAGAAGAAAAAAUAGUGAAAAAUUAAUAUUUUUAGUUUUGGAUAUGUUUUAGUUUUUAUGCGUAUUUCAUUUGUAUAACAUUUACUGUUGGAAAUAUAGUUAUUUUAGUUGUUAGCAGCAAAUUAUUAUGAUAUUGAAUAUUUACUUUUUGUUUUGUUCAUUUUGCUAUAUAGUUGUUUAUUCAUUAUCAGAAAAAAUUCUAAGAUUUUAACAAUAUAGUUUUAGUAUACUAGAUUUCUUUUGAUUAUAAUUAUAUAUAUUAUAUGAUAGUUUUAAUAUACUAAUAAAAUACUUUUAAUAUAAUUUUUUUCUGGUUAAUUUGAUAUUUUAUAAAAUAAUAAACAUUGAUUUAAUUCUAUUAGAUUUAACAAUAGAAGGUAUAAUAAAUUUAUUAAUAUUGAAAAAUAGAAUAAAGAAACAAGAAAAAGAAAGAAGUCCUCACUUUUCAUUUUCUAGAUUAUUAUGUACAAUUAAUGAGAAAUUAUGCAAUUUUUAUUUUAUUGAAGUUAAAUAUAUGUUUUUAAAUACUUUUAAAAUACCAAUAAGAUAUUUUAUAAUAUAUCUAUUUUAUAUGCUCAAAUUGAUUUUUUUGUAAAUUGAUAAACAUUUAUUCAAGUCUAAUUUAUUUAGCGAAUGUAUCAUGCAUUUAUUGAUUAUCAAAAUUAUAAAAAUUGAAUAAAAAGUUUCACUAAUCCUUUUGUAUUAAAGUUAUAUAUAUCAUAAGAUAUGGUUAACAUACCAAAAAUAUUCUUGUAGUAUAUUCAUAAGAUACUGUUAAUAUACUCAUAAGAUACUUUAAUAUAUUUUUUCUCUGAUUAACUUGAUAUUUUGUAAAAUGAUCAAACAUUGAUUCAAUUCUAUUAUAUUUAGCAAUGGAAGGAUUUACUAAUAUUGUAAAAUGGAAUAACGAAACAAGAAAAAAAAAAGUUCUCACUUUUUCAUUGUUCUAGAUUAUUAUGUAUAAUAAAUGAGUAAUUAUGCCAGUUUUCUUUUAUUAAUAUUAAAUAUAUGUUAUAAGAUACUUUUAAUAUACCAAUAAGAUAUUUGUAAUAUAUUUUUUUAUUUGCUUAAAUUGAUAUAUUACAAAUUUAUAAAUUUUGAUUCAAGUCUUAAUACAAUUAGAGAAGGUAUCAUGCAUUUACUGAUUAUCAAAAUUAUAAAAUUAACUAAGAAUUUUCAUUAAUGCUCUUGUAUUAGAGUUAUAUAUAUUAUAAGACACAUUUCUAUACUACAAAUAUUCUUGUAGUAUACUUUCUCAGUAAACUUUUUUCUGUUUAGAUUUAUAUAUCAAAAAUUUAAAAUAAAAUUCAUAAAGUAUGAAAUCAUUAUUUAUAAAUUCUAUAUUUCCUGUAAAAUCAUUAUUUAUUUAAUUGUUCUUUAUUAGAUUUCUACAUGUCUUUCUAUUAUAUCCAAGUUGUCUACAUUUUCUAUAGUUAUUUUGCCUUUGUAGUCUCCCAUGGUGCUUUGAUUCUUAUUUUUUUGUCUACCAGAUUUAAUCAUUCCUUCUGAUGGUAGAAUAGCUUUAUUUCUCACUACUUCUGAUAUAUUUCAUAUGCUUUCGGUAGUUGUUUCGUAUAUAGCCAACAUUGUCUAUUUAGUGUAGCAAUGUGAACAAUGUUCAUAAGGAUCCAGAAUAUAUUUGUUUAUGAUAGCUGAUACAUGAGGAUAUGGUAUCUCAUCAAUUUGAAAUUUGUUGCAUUUGAAUGUUUUCUUUUCCAUAUUAACUUGAACUUUUGAGGCAUUAUCUAUCAUAUCGUACACUUGGUCACUCGAUGGUUUCACCUACAAAUAUGUAUAUUUCAAAAAGCUAUUAANNNNNNNNNNNNNNNNNNNNNNNNNNNNNNNNNNNNNNNNNNNNNNNNNNNNNNNNNNNNNNNNNNNNNNNNNNNNNNNNNNNNNNNNNNNNNNNNNNNNNNNNNNNNNNNNNNNNNNNNNNNNNNNNNNNNNNNNNNNNNNNNNNNUGAUACUUUUAUGUAUUCUUUCUAAUUCUUUUAUGUGGUAGUUGAAUUCAUCAAUUGUGUAUGACUUUGCUACUAUAUAAAAAGAGUCCUUAAUUUUUUUUUAAAUUUUUCUUGAAUUUGCUUUUCAGUUGUUCAGCAGAUGAUACAUGCAAACUCCAUGAGAUACUUCUGGAUACGUUUUUAUAAUAGAAGUUUCACUACUUUCAUGCCUAUCCAAAAUUAUGCACAUGCUACUUCUUGAAUCAAAAGUUUUUUUUAGUCUAGAAAAAGAUCAUUCCUGUGAUGCAUCAUUUUCUGAAUCCACUAUGCAGAAUGUAAGAAGAAAGAUUUUGCCACCUUCAUCUUGUGUUGCUGCUGAGAGUAGAGUACCUCCAUAGGCCGCCUUUAAGAAAGUUUCAUCUACCACCAUUAUUGACUUGUAGUAUUUUCAUCCCUUGAUUGAUACAUCUAGAGCUAUAUAUAUAUAUUAAAUUUGUUGUUGUCAUCUCUUUCAAGAUCAACUAUUGAACCAAGAUUUGUAUUCUCUAACAUGUAUAAAAAUUUGAUACUAGUUGAUAAGAUUCUUCUCGAUCAUCUACAAAUAUUAGAUAUAUUUAUUAAAUAAGAUAUUCUUAGUAUAUCAUAGAUAUACUAUGUGAUUGUAUUUAAUAUUACUUAUUAAUUUAUUUAUUUUAUUUUUAAUAAUGAGAUAUUUAAAAGAUAUUUAUGGUAUGUGUAUAAGUUAAUUUAGUAACCUGUAAAUAAUAGUUAAAUUUAUUAAAUAAGAUACCCUAGGAUAUCAUAAGUAUACCAUAUAAUUGUAUCACACAUUAUUUUUAAAUUUAGAUUUACGUUUUGAUUGUUAAGUACGAGAUAUAAAAGAUAUUUAUGGUAUAUCUAAAAGAUAUAACAUAAUAGUAUAUAUAUGUACAAGAAAUAUUAUAUUAAAUCGUAAGAAUUUUCUUUAUUAUACCUCUGAUUUUUUCUAAAGUCUUUUUCCUUUGAUCUCCAUAGUUUAUAGAAAUACCAUAGUCUUGCUUUAUGUUCUUUAUUAUAUCAUUUGGAGUGUAUAUGGUUUUGAUAUCAAGGAACUUUGAUUUGGUCCACUCUUCUACAAUAUCAAAUGUUGCUUAUCGAUUGUCAUUGAAUCUGAUCUCCAAAAAGCAAUUAUGAAUAUUGUAUAAUUUUCUGACUUUCAACAUCUUUAACUUUGAACAUCUUGAUACUCUUAUAUACCAUUUGUAAUUGUCUUCUAUGCAUUGCAGUAGAUACUUGUUGUGACAUGACUUAAUCACUUUGUAUUGAAAGUGAUUUUGUACUAUAUAGAAGUUUAUGAUUGUUUCAAGAACUUCCUUGUCUCUAUACAUUUGUCCUUGUAAUACUCUAAAAUUAAAUAAAAUAAUAAUAAAAAUAAUAAUAACAAAUAAAUAAAUAAUAAAGGAAGAAAAAAACUUUUUUUCCUUCAUUCCUUUCCCUUCUCCUCCUUCCUCCCUGCUGCUGCUGCUGCUGCUCUCUCUCUCUCUCUCUCUCUCUCUCUCUCUCUCUCUCUGUUUUCCACUAUUUUCGGCCACAACCCCGCCGCCCAACCACCAAGCUUCUCUCCCUCUUCCUUCUUCUCGUCGGCGCCACCCUUUCCUUCUCCCUCUCGUCAUUUUCUUCGCUGCAGCAAAAUGGGAAGGCGUCCUCUUUACUGCCAUCGCCAGAACUACCACCUGCAGCCAUUUCUUUGUAAAUGCGAUGCCGGAAUCAAGCUCCCCACCGUCGACAACCCCAAGCUAGCUUCCCCUUCACCAUUUUUCCUCCACCAACAGCCUUGGGAGAGUCUCAGUGGAGCAACUCCCUUCUCACCGCAAGGGUUAGGCGGUGAUUUUAGUGUUUUCGGACUCCUCGCAAUUCAAGCUUCACGUAGGCAUAUCCGAAUUCGAAAUCCGGCACCGUUGGCAGUACCAGAUUUCAGACCCUGAUGUUUUUCGGAUGCGCAAUCUUGGAUUUUAGCUCGGUAUAAUUUUAUUUAGAUCUUGAAAAUCAUUAAAAAAUAUUUGGUGUAUCAAUUGUUAGUUAUUAAUAAUUAAUUAAAUUACUUAAUUAAUUAGUAGCAUGAUCCUAGAAAUACUACAGAUUAACUAUAGAAGGAAUUAUUAUUUUGUUGUGUAAAUUGAGACUGUAAUUAAUUAAAUUAAAUGCGAGGAAAAUACUUGUGUUGUAUCGUGAAUGAUAUUAUUAUUUUGUUGGACUAUUGAUUUUGUAUUGUGAUUUGGAUUGUGUUGUGGAGUCGGUAAAUAAUGCAAUUUUGGUGGCCCGACUCCCAUUAAAUAAUCGUAGAAUAUUCGAAGUGUUUCUAGCAGGAUCUAGACCCGUUUUAUAGGGAGUAAACGUCCAUAUUUAGGAAAGGUUUUGCUGAAUUUUCGGUAAAAUUCCUGAGUCUGGUUUCCUUAGGCAGUCUAAUCUAGGAGUUUAUGCCAAGAAAAGUUAAGAAUAUCAUACUAAUCGAGUUAUUUUUGUGAAUAGAUAAUCUGUCCGUCCAGCUAGCUCCAUCCGGAGUGUAGGAUCAGACUGCAGUGCGGCAGAACUGUGAGUUAAAGUCAUAUAGUCAACUAAACUUGUGUCAUGUUUAAAUUAAAUGCAAUACUAAAGGGUACAUAAGUACUAUGAUUAUUAUUAGCAUUAUUAUCAUUAAUUUUAUUUGAUUAAUAAUUAUUACGAAUACUAGAAGCGUCAUUAUUAUAAAUUUUAUUUUAUUUUUGUUAUUUCUAUAUCCUCAUUGUAAUCUAUUAUUAUUAUUAUUGACUAUUAUCUUUAUUUUUUAUUUUAUUAUUAUUAUUAUUAUAACAUAUAAUUCUCAUGUCUGUUAUAAUUGUAACUUCAGAAUGAGGCGGCAGUAGAACAUGCCACCUGAUGGGUUGCAUCAGGACCGCGCGCGCUGGUAUUAAUCAGAAACAGGUAGUAAAAGAUUAUUUUUGGAAUUUGCCCUGAUUGAAUAUAACUCUCUAGGCUGUGAAAAUUUGACUGUCGGAGGAAGGUCUCUGGUCGAGCGUUGCUCUCUAGGGCUGGCUUAUUUAGGAAUCAAGUGACCAAACUGCAUUUAAAGAUUCUGGUUGAGCUUCGCUCUCUGGGUGCCAGAUCUAUUAGAAUAAGAGAGCCAAAAGGCUGCUAGUAUUGUGGUUAGGGUUCUGCUGAGCUUAUAGUCCCAUAAACGUUUAAAUUGUAUUUUUUUCUGAAUCAUGGCAUAACACGUGUUUUAAUAUAAUAUGAUAUGUUAUUCCGAUUAAAUAAAUAUUUUAUUGAGAAGACUGUAUUUGUCAUAGGAUUAUAUGAUUUUAACUCAAUCUCGAGGCUGAUAGUCUCAAAUUUUAAAUUUUUCAGGUGACAGCUAGGUUCUCCGUCGUCUUCCUCUUAACAGCCCGACUUCCUUCUCCUUUGGACUUAUUGUAAUUAAUUUCUACUUUUGUAUUUUGAACUAUUUAAAAUUCUAGACUUUCCGCAGUGGUGUACCUAGCAUAUUAUAUUUGAAUUUGGUCUGUAACAAGUUAUGGAAUGUUUGCCAACAUCCAGUUAGAAAUCUAUGAAUGAAAUGUUGGGCUGUUUUAAUAGUAUGUAUAUGUAUGUAUAUUUGAAUUAUCGAUUAAUUAGGCUUACUACGGGUUUUGGUGGCCUUAAGUCUACACAUUCCCUAGUGCCGAUCACGGACCCAUAGAUCGAGUCGUAACAGUCCUUGCUCAAUUUCUAAUUGGUUUUUAUUAUUCAUUAUUUUUGAAUCAAUACUGUCACUUUCUGAUUCUUGCUCUUCUCUUUUCUUUUUUGCUUCUACAAUGCCUUUGCUUAUAGCAUUUGCAUAUUCAAUGAUAUUUGGAAUUCUUUUUUUGUCAGCUCUACUUAUUGAACUUUGUUCCAGUGCUAAUAUUGAUGGUGGUGCAUUUUCUUGAAAAAUUGUAAUUUUUAUAUUUGUUGAUCUUGGACAUGAUGCGUAUAUUGUGUUUUUUAUUCUCUUAGUCACAAAUAUAAUGUAAAGUGGAUAAAUUCUAUAAUUUACUUCUUCCUUUUUAACUCCAAAUAGAAUUGUAAAUCUAUAUCAUUUUGUACUUUAUGUGGUAGAUAUACGUCGUUCACUUCAUUCACCUCUCUUUUGCUUUGUAUUUACUUUAAUAUAAUAUCCAUUGAUGUAUAAAAGUUUGAAAUUGUUAGAAUCAAAAUGCACAAACUUUAAAGUUAACAAGUUCAUAUUUUCAUCCUAUUGUCCAUUGUAUUACACCAGUACUGGUAUUGCUUCUAUUUCUAUAAAAAAUUAUUUUAAAUAAAAUAAAGUAUAAUAUGCCAAUAAAAUACUCUUAAUAUACGAUUAGCUUUAUAUUUAUGAUUGAUUUAGUUAAACUUGUAUGAAGUUAUUACUCAGUUGUAUAAAAUAUACUAUGUAGAUAUUUAAAAUAUGUUUUUACUAUAUCUUUUCAUAUAUAUGUUUAUAUUAUAAAAUAAUAUAUGUAAAAUCAUAAGUUAAUAAAGAAAUUUUGAAGUAAAAGAAAUAUUUUUGAUAUACUAUAUGUUCAUUACUAUGAAUUUAUAAAAGAUAAUACUUAUAUACUAAAAAGAUAUAUAUUAUAAUCUUAUAAAAUUUUGAAAACACACAUACUGAUGCAUCAGUUUUUCAAAAUUGAAUUAAAAUUCAAAAUAAUUCAUGUCCUUAAAUAUUUUAUUAUAACAUUACAUAUACAGUAGGUUUUGUUAUUUUUGUAGAGUUAUAAAGCAUAUAUUUUUUGUUUUCAAAUAUAUUGAACUUCAAUUGAAUGUCUCUUUUGUGUUUAUCUCUAUGUUGAUAUAAUUUAAUGCAAUUUCUUCUCGAUCUAUUGUUUUAGCUUCAAAACAUCUGCAUUAUUGCUGAGUUAUGAGUUGAAGCUUGAUUUAAAUAUUAAAAACUAACACUCAGCUGUAUUACAAACUUGAUUUCUUCUUUUUUGCUGUUGUAAUAAUGUUAUUUUUGUUUGAUUAAUUUAUUUUUUGUUUGAUUUUCUAGUAUUCUUUUACUUUGUAUGUCAGGAUGAAGUUGCAAAAUUUACUGCUUUCAUGGUAGAUAUUUUGAUUUUGUUUCUUGUUUUGUGAGAGUCUUCAGUUUUGGAAAGAAAUAAUUGUUUUUAGUAGGAAAUAAACUUCAAAUUUGAAAAUGGUACAAAUAAAAUAAUUUGAAUUGAUUUUUCAUAGAAAUAAAAUCUUUAUUUUUAUACCGUAAAAAUAAAAAUUUAUAGCUUAUUUUCUCUAUUUAUGUAUUUUUCAUUCUUUUCCAUCGAAAGAGGCCGAAAAGCUUAUUGAUUCACGAAUUAAAGAAGAAAAUAAAAGAAUAUAUAAUAAAACUGAAAUUGAAAUGGUGAUUUUGGCCCGGAAAGGCCAAAACUACCUUUCAAAACCACUAAUUACGGCUACUCGUUUAAGAAAAGAGAGCAUAGAAUUGUAAAUUUCUCAAAACUUGAAAAAAGAGUUCUUGACGUUGAUAAUUCUGACAAUUGAAGGAUUUAGUAAAAUAUAAUUAAAUUUUAAAAAUUCCAUAAUAAAAAUUAAAAAAAGAAGUUCAGGUACUGGAUAUGGGUUUUGCCUAAUAACUAGGUUAAAGUAGGGGAUCAUAGUAAUUUAGCCUCAUAAAGAAAAAAGAUAAAGAUAAAAAGAAAAAGGAACAGCUCCCCCUCCCUUGGAAUCAAACAGAUCUGAAAAGACUGACAAGGUGUAAAUGUAAUUAGAGAGGAAUCUGAGAAAUGGAAGCCCACCUCUUGUCUUAACAUGAUAAAGAAAAAAAGAACAUGAAGGACCCUGUAUUGGGUCUGGCUGACAUAACUUGGUCUCCUCUUCUGUACCCAAAACAGGAAAAAAAAGAAAGAAAAUUAUCAAAGACCAACCAAUCACAUACUAAAGAAAAUUGCCAAGCACAAGAACAAAAGGCCAAAAGCAGUGUCUAUUCGAUUAAUAGUUUAAAGGUUAACUGGGCAAAUUAUAACUUGGAUCCGAAACACAAUACAUUAUGUUCUUUAGUUCAAAACGUCUGAGUUUAAUAGACAAUUACAUGUGUGCCCACUUAAUCCCAACAAUUGAAAAAGGAGAAGAGACACUAAACUGUCAUCAUAAUAAAAUAAUCUCUCUUUUUUGUCUUUUUUAUAUUUAUUUAUAAGAUUCACAAUUAAAAUUAUUUUUAUUUUAUCUUAUUUAUAGGAUUCAAAAAAUAAUUACAACAUUAUAUUAUUUUAGAGAAAAUUAUAUUAAUAGUUGUAUUUAUUUUACUUGUUUGAACCAUUAUAUUUGUUUAAUUCUUUUAAUGAUAAUUUUAAUAUUAUAAAUAUCAAUAGAAAAAUUUUAAAAUAAAAUUUUUAUUUAUAAAUUUUAAUAUUUUUAGGGGCAAUCUUUUGAAUGGCUUUUAAAGAUAAUUUUAUACUUUUGUAAUAUAUUUAAUUUAUUCUUUUCUAGUAUUAAAUUUUUUACUUUCAUGUAUAUUCAUGUACGAUAAGUUAUAAGCAACGUGAUUAUUAUAUUCAUCAAAUAUAAAAUUUAAAUCUAUCAUUUGUGAAUUGUAAAUUUAUUAAUUAAUGUAUAAAUUUAUUUUUAAAUUUUUAAAUUUUUGAACUAUAAUUGUGAAGUUCAAACCUAUCAUUUAUGAAUUUUAAAUUCUUUAAUUAACGUAUAAAUCUGUUUUUUAAUUUUUAAACUUUUGAAUUAUGAUUAUAAAUUUUAGAUGUAUGUGUGAUGAACUUAUAGUUUAUAAUUUAUGAAUCUUAUAUUUUUAAUCUAUGAUGUGGUUUCUUUUUUUAAUUUUUACUAUAAUAUAUGAACUUCAAGUUUACAUGUAAUAAACCUACAGUUUAUAAUUUAUGGACUUAUUAUUUCUAACUUACGAAUAUAUAGUUUAUGAUUGAUUUUUAUAGUCUUUAUCGAUGAAUUUAUGUUUACAAACUUAUGAUUGUGUUUUAUAAUUUAUAACUAUGAAUAUAAAUUUAUUAUUUUAAUAUUUCAAUAUUAUUAUUAAAUUUUUAAGAAUUAAAGUAUUGUUAUAUUAUCAUAAAAAAUAAUUUAAAUUGAAAUUUUAUAAAAUAAGAUCUAAUAUAAUUAAAAAUAUGAAAAUAUACUAGAUUUUAUAUUUUAAUAAAAAUUUAAUUAUUAAUAAUAUUUCAUGUAUAUGUAGAAUCUAAUCUUAAUAUAUAAUAUUUUUAUUAUAAAAUAUUAAUAUAUUAUUAAAAAUGAAUUUAGUGUUAUGAAAAAAUAUAUAAUAUAUUAAAUAUAAAAUAUAAAAUUAAAAUAAACAGUAUAAUAGUAAAUUAAUAAUAAUAAUAUAAUAGAAAUGAGAAAAUGAGUUCUAAUAAAAGAAAAAAUAUUAUCUAUUUAAUAUAAACUAGCAAAUGAAAAAAAUAUAAUUCCACACACUUGUAUGAAGCGUUGAGUACGUUAAGUAUAAAUGGACACGAGUCUAUNNNACUUGAGUUAUUUAUGUUUUCUUAUAUUCUAAUAGAAUUAUUUUUUGAGGAAAAAAAAGGCAUGGACAAUGCCCUUUUAUUACUUUAUAUUUAAUUUUAAUGAACAUUUGCUGAUGUGUAUAAUGGGGCCUAAUUUAAAUAAGUGGACAUGAUAAAUAUAUCCAUUUCAUGGAUUAAGUUGAAAAUUAAAAAUAAAUAAGAUGAUAAAUAUUUUAAUUUAUUUUUAAUAAUAUAUUUUAUAUAAUUAUUAAAUGAAAUAUUUAUUUAUAUAUACCUUUAUAUUCUAUUCAUUUUUUAUAAAAUUGGAUAUAAUUAAUCAAUGCACAAGAAUCAUAGGCUAAUUAAAUUAAGAUCUAUUUUGGAGUUAAUUCAAUUCUUGUACAAAUUUAGGAGUUAAUGUAAAAAAAUUAAUUUGACAUGUAUUAAAAAGUGUUGAGUGUUAUUAGCCAAUGAGCUUAAAAUUUACAGAUCUUAGUGUCAUCGAGAAUAUGAUUCCAGUUCCAGUACCAAGAAUUAAAAUGCCUUUUCAAGGCUCCAUAAAUCUCAUGGAAUGUAUUCCCUUAUAAAGGAGUCUGGACCAAAGCUUUCAUGAAGACGCUUCCUGCAUUUGGAGGAAUCCUUCUUUGCUAGUACCCUGCACGUGAUUGACAAUGGAAAGAUAAUUUAAAGGAAAACAAAAAAGCCAAUCAGGGAAUUUGAUUUUUUUGCCUGUUAAGUAAACAUCAAACUUUGGAGAAUCACUCUCAUAUGAUUUGACAGGAACUAGGGUGAAAAAUUAUUGUGUGGCAGAGUUUAGCAAACUCUCCAGGGAUGUCCUGUUAGGUAUUUGUUGCAAGCAAACUCAGACUACUUCUCAAACAAAGGGGUGAUUCAAUUUGGUAAACUGGUAUUAUAGGAGCAACAGAAACUCCAUUGUUCAAUGACAGCAAGCAACUAUAAGAUCAAAAGGGUCCUCUAUACAAGACGAAUUUUGACAUGAGCCAAUUCUCUGAUAUGAUGGGUGAGACAAGAGUGUAUUCAUAGAAUAGAAUAUACUUUCUGUCUUUUUUCAGUGAUUUUUCUCUACUAUUCUAGAAACAAAAUUAAGUACAGCGCACACUCAAAUAAGAAAAAUCAUGACCAUAAUUUACAAUGGAUGCUCAAAUUUUGGUUCAAAAACUCAUGUUUGAAGUGGCUAAAAUUUGCAAUUGGUUCCCAAACUUAUCAAUUGAAUCAUCACAUAAAUUGUAUAAGAGAUUGGCAUAAUCAAAGUUCAAAGAUAAAGGUUAAAAAUUUGUAAAGAACUCAAUCAACACCGGUUUAACCCAACUAAAGUGACAUAUUGAAUACAGUGAAAUUGCUUUCCAAAAACAAAAAUCGAGAAGGACAAUCAAUUACAAGUGUGUGAAUUAAAUCAUUAAUUACAAAAUAACAAACUAAACUUAAACGACAUGAAGAACCUAGGUCCUAAAAUCCUAAGAAUAGUCCAUUAUCAUUCCUUGAACACAACAUAUGCGAAUAAAUACAAUCAAGUGAUAAUAAAACCAAAAACUCCCACCCUACACUUGAAUAGAACGCUGCCCUCAGUGUUAGAAAAAGUGGGUAUAUAACACAGCUAGCACAUAAGAAGAGUGAAGAUCAUAUUAAAUGCACAUAGCAUAAGGGUAAGGCAAAGUGUUCAACUAAAAUAACAUAAGAUAAAAGAAAAAGGAAAGAAAAUAAAUAAAAUAAAAAUAAAAAAGAAAUGAAAAUAGAACUGGAGAAACAAAAUUAUAGUAGCAAUUUAAUAUAUAGUACCACCAGAGCAAUUAAUCACAAGAAUCUUAUUAGAAUAAUGAUACCACAUGACUUAUAUUCACUGCUCCGACAGAUUUUACCUAUCAUGACAGGGGAAACUUAUUACAACAUUUUUAUACCAUAAAACAUAAAACAAAGAUAUUUACAAGUUAAAUACCUAUAUUACAUAGUUCUUUACAUUUAGCGCACAANNNN